UAGGUUGUUGAUGAAAUUUCCAACCCCCUAUGGCAAUGGUUACAUCAGAGGAGAUCAACUUAGUGCACGGUCAUGUUACAACACUUCGGUCAAGCAACAACACUUGCCUAUGCCCAAGGAAACCUUUUCUAUACAUGACCAGGUCAUAAAGACUAGCCCGGACGAAGCCAACUUGGAUCUUCACAGUAGCAACAGUCAACCUGAUGAUCCUCGAGAUGACUCUUUGAAGAGCUGGAGAAGGUUUUUAUCUCAAAAAAUUAUCCAAAUCGCAUGGUGAAGAUUGACACUACCUUGUCACCACAUAUUCGGUUGGCAUUGAUCUCUUUUUUGCAAGAGAACACUGAGGUUUUCGCCUGGUCAUACGAGGACAUGCCAGGCAUCUCGCCCAAUAUCAUCUGUCAUCGCUUAAAUAUUGACCCCAAGACCAAACCAGUGAGACAGAAGUGAAGAUCUUAUGAUGUUAAACGGUACGAGGCAAUGAAGGCAGAAGUUGAAAAACUCAAAGGCAUAGGCUUCGUUCGCAAAGUCAAUUAUCCAAUGUGGGUAGCAAAUGUUGUCCUUGUUAAAAAGAAUCUGACCAAGGAAAGUCUCCUGCUCCAAAAGGUCUUGUGGAGAAUAUGUGUCGAUUACACCGACCUAAACAAAGGAUGCUCGAAGGAUAGCUUUCCUCUUCCUCUCAUAGACAGACUUAUGAACUCUACGGCAGGGUGUGAACUCUUGAGCUUCAUGGAUGUUUACUCAGGAUACAACCAAAUCCUCAUGAACCCUCCGGACCAAGAACACACAACCUUCACUACUGAUAGGGGACUAUAUUGCUAUAAAGUCAUGCCCUUCGGCUUAAAGAAUGCAUGAGCGACUUAUCAGAGAUUAGUCAAUUCAAUGUUCGCUGAACAGAUUGGGAAGAGCAUGGAAGUUUACAUUGAUGAUAUGCUAGUUAAGAAUAAACAUGCUGAGCAACACAUCACCAACUUAUCUGAAACUUUCACCAUUUUGAAGAGGUAUCGAAUGAGGUUGAACCCCAACAAAUGUGCCUUCGGCGUAGGCUCUGGAAAAUUCUUAAGCUUUAUGAUAAGCCAACGAGGCAUUGAGGCUAAUCCUGAGAAGAUUAAAGCAAUCCUUGAAUGAAUGAACUGGUAACUUCAAAAGACAUCCAGAGCCUUACUGGUAAGGUGGCAGCCUUAACUAGGUUUAUCUCGAAGGCCACAGAUAGAUGUGCUUCUUUCUUCAAAUCACUUAAGGGAAGUAAGAAGUACAUUACAUGGACUGAUGAAUGUGUCGAGGCAUUCAAAAACCUCAAGGACUACAUGAGUAAAGCCCGUCUGCUCUCUAAACCUGAAGUUGAUGACAUUCUUAUUAUCUAUCUAUCAGUAUCAUCUUGAGCAGUAAGUUCCGUUUUCAUUUGAAAGGAUGGUAAUGUUAAAUGGCCUGUCUACUACGCUAGCAAAGCCUUAAAAAAUGCAGAGACACGAUACUCCAACAUUGAUAAAUUGGCUUUAGCAUUGGUCAUGUCUGCUCGAAAACUUCGUCCUUACUUCCAAGCACACUCCAUCAUCGUGCUUACCAAUCAUCCUCUUCGACAGAUACUCCAAAGUCCUGACACUUUCGGGCGAAUGAUCAAAAUGGCGAUAGCAUUGUGUGUGUUUGACAUCUCUUACCAACCAAAGCCAGCUAAGAAAGGCCAAUCAGUGGCAGACUUCAUCGCCAACUUCACAUAUCCUGUUGACAUUGUUUCUAUGCCCAAAAAAAGUGGUUUCAUUACCUUCGGAAGCUUAGAAAAUAGAACCAACAACCCCAGCAUGGAGUCUAUAUGUUGAUGGCUCGUCUAACCAACAGGGUUGUGGAGCAGGACUAGUCUUUACGACCCCUGACAAAGUGGCGAUGAAGUAUGCUUUUCGUUUCAAAUUCAAGGCGUCGAACAAUGAGGUCGAAUAUGAAGCCCUCCUAGCAGGCUUACGUUUGGCCAAACACCUUGGGGUUAAACGAAUUGAUAUCUUCAGUGACUCCUAAUUGGUUGUUAACCAGGUCACCAACAACUUUGAUGUUAAGGAUAGCUUCAUGGCAGCAUAUCUGGCACAAACACAAUUGUUGCUCAAACACUUCCACUACCAGAUCACCUAAAUUCCUUGAGCGGCAAACAAUCAUGCAGAUGUUUUGGCUCACCUCGCCUCAGCGGUGGAAGACAAGAUUAGGAGAAAAAUUCAGGUCGAAUUGUUGGCAGCACCAAGCACCAUGGCUGCGGAAGUGUGCAACUUACAACAGGGGGAUAGUUGGAUUACCCCGAUUUAUAGAUUCCUUGCUCAUGGCACCCUUCUAGAUGAUAAAGUCCAAGCUAAGCAGAUUCGAUACAAGGCUACCCGUUACUUGAUCAUUAAUGACCAACUCUACAAGCAGGGUUUUAACCUGCCAUACCUAAGAUGCCUUACGCCCGCGGAGGCGAAAACUGUCAUUCGGGAAAUACAUGAAGGAGUCUGCGGAGAUCAUGAUGGAUUUCGAUCCCUACCACACAAGGCUUUUUGCCAAGGAUAUUACUGGCCAACACUCUAUCAAGAUGCCAUCAGAAUAUCUCGCUUAUGUGAUAAGUGUCAACGCUACGCAACUAUUCCUUACUCUCUUCCCGAGCCGCUCACUCCUAUGAUCAGCCCUUGGCCCUUCGCCCAAUGGGGACUUGAUUUGAUUGGCCCAAUGCCUACAGGGAAGGGCAAGGUCCGCUAUGCAAUCGUUGCAGUUGAUUACUUCACAAAGUGGGUUGAAGUAGAACCUUUGGCAACUAUUACUGAGGCAAAAAAUAGAAGACUUCGUAUGAAGGAACAUCCUUUGCAGAAUCGACAUUCCUAAUGCGAUAGUCACUGACAACGGGCGGUAAUUGGACAACAAUAAGUUCAGGAUGUUCUGCUCUAAGUUCAACAUCAACUUAUGUUUUGCCUCCCCAGCUCAUCCCCAGUCUAAUGGAUAAGUUGAAGCCAUCAACAAAAUAAUGAAGCGAACUUUGAAAACUAGCUUGGACAAGGCUAAAGGUUGUUGGCCAGAAUUUAUACCCCAAGUUCUUUGGUCAUACCACACUUCGUAUCGGACGUCAACAAGAGAAACCCCAUUCUCACUUGCCUUUAGUACAGAGGCAGUUGUCCUAGUGGAACUUGAGCAAGCAAUGUUUCGAGUCAAGAACUACAUGCAAAGCAAAAAUGACAAACAACUUACCCUUAACUUAAAUCUAGUCGAGGAACACAGAAACCAGGCUCACUUGAGGAAUGUCGCCUAUAAGUAGCGUAUCUCCAUUUACUAUGACUCAAGGGUCAAACCUCGUUCUUUCAAAGUGGGGGACUGGGUAUUGAAGAAAAGAUUACUCUGCGACAGAGUCCCGAGUGAAGGAACACUUAGUCCAAACUGGGAUGGACCGUUUGAAGUUGUUGGCAUCGGUCGCCAUGGCUCCUACAAGUUUAUAAGCUCCAAUGGCAAGACCCUUGGCCAUCCAUGUAACGCUGAUCACUUGAAGUACUAUUACAAGUAAACUCACAUUGUACAAGUGUUAAGCUUCAGCCGUUCGACAUCCUAUGUAACGAAGACCAUUUGGCAUGAAUUCAAUAAAGAGGUGAUUUAGACAACUCAAUCCUAAUCCUCUUACAUUCCUAGCAAUGAAACACUCGGGUUCAAAGCUUCAACAUGAAUGCUCCCAACAGGAAAUAAAGUUUAAGUAUAUGUCAACAAGACUAUACAAAUACGAACAACUUCACAGUGUAUUCGUUCAAUCUGACCCAAGUUAUGGCUUAUAUCAAACAAAGGAUUUGCUCAAAUAUAGCCAGGCAUUCAUCAAUGAUGGUGCAAAUACUUGGUAAUUAACAUCAAACUAUACGGCGUAAAGUUGUAAGCAUCCAUAAAUAAAAAGCUCUCAGGCUUACAACAUGGCACAUGCCAUACAAAUAACAAACUAGUACAUCCAGAGUACAUGGCACAUGCAUCAAAAACAACAAACUAGUACAUCUAGAGUACAUGGCACAUGCCACACAAACAACAAACUCAUACAUCCAGAGUACAUAUAGAAAAAGAGGGCACUACGAGUCAUCCUCAUCUGAGGCCGAACCCUUGACAAUAUCACUUUACGUUUCAACCCCAUUGCCAUCACCACCUUCCUCAGCAUCCCCAGGACCAUCCUCACUCUCCUGAGACUGCUCACUGAUACUAGCCUCAUUAUCAAAGUCAUCAUCACUACUAGGAUCAACUGCGAUGACGAAAGCUUCACCUUUUUGUCGGUACUCAUCCAUCUCAUCACGGUACUUUCGGAUAAUUCUUCCAUUGUCGUAACGCUCAAUGACGGCCAUCCAUUUCCUUUUCUCAAAAUUAGCCGCCCGGAUGCAGUGAGGUCUAAAGGCAUCGUGAAAGGCCAGGGAACCUAAAAACUCAUGCACAACAGCAUCCCUCUCAGUUGGGAUACUCCUCUUCAGCCCAAAAACCUCAACCAAGGCACUAUCCAACUCCCCUUUAACCUUGGAAACCUCAAGGAUGGUUGUCUCCAACUGUUCCUUAGUCGUUUCCAAUUGUUUCUUGAGCCUCACGUUCUCACCAUUCCGCCUUUUCAAACUCUCAAAGUUUUCAUCCUUAAGGCGGAUGGCAUCAGCCAAAGCUUUGCUCAUUUUUUUGGUGUCAUUCACAAGCUGCUUAUUCUCUUUAAACUUUACCUUGUACCGCUCGACCUCUCGUAAUCUGUCAUUGUACUCGGUCAUGACCUACAUGACAAGAUGAUUGUCACUACCAAGAAAAAGAGGGGAGAAAGCAAAGAAAUGACAGAGUAACACUUACAUAAGAAGAUAGCCUUAUCAUCCGGUCACGAUCUGAUUCGUUCUCAUCUAGCGGCUCACCAAGCUCAUUAACAGUGGAUCGACGUCCUGCCAGGCAAUUAUUGACAUACCUAAAACUACUUGGCUGUAUGGCAACUUUCAAGUUCUUCCAAUAAAUGUUGCCAACCUCUUCCUUGUACUUUCUUUUAUGGCUAGAGCUAGGGCCACCUUCUUGGUCAGUAGACUCCAUGGUUGGAGAAAAUAUGGGAUUGAUGGUAAAAAGAGGAGGCAACAAUCGUCUUUCCUCCUAUACAACUAUGGCAGCAGCACACCCGAUGGCCUCAGCUUCAGCCUUUCUUGAGGCAGCAAUCUUGAGGACCUUCUCUUGUGACUUAGGUUUAGGGGUUGGCCUCACCCGAUGCUUACGAGCUCUCUUGUGAAACAAAAUGUCGUCUACGGGAACUAACAUGGGUGCUUUCUCUUUAUUGGCACUAGUCUCCCCUUUCUUGCCCACUUUCUCCACUGAACAAGAAAAAUUAAAGUAAGGAAUGCAACUUUGUAAAAGAAAGAGGGGACGAAAUGAAAGACACAACUUACUUGCUCGUCUCUGGCACUCCGACACUAGGGGUUGGAAACUAUACUUUCGAAAUAAGGGUCGUAGCUUGCCCAAAUGUCUAUCCUCUUUAGGCACCCUCAACAUCUUCUCUACGUCAGCUAGCUUCCGUCCGGACAGCUUGAUGGUUUCUCGCGUCACUGCACGGAGAAAAAUGUUAGAAGCAAGAGAAAAUCACAACAAAUAGCAAAUAAUGCAAACAAGGGAUACAUUACAACCUACAGUCUGGAAGUGAGUAGGAACACGUCGCUCAGGCGUUACACCUUUAGCAUACUCCCAAUCAUUUUAAAGAAAGCACCAACAGUUUUUCCAAGUGCAAUACACAUUUUUCUUACCAAAGACAAUACGCUCUCUCUCACUCCAACAUGCACACUCGGUAUACCUAGUGCAUGCUUUCACCGGGCGCAUCUUAUAGCAGUAGCGCCACUGAUGAAAGGAAGGCUCACCUAACCCACAUUCCAUCCAAAUAAUAUAAAACCCGAUCAAGGUAUCCCAAAAACCAGGGUAGAGUUGGCUAGACGCAUAUCCAAUGAAAGACAACAUCUGUUGCAACCACGGGUGCAAAGGCAGCUUCACCCCUAAAAUCAAUAAUAUCUGGGUAUAGAACAUAACAUGACCUUUGGGCGGUUUAUAGGACAAUUCUUCAUGAUGCACCAAACGCAUUCCUACACUACGGGGGAUACAACAUGACUGCCUUAGGGCCUCAAGCUGUUUUUCGCUAUCUAACAAGUUUUGCACUAAAUGGUCUGCUGUGAACUCAAAGCGAAAUAUGGGUAUGGCGUCACAAACAACCCCCUCACCCAAUCUCGAAUUUUUUUUGUACAAGACUUCAACAAAGGCCCUGAAGACUCCAACAUUGCAAGCUCAAACCUAGAGUUAGAGUUAGGGGAGCCCUCAUCACUAGGACUUCCAAACUCUGAUAUCUACAACAAACAAAAACAAACUUUAUCACUGCAUGAAAGAUCAAAACAUAAGGAAGUUCCUAGGGCAUGAAAAAAAACUCAAUCAGUUCAUUAUGUUCUCAACCAAAUACAUGAACACUCAAACAAUUCAACAAGAAUGAAAGUAUGCGAUCUAGUAGAGAAGACCACCAACCUGAAGAUAGUGCAAAGUAAUGCCGGAAUCUCUGGAAUCUCUCACAACUAUAAAAGCACUCUGUCUCCAAAAAUCACUACAAAAUGAGCAAAUGAAGACAAUGAAAAGAGUGUAAACUUAUCAUUCUUAUAGGGUUCAACAUGGUCAAAUAAAUUCAAAAUUCAAAAUUCAAACCAUGAGAAAACCCCACAUGGAAAGUCUUCAAACUUCCACACAAUCUAGGGAGUUUUCAAAUUUCAAACUUGCAGCACCCCCUCCCCCUCUCAAGAAAAAUGGGGGGGGGGAGGGGGUGGGAGGAGGUGAACACAUUAGAUUCAUCAAAGGAGUUCAACCAUAAUUCUCAAAAGCUUCACACACUCUUGAUCAAGACAGUGUGAAGCAAAACCAAUUUAUGGUGCCAACAAGAGCUUUAUCAAUAGAGGGCAAUCACAAUUCUCAAAAGCUUCACACACUUUUGAUCAAGACAGUGUGAACCAAAACCAAUUUAUGGUGCCAACAAGAGCUUCAUCAAAAGAGUUCAACCACAAUUCUUAAAAGCUUCACAAACUCUUGAUCAAGACAGUGUGAGGCAAAAAACCAAUUUAUGGUACCAACAAGAGCUUCAUCAAUGGAGGGCAACCACAAUUCUCAAAAGCUUCACACACUCUUGAUCAAGACAGUGUGAAGCAAAGUCAAUUUAUGAUGCCAACAAAAACUUCAUCAAUUGAGGGCAACUACAAUUCUCAAAAGCUUCACACACUCUUGAUCAAGACAGUGUGAAGCAAACCAAUUUAUGGUGCCAACAAGAGCUUCAUCAAAGGAGUUCAACCAUAAUUCUCAAAAGUUUCACACACUCUUGAUCAAGAUAAGCAAAACCAAUUUAUGGUGCCAACAAAAGCUUCAUCAAUGAAGGGCAACUACAACUCGUAGAAAGCUUCACACACUCUUGAUCAAGAUUGUUCGAAGCAAUUUCAAUUUAUAUGGUUCAUCCAAACCUUCGACUACUACAAGGUGUGGCUUGCAUCACAAUCUCUUACUCAAUUUUGUGGAAGUAAAAUUUGUAUAUGUUGUCUCUCCCACAUUUUCAAAUUUCUAAUUUCCCAAAAAAAAAAAGGAAAUUGGGAAAUUCAACAAAGCUUCAUCAAUGGAGGACAACUACAAAUUCUCAAAAGCUUCACACUAUCUUGAUCAAGAUAGUGUGAAGCAAAAUCAAUUCAUGGUACCCAACAAAGCUUCACCACAAAAGCUUCACCAACAAAAACUUCAUCAAUGGAGGACAACUACAAAUUCUCAAAAGUUUCACACUAUUUUGAUCAAGAUAGUGUGAAAAUCAAUUCAUGGUACCCAACAAAAGCUUCAAAUCCGAAGCUUCACCUACAAAGCUUCAACUCCAAAGCUUCGCCUACAAAAGCUUAAACACAAAAGCUUCACCCACAAAACUUCAACUCCAAAGCUUCACCUACAAAGCUUCAACACAAAAGCUUCACCCACAAUAGCUUCACCUACAAAAGCUUUACCCACAAAAGCUUCACCCACCACCAAAGCUUAAUAUAAAAUAUAUAUAUAUAUAUAUAUAUAUAUAUAUAUAAAUUUUCAGAAAUUUAAAAAUUCAAAAAUUCAAAAAUUCAAAAAUUCAAAAAUUCAAAAAUUCAAAAAAUCGAAAGAAAAAAAAAAUUGCCUAGGCCUCAUCUUCUUUGGGCCUAACAACUUUCAUAACAAAUAUAUAUGAAGGAGGAGUUUUGGGCUACCAUGUAAAAAGGAAAUGCCUCAUUCGUCAACUCCCUCGACCGGAGACUUGGGGGACUCCUACCAUAUGUUACUGCACCUUGAUACUCGGAAGUCUCACGACCACUUAGUGACUUGGAUUUUUCAAGUCUCCAAUCGAGAAGUUUUCCUCACUCGGGAAAUUAAGGGAGCACUACCUCAACAUACAUGCUUCACUCACAAAGCUUCAACAUAUAAGUUUCAACAAAAGAAAAAAAUUCAAAGAACUUAGUGAAGAAGACUUUGGUGUAUUUAACACAAUACGUUGAAAUGAAGCAAAACUUAUUUAUUAACAUCUCCGAUAAGUUACAAAUAUGUACAUAUACAUGAGUCAAAAUAAACAAACAAGAGAGAACUUUCAUAAAGGUUGCUCAUGAAAAGUCUCAGCAGUCGGCAGAGCCCUAGAAAGAUAAGGCAUCAGAGGGUGAUCAUUCAGAGCCUUAGUACUGGACAGAACCCCAGAAUGAGGAGGCAUCGGAGGUUGAUCAUUUGGAGCUUCAUUACGCGGUACAACCCUAGAAGAUGAAGGCAAUAAAUGCCUUUGGAACAAACCCACAAACCUCUGAUGAUCAAAUAAAAUCUGACCAUUAGAUUCAUGCAUCUGGUCAAACUUACUUUUCAUGUUUGUAGCAUAGUCAUGUGCGAGCAUGUGCAACUGUUUAUUCUUAUGCUUGAGCCCUCUAAUCUCCUGUUUGAGACUUAUCACUUUAGCCGCCAAUGAUUCAACUUGGCGGGUUCGAGCAAAUAAAUGUUGGGCCAUAUUAGACACAGAACCUGUACACUGAACAUUAAGAGCCAGAUAAUCCUUAAUAACCAACUCAUCAGACCGUUUGGAAAGUAGUCUGUUAUCUUUAGGAGUGAGAAGGUUCCUGGACACCACCGCAGUGGUCAUAUCAUUCUUCAUCACAGAGUCCCCAACGGUAAGAGUACCAGUAGAGGAUAAGAAGGAUUGGCGCCAUAUGUUGUCUUGAGAAGGCAUGGCUACCUCUACACCAAAGUUCAAGUCAAAAUGACGGUUGGAUGGGCCAAACAUUUUCAGAAAUGAUGAAGGAGAAAUGAGGUCCAAUAAAUCUCUAAAGUACGAAAAUAAAGGGAAAAUUCUUACAAGCAAUAACUCUCUAAACGUACUUCUUACACACAAUUGGUGCCCUUAUAAAAGAAAAGGCAACAUGGCCGUUUGUUCAAAAAUCGAAGAGGCAACACUCUCCGGAUUUCGAGAAGCAGAUUUUCUUGAGUAAAAUAUGUCGACAAUUCCCACACGCAACAUCAGCACCUCAGGUACUGCAGAUAACUUUACCAAAGAUCUCUGACAAAGUUUAGACACAUAAAUUUUGAAGGUCCAGCUACCCUACCAUUACCCACAAGGGUAAAGAAACAUCACCACUACUUGAUAACUGGAAAGUCCUUGUGUGUGCCAACCUCCGUGCUCCGUGGCAAGACCGACUGGCAAAAAUGCCCAACCUUUACUCACAUCGAGAAAACACUCCCAGUAGGAUUACUUGCUCAAAAAUCGAAGAAGCAUUGCUCCCCGAAUCUCGAGAGCCAAACUCCCACCAAGAUGGCUUCCUAAAAAAUCGGAGAGGCACCACUAACUGACUAUCGAGAGCCAGACUCACAACAGGAUUGUUUUCCCAAAAAUCGAAGAGGCACCGCUCUCCAAAUCUCGAGAGCCUGACUCCCAACAGGAUUGCUUUCUUAAAAAUUGAAGAGGCACCGUUCUCCGAAUCUCGAGAAUCAGAUCCCCGACAAGAUUGCUUGUUCGAAAACCGAAGAGGCACUGCUCUCCAAACUUCGAGAGCCAGAUUUCCUUGGAUAAAGCUUAUCUGCAAUCGUCACAAGCAACAUCGGCUUUCCAGAUACUACAGACCACUUUUUCGAAGUGCUCUGAAAAAGUUAAAACACGUGAAUCUUGCAACUCCCACUACAUUGCUAUGACUGAGAAGGGUAAAGGAAUAGCGUUACUACUAGCUAUUGGGACAAUUUCUAUAUAUGUCGACCUCCAUCCUCCACAACCAGGCAUACCUGUAAAUAAAAAAAAAUGCUCAACUUUUAUUCACAUCCAAGAAGGCACUCCCAAUAGAGUCUCUCGAAAUACUCAGCUUCUUCCCCCUCCCCCCCCCCGGCGAUAAUACUUAUGCAAACAAGUCACACCAAAGUAAGAGUAUCUCAUAUCAUGAGGGUUAAAAGAAAAAGUAUCUCAUAUCGUGCUUUUUCCCUGUAUUUUCCUUUGCCCUUACUCUUACCUGCAGGACAAAGAGAAAAAACAUAAUCAGUCAGAACCUAAAAUCAAACUUCCGAUCUGGAACUGAUUGCCCGAAAUAUUUGCAUGGUUGUUUGCCUAACAUUGCUCUCGAGUACUCAUCCUCAAUUGUUGUCAAGGUCAUAAAGUCCUUCGGCAAAUACCUCAGAACAGUUAAUAUGAUAUUGACGUUUCACACUGAAGCUGCCACGCAUGGAUGAGUUGCUGAGAAGUAGUGCUUUGAAGAACCAUUUAAAUGCAAAGGUUGAAUUCCAUUCCUACAUCGAGGACAAAUGUUGUAAGAGAUUGAAACAUAAUGAUCAAUGAUGAGCUAGAACAUAUCACUACAACACGAUGCCCUUCCUGCAGAACCACACAACCCAGACAGAGGAGUCUAAAUCAAAUCCAAACCCAGCAUCGCUGCCCUAUCCGAAGAACUUGAGAAUCUUCAACAACCUUUUGCUGACACCAUCACCAAAUAGCAAAGCUUCGCCAUACCACACCCACUACUUUAUCAACAGCAAAAGUAUCCCAUAUCAUUAGGGUCGAACGUACUCUAGAUUUGAUGGACUUGUUUUGACCCUUAAAUUCUUAAGUCGGCCUUAUACUUUGGAGGAAACCAGAAAACCCUUCAACCCAAUUCAAGAAUAAGCUUGUGGAAAGUUACUUCUUCAAAAGUAAAAGUAUCUCAUAUCAUAUCUUCUCCAUUUGCUUCUCCUUAUCCAUGUUGCUGUUUACGACACAAUGAGAAGGAGAACAAUCAACCGGAAGCCGAAGUCGAACCUCUGAUCCAGGUUGCUUGCUUGGAAGUCUGAUUGCUUACCUUGUCUGUUACCUCAUUCGGCAAAUCUCCUAACUCGGCGACUUGGAUGACUCUUACUAUAAGGUUUGUAUCGCACUUGACCAAGCCAGAAAUUACAAGUAAGCUUCAAUUGAUACAUUACCUUGUGCAUCUUCAUCGAUUAAAGAUACCACCCUUGGAUGAAGGAAAAGUACUUCCAGAGAAGAUGCCACAUCUACAUAUAAGACAGAUAAGGCAAGUGAAAAUGAUACCACACUUCGGUACUUAGAAGUUUUGUGAUUACUUAAUGGCUUGGAUCUUGCAAGUCCCCAAUCGAGAAGCUUCCCUCACUCGGGAACUUAAAGGAGCACUGUUUGUACCAUACUUGACCAACCCCGAAACUACUAAGCACCGGUCAACAUUAUACCACCAAGGACCCACAAGAGUCUCCCUCCAACCAGGAGACCAAUCAGCGACACAUGUCAACAUCAGAGACCAAUCAUAACGCGACACGUGUCGAUAUCAGAGGUCAAUCACAACACGACACGUGUCAAUGUCAGAAUGAAACUAGAAACUCACUUCUAUAAAUAGAGAUCAUUCUCUCACAAUAUUUUCUAAUGUUAUUUGUACUAAAUCAUUCGCUAGUACUCACUAAAGGAGAGCUUGAACCUAUGUACUUGUGUAAACCCUUCACAAUUAAUGAGAACUCCUCUACUCCGUGGACGUAGCCAAUCUGGGUGAACCAUGUACAUCUUGUGUUUGCUUCCUUGUCUCUAUCCAUUUGCAUACUUAUCGACAUUAGUGACCGGAGCAAUCUAGCGAAGGUCACAAACUUAACACUUUCUGUUGUACCAAAGUCCUCACUGAUUUUGUGCAUCAACAUGACUCAUUUUGAUGGAAUUCUGAUGUUGAUGAAAAAGACCAUAUAUGCAUGUUUUGACUAGUUAAGAGACUAAUGGUCAUGGCAAGUGGCCUUUUACCACAAUGGUGGAAAGGUGUUGAGCCUUUCCAUAGCAGCAUUGGUUCAAAUCUUGUUCGGUGUCCAACAUCCUAAUCUAACAAAUCUAUCAUUUGACAAUAAAAAAGAGACUACUGGUCAUGAAUUUUUAGAACAUCUCUAAAGAAGAUGUCAAAUUUGAAACAUCAAAUUGAUAUUUGAUGGCUUAUGUGGCGAAUUGACAUUUUGUACAAUUUUUUUAUUCACUCGAUAUGUUAAAUGAUAAUUCCAUUCUAAAUUUUUUUUUAUCACUUUGUAGGGUCCAUUUAUUGAGGCAACCAAUCUAAUUCUUAGAAUACACAACAACAUUUAUUAUAUGCAUUAAAUGUAAUAAAAAAAAAUACUAAAUGCAUUUGACAGUAGAAGACUUUGCCUUCAAUUGACUCAACGCCAUGUAGGAAAUUGAAGGCUCAGUUGGAGAGAGUGUGCUGCCAAUUUUUACUAUUAUAUACUUAUACGACAGUUUUGACAUCUCCUUUAGCGAUACUCUUAGUUGAAGAAUCAUUACUCCAUUGAGUUAAAGUUGAUGAACUAUUUCUACAAUUUUCUCGGAUUUCAUUUGUUGUAGAAGAGAUCUAAUGUAAGUUCCAGCUAUGUGAUGGUUAGCCGUCCAUAUACACAUAGCGACACUGUGAAAGUGAUAGUGUAAAGGGAUUACAUUUGAGAGAAACUCUAAUUUGUGGAACAUUGAAUUUGUGAAACAUCAAAAGCUUGAGAGAAACUAUUUUUUUAAUUAUAAUUAAGAUAAAUAAAAUAUAUCAAAUUAAAACUUUAAAUAGUCCUGGAAAACCCUUGAAAGAAAAACAAAACAAGACAUUACAAAAAAAUUGAAAAUUAAUUUUAAGACUUAAAAGGUGUUUUUAACCUAGGAAAUUUUUGAAACAAAUUGAUCCUAUUUUGCAACGACGAGUUGGACUCAUCUCUUUUUUUCCUGUUCAGAAAGGUAUUUUGAACCAUCACUGAAACACUAUUUACACUAAAAUUCACCUUUUUGAUAUGCUCGUUCAGCCUUACAUCAUACACAAGUAAUAUUUAGUCAUUAAAACCUACAUAGUCUAUAUUUUAUCAACCAUCACGCGUGAAUGACUGAGCUUUACAAAAUCAUGCACAAAUAGAGACCAUUUUUUAAGUAUAAUUGGUUUGUGUCCCUCCAUUCUUGGAGGGUGGGGAGGGUUAUGCAUUUGCUGGUUAUUUUAUGUUGGGGGAUAGAAACCCAAUUGGGGUUCACUUUCUUUUGGGAUUUGGACAAAUGCAGACGGGGGCCUCAUGUUAUGUUCUCAAACAGGAAAGGGGUGAUUCAAGUGGUCCCAUUUGGCACUUGCUGUAUAAAAAUAAGAUGCUGGGGAGAGAUGGACUGAUGGAAGGGAAAGCUGAAUCUUUGUGUAAUCAGAUCUCAAACCUACGAGUUUUCAUUAAAGGGAGGGCUCUAUGUCCUUGCAUGUGGACCAGGACAAGGUGAUGUAAUUUGUCUAUAAAUGAUGAAACAGUCGAGUUGUGGGAAAUAUGUAGAUCGAUUGACAUGAAACCUUUUUAUCUUGUCCAAACAGUCAUCAAAUUCUAAUAUGUUGAAAAGCUGUGUGGAGAAUGGAUAUAAUUAGAUGACUAGAUUUCUUCAUAAGUAAUCCAUUUACGUACCUUAGUUAGUGGGGUGUAUAUUGUUUUUCUGCUUCUUCAUAAUCCCAAAUGAUCGUAUAACUAAUAUGGUCAUUGUUUGUACCAUACUUGACCAAUCCCGAAACUACUGAUCACGGGUCAACAUUAUACCGUCAAGGACCCAGAAGAGUUUCCCUCCAACCAGGAGGCCAAUCACAGUGCGACACGUGUCGACAUCAGAAGUCAAUCACAGCGCGACAUGUGUCAACAUCAGAAGCUAAAUGAAACUAGAAACUUUCUUCUAUAAAUAGAGAUCAUUCUCUCACAAUAUUCCUAAUGUCAUUUGUACUAAAUCAUUCACUUGUACUCACUAAAGGAGAGCUUGAACCUAUGUACUUGUGUAAACCCUACACAAUUAAUGAGAAUCUCCUCUACUCCGUGGAUAUAGUCAAUCUGGGUGAACCAUGUACAUAUUGUGUUUGCUUCCCUGUCUCUAUCCAUUUACAUACUUAUCCACACUAGUGACCGGAACAAUCUAGCGAAUGUCACAAACUUAACACUUUGUUAUACCAAAGUCCUCAUUGAUUUUGUGCAUCAACAGUUAUGAUAAGCCAAUGUUCUUUGAUCACAAACUGUUGAGAUGUGAGUGAUUAUGUGUUGACUGGUAGCCAACAAAAUACACUAAGAUAUUAUGAUACAUUUAUCGACAAUAUAGGUACUCUUUAUCAACAAAAUAUGACAUCCUGCACUAUAUGUACAAGACUAACCAUGACUCAUAAAUCCUAAAGCUACAAAGCAAGGCGCACCUCUUCAUGUGGAAACUUGGCAUACCAAUUCAUCCAAAUUACAAUAUGUAGUAUCGUUGAGUCUAUAUGUUGUAAUGUAAGUGAAUUGGUGAUAUAACGUGAUAUUAUUACUGUCAUACUAAAUUUUAUUAACAAAAAUUAAGAAUAUUGUUUUGUCCAAUCAUAACUAUUUUUGUUGACGUUUGCAUGGCACAACCAAAAUCGUAUGUCACGUUGCACUUAUUCUCUAAAGCAAACCUAACUCACUUUAAACUCCUACUGCACUCUCCACGUAUAUUUCAAGUACUUUUUAAGAAGUUAUUUGUAUCAUAUAGAAAACCUUACUCAGAUCGCUACAAUUAGAAGAAAUUAUUAGGUAGUAUAUAUAGGGGUGUGAUAUCCACACAUCUUUUUUUACUUCUCACACACCCUUCUAAUUUUUGGCCGUCGGAUCGGAUAAAAUGAAGAAGAUCAACGAACAUAAAUUAACAAGGGGUGUGUGAGAAGUAAAAAAGGGUGUGUGGAUAGCACUAUCCACACAUCCCUUUUUACCACACAUCCUUUUUUACUUCUCACACACCCUUUGAUAAUUUAUGUCCGUUGAUCUUCUUCAAUUCAUCCGAUCCAACUGUCGAAAAUUAAAAAAGUGUGUAAAAAGUAAAAUGGGAUGUGUGGAUAUCACACCCCUAUAUAUAUUUAUUUGAUGGUCUGAUGGAUGAUGGAUCUCUGUUCGCAAGAGUAAUAAUUCUUCACAAGUUCGCAUCAGAAACAUUGUUAUCAUGUCCUUUAUCUAGUUGUCAUCAUCAUAAGUUAAGGAAAUACCAAAGUAUAUUAGCUUUAGAUACGUUUAACAAAACUAUUCUCUUUUUGGUUUAUAUAUAACCGCCCAACAGUACGUAUUAUUAUCUUCGAAUAUCAUGUGUACGCGUACAUUAGAAAAAUAAAAAGUAAAACAAUUGUUUCUCACAACGGAAAUUCCUAUUGAGUAGUUCGAUAUGUUUGCUCGUAUUAGCAAUAUUAUUUGUUAUCUGGAAAUAGUUGAUGAACCAUUAAGUUCAAUUGAAAAAAAAAAAGUAGGAAGAAUUAAUAGUGGGUUUUACAAAUAUGUUUUCAAUUAAUCAUGAACAGAAACUCAACCAGUAAAAGAAGGAAUGAGUAGAGGAGACUGAUUGUGCCAAAUGAUCCUCCUACUCCAAGCUGCACUGGUUUGUGUGCGUACUCUUAUGAAUUGCAGACUUGCAGAGAGUUGUCCAGCUGCUCUGGCGUAUAUACGUACUUCAAGCUUCACUUACACCAUGUAUGGUAGAGAAUCCCACCACAAAGAAAGAUCACACAACACAAAAAAGGGAUCAUCAAUCAUGAUUGCUUAGAUGAUAGAGUGCCGUGUACAUCAUAAGAUAUAGUUUUCUUUUCGUCCUUUGUGCGGUUACAAACUUACGAGUUUUCGUACUCGAAUUUCAUGUAUUUAUUAAAUUUUCAAGACAAAAGUAGAGCCUUGUACACUGAAUUUGCAAUUAACAAGUCAUUAAGGUGAUCUUUAGACAUGCAGAGGUAAACUUAGCGUCGAAUUUAAGCUAUGUUUUAGCUCUUCAAAAAUUAGAUUUUGUAAAGAAUAGUUCAUGUCGUCUUCAUCUCCAACAUUGGAUGGCUAUAUUUCAAACCCCUUAAUAUAUGUUAUAUUGUAGUGCUAAGUAAAAAUUAUGAUACAACACAUUAUAGAAAUAUAAAUCAAUUUUAAGGAAAUAUGAGGGAGGCUUGUAGGCUAUGACUCACUAAUCAUGAUGCGGGAGCCAAGGCUUUAAAAAAUUAAAAAAAAAUUGAAAACUUCUCGUUGGCAUUGGAAAUUCAAAUAAUAAAGGCAUUGUAAUUUAUUUUAAUGACAUAGGAACUUGUUAAGUCAUUUCUAGAGAGUUUUUUAGGAAGUUGUGGUCUAUUUAUGCUUCUUUAUCUUUAGUUCCUUUAAAUAUUGAUGUAUUAGAAGCCAUUGCUAGACUUGAAUGAAUUAAAAUAUAUUUUGCUUUGUGCAAUUGAAGUGAGUGAUUUCUCCUUCCCCAAUCAAGCAUUUGGCUUGGUCAUCCAUGAUUAACGACGUGAGAUAGCUCCGUUGCCCCUGGUUGAGCGAAUCCCAGGUUAUCUAUUCCCUUCUCCUCGAUACCCUUGGUUCUGUCCUGCAUCAAAUGGCAUUAGAGCAGGUUUUCCGCUGCAGUUGAAAAUCAUGGCUAUGAUUAUCAAUCCGUUUCAAGAUCACAUCGUUGAAGAGAUUAGUUUCAUCGAUUGGAAUUCACCACCAAUUUAUGAUGAAUACGUUGAUGAAGACGAAGUCAAAAAUCAUUUUGUGAAUGAAGUUAAUGACAUCGAGCCUUCCAUGCAUCAAAUGGUAAUCUGUUACUGCUAUUCAUCUUUUGGAUGCUACAAGGAUCUUCAAAGUACUCCAAGCAUGAUGCAAAUGGAGAUGCUUCAGACCUACAAGGAAUGGAUGAUGGCAAGGUGCUACUGAUGUCCCAAAUGAAUUUUGAAAAGAAUUUCAGACAGUCUACAAUUUUUGUGACUUCAACAUGGAUGGAACAAGGCGAUGUCCCUCCUUCCUCAAGCCCAGCAAUGAUGCUUAAAGAGGCCACUCAUGUGAUAAGUUGCGGUUAUGAAGACAAAACUGAAUGGGGUUUAAAGAUAGGUUGGAUUUACAAAUUUAUCAUAGAGAGCAUUCUAAGGGGUUUCAAGAUGCAUUCUAGUGUGGUUGGAGGUCAUUUUCAAUCAAAAAGAAGGAACCAGGGCCUACAACGUUUGAAAGAAUGGGGAAAUGGUAUUUUCAUGAAUAUUUUGUGGCUUGGAACACUUUGAUCGCCGUGAACUUCAUUUUACUAUUGUGGUUGUUGUGGAAGAAUCUGCAAGGUCAUCCCAAAGAUCGAGGAAGACCAAAUGGAACUUGAGGACGAGUUUUCUUCGAGAAUGGGAGAAUGAUGCGGGAGCCAAGGCUUAAAAAAACAAAAAAAUAAACACAAAUUGAAAACUUCUCGUUGGCAUCGGAAAUUCAAAUAAUAAAGGCAUUGUAAUUUAUUUUAAUGACAUAGGAACUUGUUAAGUCAUUUUUAGAGAGUUUUUUAGGAAGUUGUGGUCUAUUUAUACUUCUUUAUCUUUAGUUCCUUUAAAUAUUGAUGUAUUAGAAGCCAUUGCUAGACUUGAAUGAAUUAAAAUAUAUUUUGCUUUGUGCAAUUGAAUUGAGUGAUUUCUCCUGCCCCAAUUAAGCAUUUGGCUUGGUCGUAUGAGUGAAUCCACGAUUAGCGACGUGAGCUAGCUUCGUUGCCCCUAGUUGACGAAUCUCAGGUUAUCUAUUCCCCUCUCCUCGAUACCCAUGGUUCUGUCCUGUAUCAAAUCAAGUGCGAGAUUUCUCCUCUAGAUCAUUGAUUAAGGAGUUCAUAUUUCUCUGAGCUUAUCAUUUAUAAGAAAGAGAUGUUGUAACAAAGUAUCCUAAAAUGAAAUCCUUGGUACCGAAAUGAUUAGUCACUUCUUCAUUCAGUACAGUUUUUUUUUCUUUUCUUUUUUUUUUUUUGCUUCAAAAGGGAUCAUGGCUUCGCCACGGUAAUCUACCUUUUUGAAGGCCAGAAAGACUCACAAAGGCAUUUCAGCCUCUCUGGCCCAUCGUGCUAUUCACAAGUGCAAGGAAUUGAACCCAAGAGAUACCGUGUGAAAUACAUAUCUUAAAUUUAUCCCCAACCACUAGACCACCCUGUGGUGGUAUCAUUCAGUAUAGUUAAUUUGAUAUUUAAUUGAUAUUUCCAACUCAUUUAGUUAUAUACUUUAGUUUAGAUUAAAUUUCCAAACCACGUAGUUCUUUUCCCAAUUGACUUGAUCUGGUCACGGAUUAGUAAUAGAACUUUGAAAUUAUUGAUAAUUAUGUGACAGAGAAAAUCCUUAAAACAGCCCGCCAGAAGAUAAGUGCUAGUUAAUAGAGGUAGGAGCAAACAUUCAUGAAAUGAAAUGUCAGGUUCAUCAGUCUUCUCCCCCACUAUAACUAAUUGAGCUGUAUGUUGAUUAAUUAAGAAGAAUCAAGUAGUUAGGCCCUUCCAUCAUCUUCACCUACUACUAUAAGUUCCAACAAUUAUAAUACUAAUCUAAUUGGGCCAACAGAAAAUUAAUGUAACACCUCAUUCACAACGUACCAUAACUAAUUUAAUGUGAUAUUCUGCAUCCAAUAGGAAGUUUUCAAAUUGAAAUCCAACUUGCUUUAUAUGUAUAGGGUGAAAACGUCAAACAUGUUUGGUGGGUUUUAAGUCAGAUUUGGGUAUUUUAAGUUGGGUUAGAAGGUUUAUUAGUUUUCAGCCAUUAGAUUAAUGCAACGGGCGCGUAGAGUGGUUAGUUUUCUAUUACAUUUUUAACUAGUUAGCGCUUGAACACUCUUGCAUAAUACGUAACAAAUAUAAUGUUUGGUUCAAUAUCGAGGUUGAGGAUGAGAAUUAUAAAUUUUCCAGUUUGAGAUAUAUGGUAUUCGAAUUAAAAGUUUUCUAUCAGAAUUAAAACCAGAUCAAGGAAACAAGAAUAUAGUUGAUAGCCAACUAGGUUAAGUUGGGCAGUUUUGUGUCUUAGAAGAAACGCCGACUCUCGUUCACAUCCAUAUUGAGUUAAGAAAUUAAAGUACAAAAUGCCUAUGAGUCGAACAAAGGAACGUUGAUCUUGGGAAAUUUACAACAGGACGAGAACCUGAAAUCAUCAUUUCAAAUGUGUAGGUUGUUAUAUAUGUGCAUCACAUGACCUCUAUGAUAGCAGUGUUUAUCUAGGAUGCGUGAGAGUGUGCAACGGGCUAGGGCAGCUUGACCAUGCCCAGUUUAAUGUCAACCUAGCACAACACAUCAUGAUUUUUUGAGGACUAGGGCAAGCAUGGGACACGCCAUGGCGUGAGACACGAUUUUCGUUGCACGUCUCUGACGCGGGCACGAGCUCAUUGUGAGCUGGACUCGUGCGAAACCCUACCUACCUCCAAACUACAUGCAACUAAAACGUAGUUUGAAUUAUAUGAUAUCCAAAAUAUCAGAUUUAUAGGUUUACCCUCCCUAUAGCUGGAUGACAUCCCGACUACGGGAGAGGCAAGAAUUCAUUCCAGGGAUUUCAAGUAAUUGACCGUGUCAAGGAAGAGUUGGAGAAUAUUUGCCCCGGUGUAGUGUCAUGUGUGGACAUUCUCGUGGUGGCUGCGAUAGACGCCGUUCUGAUAUUCACUCUUAAAAUAAUUAGUUCUCCGCUUCAACUUUAUUUUACUUUACUUUCCACACACCAUUUCUGGCUUCGUCACUGUUUGGACCUGAUUUUACACAUCGGCCUAAGCAAUCGAGGCCGUUGAGUAAGCAUGGUUCUCAACCGUUGGAUAAGAAAGUUUAGAUAUUAUUGUUAAGAGAUAAUAUUAUGAUUUUUAAUCAUAAUAAUUAUUUUUUUUAUAAGUUAUCCCGGUUUUUUAUGCAAAAUAAAUGGGAUGGAGGCAAGUAGAGUUGUGAUGGGGACGUGAGCUUUGAAUCAUGUUGGUUUGUUUUGCUGGACAUGCAUGCAUGGGAUGUAAAGAUAAUGAAGUGAUAGGGGAUAAAUCCAAACAUGCCAAAACGUGUAAUUUGCAAAAGAAUUGUGCAAUAUGGAGAUUCUAUCCUAAUGCAUGGUUUUUUGGGUUUGGUUUUGUGCACGUGGCAUGCGACAAUGGAGAUGAUGGUUUUGCAUGGUGAUGGCAAUAUGGGUUUAAAGGUUUCUCAUGUUUUUUUAAUAAGAAGCCUAGGUGGGUUAGAUCUCUAGUGAGAUGUGAUAAAGCCUAGGUAGGCUUUAUUUAUCUGAAGGAUAUGUGCGGCGUAUUUGAUACGGGAUCAGGGUCAAUUCCACAAAAUAGAGUUGCAGUUGGACUCUACAAAAUUAUUUGGCCGCGUCACACAACAUUUGCUCCUAUAAAUACAGAGAUAGUGGCAACGGAAGAAAGACCCCUGCAAAUCAAUACAAAAUUGCCCUGCGCAAAUUCUCACAACUUGUGAUUUUUCUUUUUCCUUUUUCGCUGACACAUCUUCCGUUGGCGUCAACAGCACUGUGGAAGCAACCGGUGAUAUCUUAAGUCGGCAUAGAUAGCUCUGUCACCGUAGAAUCAAUCGGUCUCGCAGUAUCUUCCGUUGGCAUCAACAGCACUGCGGCGAGAACGGUUAAUUACCUAUCCAAGUCUCGGUCGAGAAGGGUUUCUGAACCCUUAUUGGUCGAUGUCAUCUCAUCAGCCUUCUCGGCGAAGUGAGGUGUUACACGUUAUUACGUUCGGCAUAUUGAAAGCCGAAUUUGAUAUUGAACUUCGUAAGAAUAGUAACCUUGUCUUCAGGUUCGAGAGCCCAAGAGGCCGAGACGUGUUCCUUUCUCGGCCGCAAUCGCAAGACGCAGAAGUCAGCCGCGCACCCAACGCAACAUCAACAAAUUUACUCCUUGGCCGAGCUCGGCCGACGAGUUGGCACGCCCUGCAUUCACCGAAGGACGUAGUUAGCUCAUUAAUUAUUCGGCCUGCACGCCACGUAGGCUUUGUAGUUUUUAGGGUCAACAUUUUGGCACGCCCAGUGGGACCCAGUGCUAAACUACGAAGUUCACAUGAUCUAUCUCGAUCCGGCUUCAAGGGAUGAGUGUUAUCGCCUAUUAAAGGAGCAAAAACAACUUCUCGAAAGUUUGAGAAGAAUUUCUGAAAGGCAAAAGGCCGAGGGGCAAAUCUCCACUCCGGCCACAACCAAUAUUCGGCCUAAGAAAAGUGAUAAUUUGGCCGAAGAACAAAGGCCACUUGUUGUUUCGGUAGAGACUGAAAAUAUAGUAGGCCUAGAAGAAAAAAUUCAAGUCCCUAAGCUAUAUACAAAAAUUGACUUGGAAAAAGAUUCGUCAAAAGAAUGCUCUAGUGACGAACGAGGCCGAAAUAUUGGCCUAGCCCGAGAAACUACGCCAAUUGAUAUGAUUAUUGGCAAUAAAGCCGAUAUGGAGAAAUCCUGUUCGGCUAAGUUAUUUGAAUUAAAAGCCGAAAUUAUGCUUGGGGGGCUGUUUGGACUCAAAUUUACACCAUCGGCCCAUGUAAUCAAGGCCGUUGAGUGAGCAUAGUUCUCGACCGUCAGAUGGAAAAGUGAAGAUAUUUUUGUUAAAGGAUAAUAUUAUGAUUUUUUAUCAUAAUAAUUAUUUUUUAAUGAUGAAUUAUCUUGAUUUUUUCCUGGUACAAGAUGGAUGAGAUGUAAAUGUAGUUCAAUUUGAUUUGGGAUUCUUGGAGUUAAGACGCGUGGUGGAUUGGGAGCAUCAGAGCACGUUAUUAAGAGUCCUAAUACACUACUGCAUUGUUGGCAAAUGGAAAUUGGCAGAGAUAUUAAUGCUUGCAUAAAGAUGAAGAUGUUAAAUUGGAGAUGGAUAGCCACGUGUGAGUGGAUUUGGUGGAGCCAUGCAUGCAUAUCAUUAUUUCAAGUCAAGAUGCUUAUCGGCACUAAUUGGUAUAUGCUAAUAUGCUAUUAAUUAGCAAGAGGUGGUUGCAUGUUGGUAAGUGAUAACAAUCUUUUUGCAUGAGAUUGUUAUGAAUGAGGACUUUGAUGUUGGCGGCAGCUUUACAACACGAGCCGUCAGGAUGAGGAUGAUACUUAUAAAUACAGAGUCGCAAACAACGGGUAGGACCCCUGCAAAUCAAUACAAAAUUGCCCUGCGCAAAUUCUCACAACUUGUGAUUUUUCUUUUUUCCUUUUUUCGCUGACACAUCUUCCGUUGGCAUCAACAGCACUGUGGAAGCAACCGGUGAUAUCUUAAGUCGGCAUAGAUAGCUCUGUCACCGUAGAAUCAGUCGGUCUCGCAGUAUCUUCCGUUGGCAUCAACAGCACUGCGGCGAGAACGAUUGAUUAUCUAUCCAAGUCUCGAUCGAGAAGGAUUUCUGAAUCCUUGUUGGUCGAGGUCAUCUCAUCAGCCUUCUCGGCGAAGUGAGGUGUUACAAGUGACUACAUUCGGCACGUUGAAAGCCGAAUUUGAUAUUGAGCUUCGUAAAAAUGGUAACCUUGUCUUCAGGUUCGAGAGCCCAAGAGGCCGAGACGUGUUCCUUUCUCGGCCGCAAUCGCAAGACGCAGAAGUCAGUAGCGCGACCCAACGCAACAUCAACAAAUUUACUCCUCGGCCGAGCGCGGCCGACGAGUUGGCACGCCCUGCAUUCACCGAAGGACGUAGUUAGCUCAUUAAUUACUCGGCCUGCGCGCCACGUAGGCUUGGUAGUUUCUAGGGUCAACAUUUUGGCACGCCCAGUGGGACCCAGUGCUAAUACUACGAAGUUCAUAUGUUAUAUCAAGAUUCCAAUCUGGCUCAACGUAGCUGAUUGUACGAGCUCCUGGAGGAAUUGAAAAAACAUAAUGAGGAAUGCAAAAAAUCUUUGGAAGCAGAAAAAGUUCUUCGUGGCCAUAAAGAGAUGCAAAAGUCAUUCGCUUGCAUGGUGAAAAUAAAAGCUCCUGUUACCCUGCAUGGGUAAAUGAAGACAGGGCUCGAUUUAAUGCCUGGCUAGAUGAAGAACGUUUUCCUUACGUUUCUGAUUACAGAUCAAUUCCAUUUGAAAAAUGGUUAGGUCCAAAGGCCGGGGGGCAAUUUUUCGCUCCGGCCACAAUCAAAAUUCGGCCUCAAAAAAUUGUUAAGGCGGCCGAAGAAAUACUUAGGCCACCUGUUGUUUCGGUCGAGAUUCAAAGUGUGGUAGGCCUAGACGAAAAAGUUGAAGUUUCUGAGCUAAAAAUCGACUCAGAAAAUGAUUCGUCAGAAGAGUGCUCCAAUGACGAACAAGACCAAUACACGACUUCAAACCAUAAAAUCACAUCGAUUGAUAUGGUAAUUGAAGACAUAGGUCUAGCCGAAAAAAUCACGCCAAUUGAUCUGAUUAUUGGUGAUAAAGCCGAUAUGGAGAAAUCCCGUUCGGCUAAGUUGCUCGAGUUAAAAGCCGAAAUUGGUGAAAUAAUUAUGCCCAGGGGGCAUAAUACUUGUUCCACACAUUCGGCGGCUGAAAAUGCAAAAUAUUUUGCCGAGUCAAAAAUAUUUGGGAAAAAUUCUUUAUUCGGCCUAGAGCGAAAUCAAUUUGAAAAUUUUGAUGCAAAAAGAUCUUGGCUUGGAAUAAAACAUCGUUGGUCUCCUCCUGAUUAUGGUUCGGCCACUUUUAUUUUCGUUUGCUAAAAUAUUAAAUAAAUUAUUUUCUUAACUAUUCGGCUUUUUAGGCCGAUGCAUAAACAUAAAAAGGGGGUAGUAUUGUUUUGACCGAUUUGUGUUCGGAUUUAAGAUUUAUUCGGCAUAUAACAUAUCAUGCAGAAAUUAAUCAUGGCAUGAACUGUUCUAGCACGAAGUGUUACAAUUUGGCGUCAAAGCAGGAGUUGAAUCAUGGCAUCUGCAAUUAGAGUCUCGGCCAAAAGAGUGGUUGCCGAGCCAUUCAAUGCACCUGGGAUUGGUUUGGCCGAAUAUAUAUAUAUAAGAGUUUAGCCGAACUCUCGACUACCUUACAAAAGCCUCGGCCAAAGCUGCAUAUAUAUGAUUCGGCCAAAACUGUAUAUAUAUAUAUAUAUAUAUAUAGGAAUUGCUUAAGGGGAGGGAUCCCCAUUUUUUCAAAAAAAUGGGGACACACUCCCCACCGUUGGAUUUGAAUUAAAUGAAAUCCUGUGGUUGAGAUUCUAUGGCCUGUGUUUUAAUCUCAACCACACAAUUUCAUUAAAGUCAAUCUAACGGUGGGGAGCGUGUCCCCAUUUUUUUUGAAAAAAUGGGGAUCCCUCCCCUUAAGCUCCCUGUAUAUAUAUAUAUAUAUAUAUAUAUAUAAAGAAAAUGGGGAUUCUCGGCCACAACUAUAUAUAUAUAUAUAUAUAUAUAUAUAUUGGGGGGGUUGUUUUUAAUGAGGGCAUUAGAGACUCGGUGGACGUCAAAUCUUGGUCAAAUGAGUGGGUCUGAGUUUCAAUGGCCAUGUGGGGUCGAGGGUUCAUGAUUUAUCUUGGUCAUGAUAGAUGAGUGAUAUUCAAUUGGAGGAAUUCAGCACAGUAUUUUGCCGAAUAAGUUUUUAUUCGGCGGUGGUUUCUCCAAUAAUUCUCGGCCAUAUGUUUUUCUCGGUCACUCGGAGGUAGUCAGUCAUCGGUAUUAUUAUUGGUAAAUCAGUAUUAUUGGAUGAUCAGACUUGGUGCAUACAGCUGAGCUAUCAGGGAUAAGGCCGAGUAAUCAACCGAGCUACCAAGAAUUAGUCAUUGCUGAGCCUUGCAUAUAGAAUGAUGGCUACGAACAAUUAAUUUCCUUAAAUAUUCGGCUUAUGAGCCGAAGUUCAAGGAAAUUGGGGGGCAAUGUUUGGACUCAAAUUUACACCAUCGGCCCAUGUAAUCAAGGCCGUUGAGUGAGCAUAGUUCUCGACCGUCAGAUGGAAAAGUGAAGAUAUUUUUGUUAAAGGAUAAUAUUAUGAUUUUUUAUCAUAAUAAUUAUUUUUUAAUGAUGAAUUAUCUUGAUUUUUUCCUGGUACAAGAUGGAUGAGAUGUAAAUGUAGUUCAAUUUGAUUUGGGAUUCUUGGAGUUAAGACGCGUGGUGGAUUGGGAGCAUCAGAGCACGUUAUUAAGAGUCCUAAUACACUACUGCAUUGUUGGCAAAUGGAAAUUGGCAGAGAUAUUAAUGCUUGCAUAAAGAUGAAGAUGUUAAAUUGGAGAUGGAUAGCCACGUGUGAGUGGAUUUGGUGGAGCCAUGCAUGCAUAUCAUUAUUUCAAGUCAAGAUGCUUAUCGGCACUAAUUGGUAUAUGCUAAUAUGCUAUUAAUUAGCAAGAGGUGGUUACAUGUUGGUAAGUGAUAACAAUCUUUUUGCAUGAGAUUGUUAUGAAUGAGGACUUUGAUGUUGGCGGCAGCUUUACAACACGAGCCGUCAGGAUGAGGAUGAUACUUAUAAAUACAGAGUCGCAAACAACGGGUAGGACCCCUGCAAAUCAAUACAAAAUUGCCCUGCGCAAAUUCUCACAACUUGUGAUUUUUCUUUUUUCCUUUUUUCGCUGACACAUCUUCCGUUGGCAUCAACAACAGCACUGUGGAAGCAACCGGUGAUAUCUUAAGUCGGCAUAGAUAGCUCUGUCACCGUAGAAUCAGUCGGUCUCGCAGUAUCUUCCGUUGGCAUCAACAGCACUGCGGCGAGAACGAUUGAUUAUCUAUCCAAGUCUCGGUCGAGAAGGAUUUCUGAAUCCUUGUUGGUCGAGGUCAUCUCAUCAGCCUUCUCGGCGAAGUGAGGUGUUACAAGUGACUACAUUCGGCACGUUGAAAGCCGAAUUUGAUAUUGAGCUUCGUAAAAAUAGUAACCUUGUCUUCAGGUUCGAGAGCCCAAGAGGCCGAGAUGUGUUCCUUUCUCGGCCGCAAUCGCAAGACGCAGAAGUCAGUAGCGCGACCCAACGCAACAUCAACAAAUUUACUCCUCGGCCGAGCGCGGCCGACGAGUUGGCACGCCCCGCAUUCACCGAAGGACGUAGUUAGCUCAUUAAUUACUCGGCCUGCGCGCCACGUAGGCUUGGUAGUUUCUAGGGUCAACAGGGGCAUAAUAAUUGUUCAGCGCAUUCGGCAGCUGAUAAAAAAUCUUUCGUCAAGUCAAACAUAUUUGGAGAUAGUAUUUUAUUCGGCCUUGCAAAAAUUCAAAGUGAAAGUUUUGAUACAAAAAGCCUUCGGCUUGGAAUAAAACAUCGUUGGCCUCCUCCAUUUAUAGUAGGGCCACUUUUGUUUUCUUUUGCUACAAAAUAAGAAUAAAUUAUUUUCUUAACCAUUCGGCUUUUUAGGCCGAUGCUUAAGAAAAUAAAGGGGGCAAUAAGAUGGUGCGGACUUAGAAAAACAAGAAAAAACAAGAUGGUGUACUCGGCAGACAAUUUUGGUCAAAUAAUGGUGUAUUUGGCAGACAGUUUUGGUCGAAUGAAUUUGCGAGAGCAUGCAUGACAAUUGUUCGGCAGACAGUUUUGGUCAAAUGAAUUUAUGGGAGCAUGCAUGGUUGCGAAGCUUGCUCAAUUCAGUUUCGAUGUGCGGUUUAAUAUAUAUAUAUAUAUAUAUAUAUAUAUAUAUAUAUAUAUAUAUAUAUGUCAGAAUGACCCAUCACAUGAAACAGAAAGAGAGACGCAUACGGAAAAGACAAAGGAAUAUUCAUGAAGUUAUGGUAGGCUUCCAUAUGGGCUAACAUUUUCGUUUGGUGAUGUAGUGAUCUGUGAAUUCCUAACAGCAUUAUUUGGCCGAAUACAAAUCUUUGGCCGAAUAAAACAUAGUUCGGCCGAAUAGAAUGGGUUAUAUAUAUAUAUAUAGGCUCUACAGCCAGUUCUUCUCGGUCUCGGCCCCAUUUACUCUCGAUCCCAGUAUUUUUGACCGAUACUAGUGUUUUCUCGACCCCGACAGUUGAGAGUUGGAGUAGUUCACGACACUGGCAGAGGGAGGUUAUGACAUUGGCAGAACAUAGGUGAUUUUAAUACCGAGAGACAAAAUUUGUUUCGGCAAUACGACGAAGUGUUGUUGGCUACGAGCAAUUAAUUUCCUUAACCAUUCGGCUUACGAGCCAAAGCUCACGGAAACUGGGGGGCAAUGUUUGGACCUGAUUUUACACAUCGGCCUAAGCAAUCGAGGCCGUUGAGUAAGCAUGGUUCUCAACCGUUGGAUAAGAAAGUUUAGAUAUUAUUGUUAAGAGAUAAUAUUAUGAUUUUUAAUCAUAAUAAUUAUUUUUUUUAUAAGUUAUCCCGGUUUUUUAUGCAAAAUAAAUGGGAUGGAGGCAAGUAGAGUUGUGAUGGGGACGUGAGCUUUGAAUCAGGUUGGUUUGUUUUGCUGGACAUGCAUACAUGGGAUGUAAAGAUAAUGAAGUGAUAGGGGAUAAAUCCAAACAUGCCAAAACGUGUAAUUUGCAAAAGAAUUGUGCAAUAUGGAGAUUCUAUCCUAAUGCAUGGUUUUUUGGGUUUGGUUUUGUGCACGUGGCAUGUGACAAUGGAGAUGAUGGUUUUGCAUGGUGAUGGCAAUAUGGGUUUAAAGGUUUCUCAUGUUUUUUUAAUAAGAAGCCUAGGUGGGUUAGAUCUCUAGUGAGAUGUGAUAAAGCCUAGGUGGGUUAGAUCUCUAGUGAGAUGUGAUAAAGCCUAGGUAGGCUUUAUUUAUCUGAAGGAUAUGUGCGGCGUAUUUGAUACGGUAUCAGGGUUUAUCUGAAGGAUAUGCGCGGCAUAUUUGAUACGGGAUCAAGGUCAAUUCCACAAAAUAGAGUUGCAGUUGGACUCUACAAAAUUAUUUGGCCGCGUCACACAACAUUUGCUCCUAUAAAUACAAAGGUAGUGGCAACGGAAGAAAGACCCCUGCAAAUCAAUACAAAAUUGCCCUGCGCAAAUUCUCACAACUUGUGAUUUUUCUUUUUCCUUUUUCGCUGACACAUCUUCCGUUGGCGUCAACAGCACCGUGGAAGCAACCGGUGAUAUCUUAAGUCGGCAUAGAUAGCUCUGUCACCGUAGAAUCAAUCGGUCUCGCAGUAUCUUCCGUUAGCAUCAACAUCACUGCGGCGAGAACGGUUGAUUACCUAUCCAAGUCUCGGUCGAGAAGGGUUUCUGAACCCUUAUUGGUCGAGGUCAUCUCAUCAGCCUUCUCGGCGAAGUGAGGUGUUACACGUUAUUACGUUCGGCAUAUUGAAAGCCGAAUUUGAUAUUGAACUUCGUAAGAAUAGUAACCUUGUCUUCAGGUUCGAGAGCCCAAGAGGCCGAGACGUGUUCCUUUCUCGGCCGCAAUCGCAAGAUGCAGAAGUCAGCCGCGCACCCAACGCAACAUCAACAAAUUUACUCCUCGGUCGACGAGUUGGCACGCCCCGCAUUCACCGAAGGACGUAGUUAGCUCAUUAAUUAUUCGGCCUGCGCGCCACGUAGGCUUUGUAGUUUUUAGGGUCAACAGUCACAUUUCAGGUGUCGGCUAACACUACUUAUUUUCGGUGUCCACUUGAAUAUAUGGGUCAGGGUGUGUCAUAAUGAACGCAGGCGAGCAUGGAUUCGCAACGGGGGUUCAAAAUCAAGUAGAUCCGAAUUGAAUCUCACAAAAACCCGACUGGAUUAUCAUCGGGAAGACUGUAGGCUCUCGAGGAUGGGUGGUUUCACCAGAAAAUGGUCAAACAAGGCCGGGGACAGGGACGACGCAAAAAUGGCAUCAUUUGGUCCUAGGGUUUCAGAAUAAGAGCAGCUAGGCUCCUUGUGGCUUGCGACGCAGCUUGGCGACUCGGCUUACACGCUUCAGGUCGUGGCUCGCGCGGGAGGUUGCAGCAACCCUAAUUUUCUUCUUUCUUUCUGUUCUCACACAAUCAUUAAUUCACCACAACAACAUAUAAGCAAAAUAAUAUUAUAAUUCGAAAAGCAUAAAAUUGGGUUCAUGCACUAUGUUGAAGAUUUCAUGCAAUUAGAGCUGGAAAAAAAAUCAAAAUUGAAACCGUAUUUUAGAAGUUACUUAGAUUGUAUGAUCAAAAUUUUGAGCUGUUUUGUAGCAGAAAAUAGCCUCUAGAUUCAUAGCGCAACGUCUAGAGUGUGCUGAUAACAUUUUGUUUCAUAUUUUACUAAAAGAAAGGGAAAUGGUGUGGUGAUAGUGGUGGAGAAAAAGACUCGGAAAAAUUGGUGUAUGUUCCCUUGUGCCAAUGCCUUUAUUUAUAGUAAACAGAAAGAAGAAGCAAACUUGCUCACCAAAAACACAUAGUCUAAUAGAAAAAAAAAAUCAUCUAAAUUACAUAGAAAUCCUAAUUCAAAUCUACCAAAAUUUACCGAAUUAUACUACAUCAAUAUUAAAUGUAACAAUAUUGACUAUGAUCCUACAGUUUUAUUUGCCAGUGUAUGUCUUUUAGCUAGCUUUAUAAUAACUUAUCAAUUUGAAUUUUUUGUCCCAACAAGUAAGCUAAUAUAUAUUAAAAAAUUAGUAUGUGUACACACACAAGAGAGCCAUAUAGUCUUUGGUCUUAUUGUCUCAAAAGUCAGAAGAGAAGACCCGAAGAACGAGCACUCCUCCAUAGUCCACAUUUCUCUACGGUCAUAUUCGGCGGACAAAAUUCUAUGCUCCAACGUCUUCGCUCUCCUUUUUUUUUUUUUUUUUUUUUUUUUUUUUUUUUUUUUUUUUUUUUUUUUUUUUUUUUUUUUUUUUUUUUUUUUUUUUUUUUUUUUUUAGCAAAUGAUAUUAUUUAUAUUAAAUGAUUGAGAUAACAUGUCAAAUUUCACACGUAACUAGCUAUAAUAAUGUUAUUUAAAUUCAUCUUUGACGAGAAUUGAAACUAAGACCUUACUUAUAAGUGAAAAUUAAUAUCAUUAACUCGUAGUACUAAAUAACACUUUAAUCUUUAAAAUUUACAAUCAAACUAGAUUUUUUUUCUCCUUUCUAUAUCCCGUGUUCCAAUUUCCACAUCCACACUUACAAAGUCGUACACGAUGACAUAGCACCAUACCCAUAUAUGGCAUUUGAUGUUUCUAGUCCUCGACUAACAUGAAACGUACAGUCGAUUCUUUCCCUUAGUCCCACUAGUCACAUGUGAUUCCUAUUCUUUUAUAAACAACUUUUUUUUAUUUAUUUUUUUUCAGCCAAAGAAGUUAAUUAAAAUUUUCAAACUGAAAAAUUAUUUAAUCAAUUACAAUAGCAUAAUAUUCAAACUGGAAUUUUUUUUUUUUUAGAGAAUGAUUUUCUACUCAAGAGGUGUGGGGAUUGAACCAUGCCACAUAAGGGGUUAGCUCUUAACUAAAUAUCAAACUCAACUCGAAUAUAAUACAUCAUCGCGAUCCAUAUGAGCAAAACCUGAGACGACUCACUUGAAAAUAGAGAUAAUUAUCACUAAAUCAUAGUACUAGCUGGUCACUUUAAUACAGUACUCACACUUGUAGGCUUUGGCUACACUAGCAUCAAUUAACUCUUGAUAUAACGUAAUUUUACUUCUUAAUAUUAUUCCCAAUUGAUUAACAAAACUACUAUAACAAAAACAAAUAAUAUAACUAAAAUAUGGACUUACGAAAAAUAAAAGAAAAUGAUUUUCGUACAAUUUUCCUCACUCUACGCAUCUCUAUUUAUUUUAAUCUAUCGAUUCUCAUUUAUUUCAUUUAAUUCAAAUACUAGAAAUAAAGUGGCAUUAAGACUAAGAAGGUACAAAUCCCAUCAGCUCAUGGGCAUUAGUGGAAUUUCGCCCUUCUUUAACUGCAUUGUCCCUCCAUAUGCAAGUUAAUUUCACGCGGAUACAAACCCAAUACUUAACUAAGCAACAACAGGCCCACAUUUGACCAACAACUAAUUUAGUCGUAUUUACAUACACACCCCUGUCCCACCACCACCAAGUCAAAACGACGACGUCACCUUCGUCCUCAAAAACUCCUCCAACCUCCACUUCCUUCCAAAACACAACAAACUCAAACCUCUCCGUCUGAGAAACUCUGGAGCACCAAACAAUCAACUCGCCACUAAAAAUGGGGAGGGAGCGGGACCAUCUCUACAUCACCGUUCCCAACCUCUUCCGCUGCCCCAUCUCCAUGGACGUCAUGCGCUCCCCCGUCAGCCUCUGCACCGGCGUCACCUACGACCGCGCCAGCAUCCAGCACUGGCUCGAAUCCGGCCACGACACCUGCCCCGCCACCAUGCAGAUCCUCCAGUCCAAAGACGUCAUCCCCAACCUCACCCUCCGCCGUCUCAUCAACCUCUGGGCCCAGUCCCACGGCCCUUCCUCGCCGGCCUCCUCUCCCUCUCUCUCCUCCCAGCACCUCGCCUCCCUCGUUCAAUUUCUCCGCAAUGAGAACGAGACUGAGAAAUUCAGCCAAAAUAUCGUAAACUCAUUGUCGAAGACUGCCGAUUUCGCGAGGGUCGGCGAGGAGAACCGGAGGUUUGUGGCGAAUUUCGACGGCUUCGUCUCCGCCAUUGUGGGGAUUCUGAACAGAGAAGGCGUCGAAAUCGAAGUUCUCGAAUCGGUAAUUAAGGUUUUGGAUUCGAUUUUGCCUCAAAGCGGAGUCAACGAGCAAUUGAGCCGAUUUAUUGCGAAGAGCAACGGCAAUUACCUCGCUUCAAUUCGAUUGGUACUGCAGAAAGGAAGCCUGAGCUCGAAGAUCGAAUCCGUCAAGGUUUUGGAUUCGAUCGCGCUCGACGCCGAGUCGAAACGAUUAAUCGCGGAGAAGGAAGGCUUAUUGUCCGUAUUCAACGAUCUGUUGAGCUUGGAAACGUGUCAGGACCUAUACGGCGCCGUUUUCUCAUGCUUAGCAUCAUUGUCCGUGAAUCGGUCGAUUAAAGCCGAGCUCGUCCGGUUCGGACUAGUCCGAGUUGUAACGUCAACGCUGCUAAAGCCGGACACUAGCACUACCCUUGCGGAGAAGUGUUUGAAGCUGUUAUCCACCAUUGCCACGUGCGCCGAGGGCCGGUCGGCGAUCAGCGGGGAGGAGAAGUGCGCGGAGGCGGUGGCGGAGAGGCUGAUGAAGGUGUCGAGGGGGGCGACGGAGGACGGCGUGGCGGUGCUGUGGAGCGUGUGCUGCAUGUUGGGGGACAAGAGGGCGAGGGAGAGCGUGGCGGGAGGAAAUGUGGUGGCGAAGGUGUUGUUGGUGAUGCAGAGUGGGUAUGGAGAGGGGCAUUUUGUGAGGAGGAUGUGUGGGGAUUUGGUCAAAGUUUUGAGUGUUGGGUUAGGGUUGGGGUUGAGGUAUGACACCAAGACUAUACAUAUCAUGCCUUGUUAGAAAUUGUUCAUGAUGAUAAUCUUGCUCAUUUAUUUUUUUUUUGGAAAUUGUGAAUUUGGAUAAAAAAUUUUAUAGAAACAAAAAGGAAAAUUCUUUUUAGUUUUGUAGUCAUUGAUCAUCAUUAUGUGAUUGAUGUUGUAUGAUUAGUAGAGAUAUUUUUGUGUGCUGUGAACAUGACCCGGUAUAUUAAGAAUAGUAUUACAAUUCGUUGGAAACUUUAAAAAAAAAAUUCCAAGAAAUUGUAUGUGCUGUGUUUCCGGAAAAAUUUCUUGGGUUUGUGGGGAUGUGAAUAUGCAAAAUUAUGUUGAUAAGAUGGCUUAAGUGAUUAAAAGAAUGAAGAAAUAAACAACUUUUUGUUAAUCUCAUGUUAAUCUUCUUUUUUGAUUUGUUGUUUCUUUUAUUGUUAAUUCAGAAAAGUUUCAUGAUGAAUUUGUUUGGACUUUGAAAAAGGAUUAGGGACAAGAAUCCAAUCCAUCGUAAAAGGGGCAAGUUUUGAUAUGAUUUGCAAGUUAUAACUUGUUAAGUAAGAGAACGUAAGGAGAUCUAUUGUAUACUUGGGUAAAUUUAAUUGGUCUUAAGUUCAAAUUUAUUUCUAAGUAAUUUUGGAGUAAUUGUGAUCAAAUAGUUGUAUGCUUUUUUUUAGAGUGGACUUACAAGUCACAGUUGUAUUGCCUCAACUACGUUUUAUACCAAUAAUACAAUACCAUGCAGAGAAAUUUACACAUAAUGUUGUAUAUUUGGCAUGAGACUAUCUUAGUGAAAAUGUAUCCAUGCCAUAGAAGUCGUCCUCUCUUUUGUGGGUGAGGUAGUUCUGGGCAAUGAACCUGUAUGAAAAAAUAUGAGUUGUUGAGCUAUGCACGAGUGUCAAACGUAACAUGGCUUAUUUUCGUAUCCCUGGUAAACAAACUACAAAAUCGUUGCUCUUAGAACAGUAUGUGUUUAAUUUCAAAAACGAGACAAAAAUGAUUGUAAAGAAAAAACACUAAAUAAGGAGACAAAUUCAGGCUAGUUUGCGUUCGAAUUUUACAGGGUAAGGCAACAACUUGGCUGUAGUAGGCAUCUGGUUUGCAAAAAUCCAGCAGAAAACAAUUGUAUGGACAACAAAUUGCGAUGCUCCGAUGCGACUCUCUAACAAUGUAAAGCUGUUUUGAAGUGGUGAAGGAACAAGGGUCAUGGCGCCAGAUAACCGAGUUGUAUCAGCAACCAUUUUUAUGAGCCUGCUGCCUCGGCUUCCAUGCUCGAUUCUGGUAACUUUGUCAUCUACAACUCGGACUCAAAUAUCAUUUGGCAGAGUUUUGAUACUCCAACCGAUACCAUUGUAUCUGGCCAGCGAUUGCUGGCUAGAAAGAAGCUUGUCUCCAGCAUCUCCGACACAAAUCAUGCAAGCGGAAGAUUUAGACCUUCAAUGUAGCGUGAUGGGAACCUAGAGAUGUACCUGGAGUGUCCAAUUAUAUUACAACCUGAUUGAUCGGUAUGCUUACUCAAAUAGUGGGACGUACAGGGCUGGAGACAAUGAGUCACUCAACGUUGAUCACAAUGGACAGUUAUAUCUCCUCAGUUACAAUAUAAGGAACGCUACGAAUCAGAAAGAGCUGUUUGACACACACACGUAUGUACCACAUGAUGAUUGACUUUGAUUGUAUUACUCCAGUUAUACUUCCAUACUAUUUAUAUUUAAUUUUAAAUUUUAAAUGAUUUUUAACCGCACGAUAUACAUGAACGGACAUAAUUAUGGGAUCCUCCAAAUUCCUGAGAAAAGGACGUCGAACAAGAAUCUUUGGUUGCUCCAUUGUCUCAUUUGACGGACUGAAAUAACGGAGCUAACAAACUGUAAGUACAAAGGACGAAAGUGAAAAGAAAAAGGCUAAAGGGAGGUAAGUGAUAAUUCGAUUUAAACUAACGGGACCAUGAGUGCAAUCUGACUCGCUCCUUAACUUGGAAAAGCCAACCAGGGCGUUCCAAGUGUGAUGAUGAACACGUGCCGAAACACCAUUGGAUUCUGGAGGGGAACCAGUGAGGCCUCCCGCAGCAAAGCCACACAAAAUGAUACACAAGCGAUCUGAGUCGUCGGCGAGGAUCCUUUUCCGUGAAAAAUCGAUCGAAGAAGCAAAGGCAGGUCACUGAAUAAAGAAAUAAAAACACAGAAGCUGAAGCUGUUGCGGGAAAAAGCUUGACCAAAUCAGGGUUCCCGAAUUCGAAUCGCCAACGAGGUUAACCAGAUUAGGGUUUUAACAAAAUUUUUAAGUUACUUUUACCAUGUUGUAAUUGCUUAAUUUUUUUUGCUGAAAUUCAGAAAUUUGCAGGAAAACUGAAAUGGGGGACGGCCUAUGGAACCGCCAGCAGCAGCAGCAGCAGCAGCAUCAACUGGGUCCCUCUGGCGGCGUGCAUAAACGACCUCGUUCCGACUACGGUAACUCCUCUGUGGCCAUUUCUCAUAGUUUUUUUCUUUAAUUAGAUGAAAUUGCGAUUGCAUUCGUUUGCAUUAUAGAUUUAGUUGUCAAACCAUUUAAUUUCUGACUUCUUGUUUAUAAUUCGAGCGAUAUUAUAAUCUAAUCGAAACUAUGGGGAGAGGGGGAUUCGAACUUGGGUGCAGAUGGGGAGCACACUGCUCGAGCCAACUUAGCUAGGCCAAAGUCUGCUUCUUCGUGUUAUAAGUGUUUUUACUUUAGUGGUUCUUGAUGGGUUUCGGGUUUCAAUGUAAAUUAUGUUUCAAAGUGGUGAAAUUUAUGUGAAGGGUCAAGGGUAUCUAGACAAAGGAUUCCAGUUCAGUUGUCUGAUGACUCUGCUUGUAUGUAUCUCCCCUUACUCUAGUAGAUAUGCAGAUUCUGGUUUUGUAGCUAGGUGUCUCUUUUCUUUUCUUUUAUAAAAAUUACAAUAAAUGUUUUGCUUCCAUAGUUCCAUGUGUACUCUUACAUCUUCGGGGUCUUCUUGAAGCAUAUAAUAUAGUCUUAGCCUAUCUGUUCCACUUACUACAAUUGCGAUCAACACUCAUACUCGUAUGAUUCCAUAUAAUAAUGUAUCUUCCACGAAAGCUUUACUAAGCAUAUGAUUUCUGUUAUUAUUUUCUUUGUAACCAGAUCACAGUUUUUGGCCUUCAUGUUUCCUUCGGUCCAUUGUUAAUGAUAUUAUUUACUGGAUUUCAUAUUUAGAGCAACUUUUGAAUGAUUUCCACAUUAGCGGUAGUUUUAGAAGUUACUGGUUGUUAUUAAGUUAUGUUCAAGGGGGGAAAACCUUGUUCGGUGUGUUUGCUAAGACCUGUGUGAAAAUGGAAACUACUACAAAAUCAUUCAGGUUUCCAAUUACAUUGCAAGGUACUUAAGAAUGGAUCUUUUCCUGAACCCAACCAAACCCCAAACCUCUGAAAUUAUCAAGUAGAUUCUUUCCUUUUAGUGCGGUCAGUCUUCCAAUCUAAUACUAUUCUUCAAUAAUUAUGGUAAUAAGAUCCUCCAUACAUAUUUAUAAUGCAAUUAUGUUUAUAUACAAAUUGAUGCAUAUUAUUGGUAUACAUUUUGAUAUAACCAAAUUCCCCUUUUUUUUCAUUUAGUUAUUUGUUUGCUGAGUUGUUCUUGUUAUAACUUCUUAGUCACUGAUCAAAAGCCUAGACUUGUAUAUUGUAUGUAGAUGUUUUGAUUGGUAUGUUUUCUUUGUACUUUUGAACAUUGGUGGCAGUUUUACUUGUUCAAAUACCACCUAGUUGUUAGUAGUGAUAUUGUUCAUUCCGCACCUUGGGUCUAACUCUGCACAUUAAAGAGUAGGUUUUUACCUUGUUAAUUGACGGGGCAUACUCUACUUCCACCUCAUGCUUCUCAAUUGGUUUCUUGAUUUAAGUUCUUCCAUCUGCUUUUUUAUUUUUUAUGCCUUUUCUCUUGUUCUAUAGUUGUAAUAUAUACAGCUGAAUUAGGGUCUAUUUGUUAAUGUUUUCUCAAUGUUGUGCCUUUAAAUAUAGGUAAAUUAUGCGCUUGGUGCAUUAAGUUUGUUAAACAUGGGAAACAUAUUCUGUAAAAUGAUCUCAACUUUUGUUCUUCAAGUUAGGAAACAACCAUUCCACUAUUUAUGUUGUUUUCAGGGGGAUUGUGAAACAUGGUGAGUAGUUAGAAACAAAAAAAGGAACCUUUCAACUGGAAUAAAUGUUUCUGUCAUCCUCAGAGGCUCUGUUGUUGGUCCUCACUUUUCACGUAUAUCUGCUCUCAAAAACCUAUACCAAAAAACCAAACACCCUAUCGCCUCUCUCUUCCUUUCUUUCUCCAUCUCUCUUUGCCUCCUCAUCUCUCCCACUUUCUCUCUACACCCUCAAAACCUGCACUCCAGCCCCACUCCGAACGCCUGACCCAUUCAUCGAAACCAAUAUGUGGAACCUCUUCUCAACCUCCCCCGCCCCCGCCCCCGCAAUGUUGUCGUCUCGUCUCUGAUUUGAAAACAUUUGGUUGUGGGUUGUUUUCAAUAUAAUAAGUUGGACGUGAAUAAUUGUUAGUGAUAAAUUUGGAUGGUAGAGUUUGGUAUUAUUUCAAUUUAAACUGGAGUGGUCAAGAAUUUGGUAGAACUUGUAAAAUGGAGAAACUGAAGAUGGUGAAUCAGACUUGGUUUCAGUUUAAACGGGGAUAGUUAUACCGUACUUGUAUGGGAUAUAGAGCGAUGUUGGAUGCAGCUUUAUUUUAUUGUAUCGGUUUUGUUUUGGUGUCGGAAUGGUUAUACUGUACUUGUAUCUGUUUCUUUAUCUCGUUUUGGUGUUGCUUUAUUUUUUUAUUGCUUUUAAAUCUGAAAUGGUUAUACUGCACGUGUAUUGGAUAUAGGUCUGAUGUUGGAUGUUUAUUGAUAUGAAUGUUCCAUUUAAUAGGGCUCUAACUCACAAUGGUUUUGGUUAGCUUUGAUGCGGGCAUGGGAUAAAUCAAUUUCACUAUUGUGCCGUUUAAAAGGGCUCUUAACUCACAAUGUUUUAAUAUAUUUGUUUGGUUCAUUGAUACGUCUUGUCAAAAUGUGUUUACAUUAGUUACGUGUUUGAACUUUGAUUAUAAUAUUUAGUUGAAAAUAGUUUUUCAAAAUAUUGCUGCCUAAUACAAAUUCAGUAAUUUAAUUUUUUUCUCAUACUAGCACUGAACACAUUUUCACUGUUUUUGUUUUUAGAAACAUUUUUUCAAACUAUUCUACCAGAUGCAUUAUCUAAUGUUAAAUUACAAGAAUGUUAUAUCAUUUUCAUUUUCUGAAAGGUUUUUAUGCAGAUGGUUUUGUAAAACAUCACCUGAUAGGCUCUUACUUUUCUGUAUUGUCAACCUGUCUUCAGGUCAAGAGAUGCAUGGUUAUUUUGCGCGAGAGGAUGAUCUUGGUGGUCCUAGGACUGUAAAGGAUAACAGAUCAAUCGGAUCAGCAUAUGACCGUUAUCUUCAGAAUGCGGUGACUUUCUUAAGCAUUUGAAACUAUGCCUAUUAUUAUUUGUGUUACAUCUCUCUGUUUCUGUACUAAAACAUUUGUCCUACUUGCUUCUAAAGGAAAUGGCUUCGUACACUUCUGGAGAAGCGAGUACUUUUGGUGGAGCUGGAAUGGGAAGGGCUGUUGGUGGUGGAAUGACAGGUCCUCCAAUGGCUGAUCAUUCUAUGAGGGGCCGUCCUGGAGCUAUGUCUUCUGAUGUACUAACAAAUGGUCGAAAUAUGAAUCUUGCUAAUCAGCUCCCAGUUGAUUCAAUGCCUAGGCCUGGACGUGAAACAGUUCCUUUACCUCUGGAUGCAUCCAGCACUUUAUAUGUUGAAGGACUUCCUCCUGACAGCACAAGGAGGGAAGUAGCUCGUAUCCUUUAUGAUGCUUAAGAAUUAUUGCAUAUUGCUUUCCAAUCUUAUUGUUUAACUCAAUAGUUUUUCCAUCGCUCCUCCUUUACAUAACUCUUAAGAUAUCUUUCGUCCUUUUGUGGGAUACAAAGCAGUGAGGCUUGUGAGCAAAGAGUCCAAACACGUAUGUGGGGGUGGAUUAUUGUAAACAAUUACUUUUCUUAGUCAUUCUGUUUUUCUUGAUCACUCUGACUUGAGAUUGUCGUUGUGCUACUUGGUUCGACUCUUGGGAAGUUUAUAAUCUUUCUUCACACUAAUAUUCCGGUUUGUCCAUAAUGCAGCGUGGCGGGGAUCCUCUUAUUCUUUGUUUUGUGGAUUUUGAAAAUCCAGCCUGUGCAGCAACUGCUCUGAGUGCCUUGCAAGGUGAUUGCUUUUUAUUGUCAUCAACCUUGGUGACUAUCAGUGUCAAAGAAAGCUUAAUUCUUUCUUUCUGUUUUUAUUUGUUUCCUUUAUAGCUUCACAAGUGUUAUUUUCUAUCAUACCUUAUUCAAUCAUGUAAAGGGUAAAUUUAUGUUAAAAUUCUUCCAUGCAUAGUAGGUGUAAAGAGGUUGAGGCAGUUCAUAAAAAUGUUAUAGAUGGCUUCUUGUGAUUUAAUAUUGGAGUUCAUAAUAUCUCUACACUACAUAUCGUGUAGAACUAGCUGGAUUGCUCAUUAUUUUCCCAUGUUUGUUGUUUUUGAAAAGCUGGAAGAUGCUGACAUUUGUGUUGCUGGAAGAUGCUGACAUUCAUGUAAUUCCAUGCAUAGUGUUUUAGUAUGUGUAAAGACGUUGAGGCAGUUGAAAAAAAAAAUGUUAUAGAUGGUUUCUUGUGAUUUAAGAUUGAAGUCCAUAAUAUCUCUACACUCCCGAUUGUGUAGAACUAGUAUUGCUCAUUAUAUUUUCCCGUGCUCGCGGUUUUUGAAACGCUGGAAGAUGCUUACAUUUGUGUUGCGUUUGCAGGUUAUGAAAUGGAUGAACAUGCUCCUGAUUCUAAUUACUUGCGGCUGCAGUUUUCUCGGUUCCCUGGUCCUAGGUCUGGACCUGGCCGUAACAAGAGGUGAUAGGCAUUAGGUGAUGAGAAAUAUCUGUUUUUGAUGUAAUCAAGAUUGCAUUUGCUUUUAAUACAUUCCAUAUAUAUAUAUAUAUAUAUAUAUAUAUAUGUAUUGCUCAGGCUUGGGCACACACCAACUGUAAGCACUUCUGAUGCACAUUGUUGUUUCGAGGUAGUGAAUCAGAAACAGUUUUAUAGUUGUGCAAUUAAACAGAGAUCUGAUUUUGCACGUCCAUGGUCUACAAAAUUUGUAAGUGUUUUUAGAAGUGGCAAGUUUCUCAGGCACAAACCCUUUAAAAACUAGUGUGUUUUUUUAGCAUGGAUUUGCAGGCUUCUGUUACAUAUAUCAUAUGGUAAGUGAUUUCCGCUCGCUUUUUCUCCUUGUACAACUCCUUUUUUCCUAGUUUAAGGGUUGGAUAAAUCAAAUCAAAGGAGAAUAAGUGGAAAGAAACAUAAGGUGAAUGCAGGAGGAGAAAAUGGGAACGUGCCGAUGACUACCGAUCAAACUCGUCUUUUCUUGUAACUUCCAACUGCAUGGAGAAAAGCAAGACACUGCGUGAUGAGAAUGGGCAUUGCAUGGUGUCAUGUCUUGUGGUGUUAGAAAUUUGAUCCGAGUCCUUCCCAUUUGGACUACAGUUAAGGACAGGCUCUACUAUGUCCUCCCAAUGCUAAGCACUAGGUAGUGGGCUGCCGACUAGUCUAUGUGCCACUGUACAUAUCACAUGGGCUUUCAACCCAUAAUCCUAUCCUGCUAGAGCUUCCCCCUACCCUUCUUGAAAUUAGUAUACCGUCAGGUAUGUUGCUGUCUCUCAUAUCACGUGACUAAUGAUUCGUUUGGAAUUACUUCUUUCAGAAACACUUAUACUACAAGUGUUUUUAUUGUAGACACGUUAAAUCUUUACAAACAAUCCAAGUGUUCAUUGAAAAAUAUUUGAAAGUGCUUCUUGAAAAAGCAUUUGGCAAGUGCUCCUCUAAAGAUAGUUUAUACGAGUCAAAAGAAUUUCUAAUAUUUUAUCUUUAUGCCAAUCGCAACAGAACACAUUUAGCUUUUCCAGAAUCAAUCCUAAACUAGUUCUAAGCAAAGAAAGGGCAAUAUAACAUAAGGACAACGAAGAAUCUCUCUAACAUUAAAGGUUAUGUUUGUUCGGUCACUAGACUCAAACAAAAGAGAAAAGUAGAAGUGGGCAAUAAAUUGGUUUUCGAUUACCAUCAAAUUGGCACAACAUUCGGCAUUGUUUCGCAAAAGACUGCUUUUUUUUCUUAGCAUUAGUUUUACACACACUCUAGUGUGUGGUAAAAACAAGCUAGGGUUUGGUUGGAGAACAAGUCUGAGCAGUUACAUGCCAUGUGGGCUGGAGGGUUUCGUUUGGUGCCAUUACUCUUUUUUCUUGUUCUAUCAUCCUUGUCGAACUGGAAGAGAAAAAGGAGGGGAAAAGGGAGUUUAGGGCAAAAAGGAUACUGAGUUUAUAAACCAGGAAAUGUCUAAGCAAUUUGUUUGUGCCAACGUGACUGUUAUCUAAAUAUAGCGUACUUGUGGUAUAAAAGAAAAAGGCAAAAAGGGUAACUGUAAAUAGUUGUUGUACUUAAGUGUAAAUUGUCCCACAACUUGUCCAGGGACCAGUGCAUAUAAGUUGUAGCUGCAAGUGCAAGGAGCAACCUCUGGAUUAGAUAGACGGAUGGACUUGGUUUGGUAUGAUUCCAAGUCGUCGUUGAUGUUUCUUCUUCUUUGUGGCCCAGCCACCCAGGACUAUAGUCCUUAUUUGGUAGGUAUUUAUUGCAAGGCUAACUAUAGGAUUGGAGAUAGACAAAGGGAGAUGGGACAUGGAGAAUGGUUUGCCAAGUUUGUUUAGAAUGGAUCGGGAUCAAUGCCCGUUGGAUCCCUAGUAAUUGAAUAUUAGUUAAAGAUUCAACGUCUAUGAAUCUCGGUCUAUGUUAUGAACUGUUUUUACAAUUUUCGUUCAUUGUGUAUCACGUAAUAUGCAUAAUGUUAGACAAUCCACUUGUUUUAUUUGAGACAACUGUAUUUGAUGCACUUCCUAAUUUCUGUUUUCUGACUUGCUUCAAUCUACAUUCUCUUGAUAUUUUUUUUUCCAUUUUACUCGGUUUUAUGAUAGUGAGAACAUUCAACAUGGCCUCUUCUUCCUCAAGUUGCUUCUUUGUGAUACGUAUAUCUGUUUUUGUACUAAAACAUGUAUCCUACUUGCUUUUAAAGGAAAUGCCUUCGUACACUUUUGGAGAAGCGAGUACUUUUGGUGGAGCUGGAAUGGGAAAGGCUGUUGGUGGUGAAAUGACAGGUCCUCCAAUGGCAUGAUCAUUCUAUGAGGGCCAGUCCUGGAGCUAUGUCUUCUGAUCUAUUAACAUAUGGUCGAAAUAUGAAUCUUAUUAAUCAGCUCCCAGUUGAUGCAAUGCCUAGGCGUGGACGUGAAACAGUUCCUUUACCUCUGGAUGCAUCCAGCACUUUAUAUGUUGAAGGACUUCCUCCUGACAGCACAAUGAGGGAAGUAGCUCGUAUCCUUUAUGAUCCUUCUAUGAUGCCUAAGAAUUAUUGCAUAUUGCUUUCCAAUCUUAUUGUUUUACUCAAUAAUUUUUCAAUCGCUCAUCCUUUACAUUACUCUUUAAGAUAUCUUUCGUCAUUUUGUGGGAUACAAAGCAGUGAGGCUUGUGAACGAAGAGUCAGGUUUGUCCAUAAUGCAGCGUGGCGGGGAUCCUCUUAUUCUUUGUUUUGUGGAUUUUGAAAAUCCAACCCAUGCAGCAACUGCUCUGAGUGCCUUGCAAGGUCAUUGCCUUUUUCUUUUCAUCAACCUUGGUGACUAUCAGUGUCAAAGAAAGCUUAAUUCUUCGUUCUGUUUUUAUUUGUCUCUUUAAAGGUUUGUAAAUUUUUUUUCUAUCGACCUUAUUCAACCAUGUAAAUGGAAAAUUUAUGUUAAAAUUCUUCCAUGCAUAGUAGGUACAAAGUGGUUGAGAUAGUUCACAAAAAUGUUAUGGAUGGCUUCUUGUGAUUUAAUAUUGGAGUCCAUAAUAUCUCUACACUCCAGAUCGCGUAGAACUAACUAGAUUGCUCAUUAUUUUCCCGAGCUUGUUGUUUUUGAAACGCUGGACGAUGCUGACAUUUGUGUUGCGUUCGCAGGUUAUGAAAUGGAUGAACAGGCUCCUGAUUCUAAUUACUUGCGGCUGCAGUUUUAUCAGUUCCCGGAUCCCAGGUCAAGACCUGGCCGUAACAAGGGGUGAUAGGCAUUAGGUGAUGAGAAACAUCCGUGUUGAUGUAAUCAAGAUUGCAUUUGCUCUUAUACAUUAUAUAUAUUGCUCAGGCUUGGGCACACACUAAUUGUAAGCACUUCUGAUGCACAUUGUUGUUCUAGGUAGUGAAAUCAGAAACAGUUUUAUAGUUGUGUUGAACGAUCUGAUUUUGCACGUCCAUGGUCUACAAUUUACUCAAGGAAUGUUUUAAUUCUGAAUUGAGAUUGUACUGUGCAUAGACUACCGCAAAAUUAGUACAGAGAUAGUUUCCCUAUAGAUUGUUUUCAUAUACUAGAGGACUUCCAUGGCCAGGGUAUCUUGCCACCAUAUUGUCCCCGUACAUUUUCCCUCCAUAUUAGUUAUAUAUUUAUCUGGACAUUCUAACCUAAUGAAGUCCUACAAUCAUCAUAACUCAUUUUACUUAGCUCAUGCUCCUUACAAUAUUUGAUGAACUCACAUAAGAAACUCAUAGAAAUUUGUUCCCAGUCAUUACCUUUGGACUGCAGUUGAAGCUUAUGAUACAUCCUCCCAAUGCUAAGCACUAGCUAGUGGGUUGUCGACUAAUCUAUGCCACCGUACACAUCGCAGGGGCUUUGAACUCUGUCUCAAUUAUUGUAAAGACGUUAGCCUCUUCAAUGAAAGAACCCAUAGUCCUAUGCUGCUAGAGCUCCCCCCACCCUUCUUGGAAUUAAUAUAGUGUUAGGACAUAUCGCUCUAUUUCUCACAUCACGUGACUAAUGAUUUCUUUGAAGUUACUUCUUUAGGAAACACUUAUACUACAAGUGCUUUUAUUAUAUAGAAUCUUUAUAAGCAAUCCAAGUGUUCAUUGAAAACGUAUUUGAAAGUGCUUCUUGAAAAAGCAUUUGGCAAGUGCUUCUUGAAAAAGCAUUUGGCAAGUGCUUCUAUAAAAGAGCUUAUUGGGUCAAAAGAAUUUCUAAGUUUUUUUUUCUGCCAAGCACAACAGAAUACACAUUUUAGCUUUUUCCAGAACCAAUCCCAGACAAGUUCUAAGCAAAGAAAGGGCGAUACAGCCUGAAGACAACGGAGAAUUUCCCUGACGUUAAAGGUUUUGUUUGUUCGGUCACUAAACCCAAAAAAAUAGAAAACUUGAAGUGGGCAAUGAAUUGGUUUUCGAUUUCCAUUAAAUUGGCACAACAUUCGGCAUUGUUAUGCAAAAAUAUACUUUUUUCUUAUCAUUAGUUUUACACACACUCUAGUCUGUGGUAUAAAAUGAGCUAGGGUUUGGUUGGAGAACAAGUCUACGUGGUAUCAUCACUUACAUUACAUGCCAUGUGGGCUGGAGGGUUUCAUUUGGUGCCAUUACUCCUUUUUCUGUUCUAUAAUCAUUUUGGAACUGGAAGAGAAAGUGGAGGGGAAAAGGUAGUUUAGGGCAAAAAUUUUCCAAUCAAUUUUUUGGCAGUGUGACUGUUUUCGAAAUAUAGAGUAGUUGUGGCAAAAAAGAAAAAGGAAAGGGGUAAUUGUACAUACACAUUGUUCCAAAGGGUCAGUUGUCCCACAACUUGUCAAGGGACCAGAGCAUUAAGUUGUAGCUGCAAGUGCAAGGAGAAAGUUGUGGAUUAGAUAGACCAAUGGAUUUGGUUUGGUUUAAUUCCAAGUCAUCGUCGUUUCUUCUUCUAUGUGGCCCAGCCGCCCAGGACUUUAGUCCUUAUUUGGCAGGUACUUAUUACAAGGUUAGAUAAAGGGAGAUGAUACAUGGAGAACGGUUUGCCAAGUUUGUUAGAGUGGAUCCGGAUCCAUGAGUGUUGGAUCUCUAGUAAUUGAAUCUUUAGUUAAAGAUUCAAUGUCUCAACGAUCUAUGCUAUACAUUUGUCUUUACGAAUUUUCAUUCAUUGUGUAUUACAUAAUAUUCUUGACCCUCUUAUAUGUGACUUCGGCCGACUUCUAUCACCCGAUAUCGUUGUGUAAUAACUUGAUGAGAUAGCCAAUGCUUAGGUCAUCUUCAAUGGAGAUGGCUAAAGGUCAAAAAGCUAAAAAAUAGUAUGAUUUGUUCAAAAACUCAUCUCCAACCAAUGUCAGAGCUAUAAUUAUAUGGAGCCCACCAUGCCAUUAUUUGGCUAGUGCCCCUUUCUUAGCCCCUUUUUGGGGCCUAGCUCCUCGAUUAUGCCAUCUGCAAUGAAGAGGGCUAAAUGUCUAAAAGCCAAAAAAUGACAUGAUUUACCCAAAAACUCAUCUCCAACCAAUAGCUAGGUUAUAAUUCUAUGGAUUCAACAGUUAGAUUUGGAAACAUCCAAUGUUAGUUUAAUUAAAUUAAAGUAUAAACUUAAAACUAAUAAAUUAUUAGGGAGCCUAUGUUUUAGCCCUUUCGGUUGGAGAUGGUAUAUGAGUAUGGCCGACACUAUUCAUUUAAAAAUAAUUUUUUUGUUGGGUUAUAAUUUUGGAUGAGGCUAUGUCUAGCCCUUUUGGUUGGAGAUGACCUUACAAUGAUUAAUUCAAAUUCAAUGGUUAAAUUUGAAAAUAUCCAACAAAACAUCCAACAGUAGUUUAAUUAAAUUAAUCAAUAAUUUUAAGUAUAAACUCAGAACUAAUAAAUUAUUGAGGGAGUUAUGUUUAGCCUUUUCGGUUGGAAAUGAUAUAUGAGUAUGGCCUAAUACUGUUUAUUAAAAAAAAAAUCUUUAGUUAUCUCUGCUAAUCAAUAAAACACUCAUUGUCAACCAAAAUCCUAUGAAAUUACCAGUUUAACCUUCUAAUUAAAACAAAACAUGAAUAAGAAAUAUGGGGCGGAAAUUUAAUUUUACACAAACAAAAUUUGUUGUUUUUUUUUUUCAAAACUUCAUCUAUAUAUAAUUCUAACAUAUCUCUAAUUAUAAAAUAAAUAAAAAAUAAAAAUAAAAACUUCCUACUCCCACAUUCUCUAUCACUCCCUUCCUCUCUUCUUUUAUUUUAAAACAAAAAAAAAAAUUUCACAUACUUUAUAUAUGCCCAUAUGCUAGUAAUUAUAAACGAAACUAUAUUUAACUAUUUCGUUGAAAAUGACCGUACGAGUAUGUAAAUUUUGAAAUGUGAGUUGUCGUUCACUACGCAAGCAAAGAUCGAAAGCCUUCAUGUACCGAGGGGUCCCACUCCUUGAAUCAGAAUAAAAGUGCUUUGAAAAAGUCCCUUUAAUUAUGUCCAAGUUUGGAUAAAAUUUGUCCAUGCAUGGCAUGCACUCACUGACUGAUCUCGUCGUCCUGAAGGGUAAGAGAGGUAAAUUCCAGAAUAACCCACGAGGCACUGUAUGAAGCCUGUCAAUUACAUCAACUCAUCAAGCUUUCAAUCUUUUCAUGGCAUGCCUAACUUCUGUGAAAUAUGCUCAACAUUUAACAUUUUGUAAACCAAAAAGAGAGUAAGAGAGAGAUGAUUGAAGUAAUAAAGUAAAAGCGAAAUGCAUGCAUUGAUAAAAGGAAAUUUUAACAAAAAAAAUUUCGGUACUGUUUACUUUAACAAAAAAUUAUAUUUUUACAUUAAAAAGUCAAUUCUAAUACUAUUCAUUUUACCCUUUAUUUGUUCUUUAUUGUUAAAAAUCAAAUUUUUCAAUCCAUUUUUAUUAGUUUUCCUUUGAUAAAAGGAGAAAGAUGCAUGGAGAACUGGUUUUUUAUUUUAUUAUUAUUUUUUUUACAAACAAUAAUAUUAGAGUGGAUUAAGUUAUUAGCUGUUAGCGAGAAGAGGAUCAAUAAUAAUCAAACUAGCACCCGGAUGUAUAAGCAUAAUUGUUUUCUAAAAUUGCAAUAAAACGUCACUUUCCAUAUAUAUAUAUAUAAAAAAAAAAAACUUAUUGUUCCUUGUAUGAUGGAUUGCAAUCUCAAUAUCGUUCUUAAUGGAACGGCCACAAUUAGUUGUUCAGGACAUAAACAAUAUGUAUUGUCUUUAUAUUUAGGAAAUUGGCUCUGUUAGCCUUAUUACAAACCCAACAAUUAAAAAUACUCCCAAAUUAUAAUCUCUAUUAGCCCUCUUUUCCUUAAAUACCACUAACUUGAAAGAUGAACUGUUAUUCUAUGUCUCGACGUUGGAUCUCGAUGGCAUCCAAAAGGGCCUCUCAACUCCCUUCCGACUGUAUCUCGACUGAAUCACGACGGCAUCUCAACGGCACAGAACUGAAUUACCCUUAUAUUUAUGAGUUGAUCAGACACUCCAAUUAAAUAAAAAUAACUAUAAUUAUGUCAAAAUUAUUUAGUCAGUCUCACGUAUAUAUAAUUAAUUCAUCAAACACAUAAACAAAAAAGUUCUUGUAUGUAUGCUAUACUUUGAUUUGUCUCAACAAGAAAUGACUCAGUCAUCUUUUUAUCUAUGUCCAUUGAGUUUAUGGAGGGCAACAUAUUGAGAUCUCAAAAAUCUUAUUCUCAUACAACACACUUUUUUUUUUGAACAAACGAUAUUAUCUACACUAAGGGAAAAUGGGUGGCCUAAACCUCACAAUGGGCUAGCAAUAAUGUGGUUCAAAUUCACAUUUGGCGAGAAUCAAACCUAAGACCUCUCACUGACAAGUGAAGAAGAAUAUCACUAGACCGUAGUCCUAAAAAAAAUAUAGAUCUUAUAGUCUUGCAGUGUUUUAGAUUAGCUAAAACGUUGGUAUCCAUAUUAACUUACCAAAAAAAAUAUGUUGAAUUUGCUACACCUGGAAUUUGUAGCAGAUUUGUCAUUUUAUAAAGGGGUUUUUAACUCAUUUAAAAAAAAAGAAGGGGUUUUUAACUUUAAUUCUUAAAAAAAAUUGAAAUUUAAUAAAAAUCGGAUGUUAGAUUACAUAUUAAUUAUUGUCCUUUAAUGUGUUAUUAACUCAAAUUAAUUAAUGUGUAUUUUAUUCAAUAUCUCACAUUAAAUAUUUGAAUUUAUGAAAAUGAAAAUUAUAAUAAAAUAUAAUUAAUAUAUCAAAAUUAGAAAGAAAAAGAGAAAUAAUUAAAACAUCAAAAUAUAAUUAAUAAAUGAAGUAAUUAACAUAUCAAGAGACUAAAAUUAGAUUUUAAUUUUACUCAUGUUUUUAAUUUAAAGUUAUUUUUAUCAAAAAUUAAAAUGAAGUUUCCUAUUUUGUAAAUUACAACGAUGAAAAAUGACGCGUUGCACGUAAGAAACAACAUCUAUAUUUUCUCUUUUGUUUAAUAUGCCAUCAAACAUAUCCAUCACAUUUUAAAUUUUGUGGAAGUCCCUCUCUCACAUUGAUAAAGUCUGGUUUGUGUUGGACAGCUGUCCAACAGACAACCCAAAAAUCUUCCAAAAACCAACAAACAUUUCUGACCAGUCAUGCAUACGUAUGCAUGGACCCAAUGGCAUAUAAUCAAAAAUUUUAAAUAAUGGGAUCGUAAUGUCAACUUAAAAAAAAGUUUCAUUAAGCUAUUUCAUCGAACAUUUAGUAAGCAAUUGUCAAUUCUUGUCAACAAUGCCAAAAGUUUAUGUUAAAAUAUAUCAACUACGAUAAUUUGUAGAGGCUUGUCGAGAGUGAUGUAGGAUACUACGAAGUAAUAUUGAGAACUCUUAAAGCUUUUCAACUAAAGUAUUUUAUAUAAAAAGAGAGAAAAGAAAAACAAAUAUGAUAGAAGAAAAUAGAAGAAGUAAGAAGAUGAGGUUGUAAGUUAGUUUGCUUUAGCUAUUUAUAAUGGUCAAAUAAAAUAUACAAACAAAUAUACAUGAGAUUUUUAAAGUUGUUGAGAUCAAGGAUAAUCAAUGAUCCCAUUCUAGUUUUGCCAUUGCAUGGGCCGGAUAGGGAUAUGGCUAAAAUAUAAUUCUAUUAAUUGCGUUUUGGGACUUUGUCUAACAACUUGGCUCUCUCUUGACUUGGAUGCCAUGGAUGGCUCAUGCAGUUUACUAAAACUAGUAAUGUACAAUUUUCAGAGACUAUUAAUUAUCAUCUAUCAGGAAAAUUUGAUUUCCAUGCUUGCCCUUUCACGUCGGUGACUUGGAGAUAAUAUUGUUUCUUGUCCGGAGAUGAAAUAAAAUAAAAAGACUUGCACGAUCAUACUGCAUUAUAUAUAUUACACUAUAUAGUCUAUGUUGGGAGUUAUAUAUUAGUUAAAGUAUAAAUAGUAGUCUGUUAUCCUAUAUUGAUGAAGUGCAUAUGUAAUACAAAUUGUAAUUCCUAUAUAUACUCCAUUUUGGAGAUUAAUGAAUAUAUGAGAAAUUCUCAAAUAUUAUCAUAUAUAUUUUUGGUAUUUACCAUGUUUAGUUUAAUAUAGCAUCAAAGCAGUUCGCUCUUGGUGACCUGUGUGCUUUAAUUUUGUGCCCCACAUUUGUCAUGAUUUCCUUCGUCUUGAAAAAAAAAAAGGAAAGUAAAUAGUGUUGCACUACAGUACAAACAGUGCGUAAACAGUGGUAUGCUACAGUGUUCAUGAACAAUAUUUUGCUACAGUGCCAUUAACAGUGAUCUACUACAUCACUUGAACAGUGAUGUGCUACAGUAUUAUGGUAAAUUGUUUUCAUUCCGCUGCCUAUCUUUUGUGCCUUUAUUGUUUGUGAUUUAAUUCAAUGGCUCAGUAUAAUCAUAAUGUUGUUAUGCAUCUUGGUGGAACAAAUAAAUGGAUAAUUGAUACUGGGACCACUAAUCAUGUGACUAGUGACCCUAGAAUGUUUGAUGAGUUAUGUGACUAUAUUCUUGAUCCGUAUAUUACUAGUGCAAAUGGAGCACAUUCCCCCGUGAAUGUUGAAGGCAUUAUCUCUCUUACUUCGACCUUAUCACUGGUCCAUACUUUACUUGUUCCUGAUGUUAAGUGCAAUCUUUUGUCGGUAGAAAAACUACUUGAUACUUUAUAUUGUUUUGCUCACUUCUACCCUACGUAUUGUUAUUUUCAAGACAUUCAAACUCAGAAAGUAAUUGGUCAUGGUAAAAGAAUAGAGGGUUGUACAUCUUGACUAUGGAGGAUACUGUUGUUUCCGGUUCAAAUAAUCAUCAAGUUUUAAGUGCUAAAGUGGAUGACAUACAUCAAAUUUGGUUGUGGCAUUGGCGAUUAGGACGUCUAUCAUUCAGUUAUAUGAAGCAUCUAUUUCCUGCUUUGUUUCGCAUUUGUAGUGAUUCAUAAUUCAAGUGUGAAGCAUGUGUCAUGGCUAAGAGUCAUCGUGCUUCCUUUCCCAUAAGUGAUUCUAAAGCUACUUUGCCAUUUGAUUUAAUACAUUCUGAUGUGUGAGGUCCGGCAAAUGUUACUUCUAAUGAAUUUCGUUGGUUUGUUACUUUUAUUGAUGAUUGUACUCGAUUAACUUAGGUGUUAUUGAUGAAGAAUAAGAGUGAUGUUCAUUUGCUUCUUCAAGAAUUUUGUGCAAUGGUGUAUACUCAGUUUCAGACCAAAGUUAAGGUUUUCAGGUUUGAUAAUAGAGGAGAAUAUGUGAAUCACACUUUGACAUGCUUUUUUCGUGAUCAGGGUAUUAUUCACCAGACGACUACUUUGUUUACACCCCAACAAAAUGGUGUGUCAGAACAGAAGAAUCGUCAAAUAAUGGAGGUUGCUCACUCAUUGAUGUUGGAUAAAUGUGUUCCUAAUCAUUUAUGGGGUCAUGUUGUUUUGGCUGUUGUAUAUUUGAUAAAUCGUGUUCUAAGUAGGGUUCUUGAUUUUCAGACACCACUUGAUGUGUUACAAAAGCAUGUUUAUCUUGUUUCUGUAUCAAAACUUCCUCCGAAGGUGUUUGGGUGUAUUGCGUAUGUGUAUGUCUACUCUUAUCAGCGGAGUAAACUUGAUGCAUGUGUUCUUCGAUGUGUAUUUAGUAGGUAUGCUAACAAUCAGAAAGGCUAUAAGUGUUAUCAUCCUCCGACUCAUAAAACUUAUAUUACCAUGGAUGUCACUUUCCACGAGGAAGUUUCGUAUUUUGUGAAGCCAUCUUCCGACUCUCCACUUCAGGGGAAAAAAGGGAGUGAAGUGCAUAUUUGAAGAGAUGGUAUGGAUGAUGUGUUACAGGCAGAGUUGGGGAUAGAACCUAUUAUGUUGCGUGAUACUGAUCAGUCGGUUAUAGAUAGUGAUCUGUCACCUAUUAUUCCUAAAACUAUUUUUACUGACGACAGAUUAGAUGUGCCCAACGAGUUGCUUGUCAGUAUGUCUGACGAAUUACUUUCUGAUGACCGAUUGCUUGCUUCUGGUAUGUCUAACGAGCUGCCUGAUGAUGGUUAGUUCAGUGAUGGUUCAUCCAGUGAUGAUUCUUUUAACAAUUUGGUACAAGAUAAUGACAUACAUGAGUUAAAUUCUGACGAUUCUUCUAUUUAUUAGUUGCCUCCACGAGCUAAUCGUGGAAAACCUAAGGUACAAUAUGAGCCUGAUAUGCAUGCCAAAUCCAAAUAUCCUAUCAACAAUUAUGUGUUUACUCAUCGUUUGUCCAAACCAUUUUCAUCUUACAUAUGUCAGCUAUCUAGUGUAUCAAUUCCAACAAAAUUGCACGAUGCCUUGUCUGACCCUAAGUGGGUUAAUGCCAUGAGAGUUGAGAUGGAAGCCUUGGAAAAGAAUUCUACUUGGGAUUUGGUUCAUUUACCAAAUGGGAAGAAAGCUGUUGGAUGUAGAUAGGUGUUCACUAUUAAGCACAAAGCAGAUGGUUCUAUUGACCGGUAUAAAGCCAUAUUAGUUGCUAAGGAUUAUACUCAAACCUAUAGGGUGGACUAUCAGGAGAUUUUUGUUCUUGUUGCCAAACUUAAUACUGUGUGUGUUCUUCUGUCCUUAGUAGCAAACCAGGAUUGGCCUCUGUUGCAGUUUGAUGUUAAGAAUGAUUUCCUUCAUGGUGAUCUCAAGGAGGAAAUUUAUAUGGAUCUCCCACUUAGUAUUAGAACAUCUCCUGAAAAAUGUGUUGUAUGCAAGUUGCAAAAAGCUUUGUAUAGUUUGAAACAAUCUCUUAGAGUGUGGUUUUGGAGGUUUACAAGUUCAAUGAAGAAGUUUGGGUAUGUCCAGAGUCAUUCAAAUCAUACUUUGUUUCUAAAUUGUUUCUAAAGCCACAAAAUGGUAAGCUAACUGCAUUGAUUAUUUAUGUUGAUGACAUGUUAGUGACUAGUGAUGAUCAAAAGGAGAUACAACGCCUUAAAAAAGUACCUAGCUAGUGAAUUUGAGAUGAAAGAAUUGGGUGAAUUGAAGUAUUUUCUUGGAAUCGAGGUUGCACAAUCCAAGCAUGGUAUUUUUCUGUCUCAACAGAAGUAUGUUCUUGAUUUGUUAGUUGAAACAAAUCUGUUAGAUUGCAAACUUAUUGAUACUCUGAUUGAGCAAAAUCAUCAUCUGGGCUUAUUUCCGAAUCAAGUUCCUACUCAUAAGGAACGGUAUCAGAGGCUUGUGGGGAAAUUAAUUUAUUUGUCUCACACUUGCCCUGACAUUGCUUAUGCAGUUAGUGUAGUAAGUCAGUUUAUGCACUCACCUAGUGAAGCUCAUAUGGAUGAAAUAGUCCGUAUUUUGAGGUGCUUGAAGAUGGCUCCUGGCAGAGGCUUGGUUUUCUCCAAGAAUGGUCAUUUGAAUGUCGAAGGGUAUACAGAUGCAGAUUGGACAAGUUCUAUCACUGAUUGGCGGGUGGUAAUCUAGUUACUUGGAGAAGUAGAAACAAAAAAUGGUGGCUAGGUCAAGUGCUGAAGCUGAGUUUCGUGGUAUGUCUCAUGGUGUAUGUGAGUUGUUGUGGUUAAAAAAAUUGUUGAGAGAUCUUGGAUUUAAACCCAAUGGUGCUAUGAAACUCCAUUGUGAUAACAAGGCUGCUAUUGAGAUUGCUCAUAAUCCAGUGCAACAUAAUCAAACAAAACAUGUGGAGAUUGAUCAACAUUUCAUCAAGGAAAAUUUGGAUGCUGGAAUUAUUAUGUUUCCGUUUGUGAGAUCUGAAGAUCAACUCGCUGAUGUACUUACUAAGACUGUGUCUAAUAGUGUGUUUUCCAACUCGCUUGACAAGUUGGGCAUGCAUGACAUCUUUGCUCCAACUUGAGGGGGAAUUUUACGAGUUAUAUAUAGUUAAAGUGUAAAUAGUAGUCUGUUGUCCUACAUUGAUGAAGUACAUAUGUAAUACUAAUUGUAACUCCUAUAUAUACUCCACUUUGGAGAUUAAUAAAUAUAUAAGAAAUUCCCAAAUAUUGUCAUAUAAAUUUUUGGUAUUUAUCAUGUUUAGUUUAAUAGUCUAAACAUCAGGAAAUACACCAACCCUAAACCUAAUGGAUUUUAUGAAGCCGCUGGUUUGGGUACACAUUAAUCUAACCUAAUUGCUCUACCACAUUCUAAACACAAAAUUUGUUAUAAAUAGGAUGAUUAAAUUUAUUUUCUCAAGCGGUAGAGUAGUGAACCUCACAGCGACGACAAUCUUCCACCCCCAAAUUCGGGUUUUUUUGUACUAAAAUGGUCUUUUAUGUAUAAGAACUUUACGAUAAGUUUAUUAAAAUUGGCUCUGUAUCUACGAAAUCUCAACAUCCAUACGUUACAAAAUGGAUUAGAACUCCUAGGAAAUAAAAUAGAACAUAUGAUGAUCCCUUUAAAGGGCCUUAUAAUGGGGAAGACUUCUCACAGAAUAUAAGAAGACGAAGAGGAAAACUAAAAACUUAGAACUUCAAGGAGAUGGACUGGAGCAGGGAGAAUGGCAAAGAACCGGAACCCAGAAGACCCGCAACGAAAAAGAAAACACUGUACUUUUUUUAGACAUUUUUUCACAUUUCUUCUCGGCCUUACAGCCAAGUAGCAUUUUCCGACCCCAAAUAAAGAUAGAAGGAAAAAACCAAAUUAAGGUAAAUAAAUUUUCUAUAGCAACUUGGCAAACAAAAACAUACUAGAAGAAAACAAGGAAAAUACAAAGAAAUUAAGGAAGUAUGGGAAACAAAAUAAAUUUAAUACGGGACCAACGACAACGGUGCAAAUGUAUAUUGUUCAGGAAAUAAACUUUUAGCGAAAAUGUGCUGCAAAAUUGACCAAUUUUGCUUCAUAUUCACACUCAAUUUUUUUAAGAAUUAAUAUCUGUAGAGUUUAGACCAAAAAUAAAAUAAAAAACAAAACCAAAAUGCUACUCCACUUUCUUGGUACUUAACUCAGCUCUCCACCUCCUUCCAAUCUUACAAGCUUCUAGAUUUAGAUUUGUCUCAAAUCACAUGCCAACUAACCUGCCCAGCUCAAUUUUAUUUUUUCUUUGGAAAUUCCAGUGCGUCUCUACUUUUGUUUUUCUAAAUCUUACUUACUCCCAUUAUAAUUGGAAUUUUAUAUAUUUAUAUGGAUGCUUUGUCAAGAUAUGAGAGAAAUAGUAGUGAUUCAAAAAGAUGAUUAGGAGCCAAAAAUAUUUAUUAUUUUAGAUUGGUGUUUAUGUUUUUGAACAGUUAAAAACUUUUUUGGUCAUUGUGUUUAUGUUUAAAAUUUAUUUUGGUCACUGUAUUUUAUUUUCUGCUAAUUUAGUUACUGUGUUAUCACAAGUUAGCAAUCUUAGUCCUUCUCAAUCAAACGUUAAAAAAAACGCACAUGACAUGCAAGUGCAGGGGUAACUAUGUAAGUGAAAAUAUAUCUUUGCCCCUGCACGAAACUGUCACGUGCAUUUUUUUGGCGGUUGACUUAUGGUAACGCAGUGACCAAUUUGGCAGAAAAUAAAACACAAUGACCAAAAUAAAUUUUAGAAAUACACACAGCGACCAAAAACGUUUUAAUUUAACCCAUUUUUAACAGUCCAGCCAGCUACCAUGAAAGCUACAACAUGAAAGCUGACUGUCAAAAUUUUGUUUAAAAAUUCAUACACAAUAAUCGUCAUAAGAACGUGCAAUAGGUACUUUGAAUUCUUAAAUAUACUGCAUGGUUACCCUUUCCUUUUGUUUUAUACAGAGAAAUCUUGACAGGCAGUCAAAAGCAAAAUUAUGUUCUUCUAGUGAUAUCUGUGUGCUAAAAAGGAAGUACGUAGCUACGUUCAGUCUUCACCUAACACUCCUAUUUGCACCUAAAAGAUGUGGAUAACAAAGAUUUUGACCAAAAUCACAUUGACAAGUACUUGCCAAAGGAUCACGGAACCUAUGAUUGUAAAAGAUAUACGUGUUGGGCCUGACCGACGUUAAUUAGUUGUUCAUAUUGAUUUGAGAAAUUUGAUUGAAUGAGGAUUAACAAAUCACAAUUGCUAAAAUAUUAAAAUGUAUUAACUGCGACAUAUUGGUUAAAUAAUUAUUGCACAUCGAAAAAAUAUUGACGAGUAAUUAUGAAUUUUUAUUUUCAUUAUUUCAAACAUUUUUAUAUUAGAAAAGCUAAAGAAAAUGAUUUAAAAACUUUGAAUUUUAAUGAUACGUACAAAAUGAAAGGUAAAAUAAAUAGUACCAGAAUUAACUUUUUGUUUAAAUUUUAUUUUCUAUUUGGCAUCAACUUUUGGUUUAAAUAUACUAUAUAACCCUCACAAAAGAAAAAGCAUGGUGUACUAGUAGCUAAAAGACAUAAAAAAGGUUAAUCUUAAUUUAUUAUUCUAAAGUUUCUUAGUUUUCAAUAUUUGGUAUAUAAAGUUUUUUUUAUUCUAGAGUUGUACAUAAAGUUAUAAUUUUGGGAUACUUUCAUACAUCCAUUAAGGUUGCUGUUAAAUUUAUCAUUAACUGAUGAUAUGACAUUUAUGUUGACAAUGACACGUAGAUAUUAAAAAUUAAAAAUUAAAUUAAUAAAAUAAUAAAAAUUAAAAAAAAAAAAAAAUUGGGCGUCUUCACCCUCACCCCUUCUGACCCCCCUCCCUUCUCUCCUCUGCACCCACGCUUCCCCCUCCCUCUUCGACUCCACCCAACGCUGCACUCCGAGGAUUGUUGCCAUCCUUUCAAGCCCAAUUUCGCCCCCAAAUAGGCCCGGGCAGUACUUGGCCAUAAACUUCAAGUCGUAGACCCUCUCGAACAAACGACCUGCCAUCUUUGCGAACUCAGUGGGGGAGCUGAGGAUGGUCUUCCUCGUCACCAGCUUCAUUACAUAGGCCGAGUCGUAGAGGCCGUGGAAGCUCACCCAUACGAGCUGCCCCCUGUGCACCCUUAAAAUCUCAACGAAACCCUCCACAAAAAUAUCCGAAUCAAUGCCGAACUUCCCAAAUUUCUCGAGAUCCAAGCCAUUCGCUUUGAGGAGGGCAAUGGAUUCUGGAACAUGGGGGUCGGUUUCCUCGUCAAAACCCCGAAAGUUGAACUCCCAGGUGCCGCCGACGUUGCCGCGGUCGUCGAACAGGGUGAUACCCACUUGGAUGAGAUUGAGAGAAUCGACAUUAAGGGCGAUAUCUUGGUAACGGAGGCCCUUGGAAGUGCCUCUGGGGGUGUUGCGGAGGAACCCCGGAAAUUCGGUGUCGAACGAGACGAUCGGAAAACGGCAGAGACACCGAUCGACGGAGGGAAGGGGAAAGGUGGGUGCAAAGGAGAGAACGGGAGUGGGGUCGGAAGGGGUGAGGAAGAAGAUGCCCAAAUUUUUUUAUUUAUUUAAUUUUUUUAGUUUUUAUUAUUUUAUUUUUUAAUAUGCACGUGUCAUCAUGUCAUUGUCCACGUGGAUAACACAUCAUUAGUUAACAGUAAAUUUAAAGGCAACCUUAAUGAAUGUAUAAAAUUGUUCCAAAAUUAUAACUUUAUGUACCACUCUGAGAUGAAAAAAACUUUAUUUACCAAAUAUUGAAAACAAAAAAACUUUAAGAUAAUAAACUAAUAUUAAUCCUAAAAAACUACUAAAGGAAAGGGUGAAAGAAAAAAUUAUUAGUUUGUGCUGUUCUCAUGGUAAUAGUGGUUUUUGUAUUGUACGAUCAUGUGUUACAUUUUAUGCAUUAUUAUGUGGAUGAAUGAAUAAGUUAAUUACAUCGCAUGUCAUAGGGUGAAUAUUACAUUAAAAAAUUCUUCAUUCUUGUUAUUCGUCAAAUUAAUGGUUGUGCAUUUGUAUGAGGACCUAGAUCUGUUGAGGAUGCAGAUCUUCACUCGUUGAAGGCCAUCCCUAUCUAUCUACUACUACUCUUUGGAAAAUAAUUGACUACAGAUGAUUGUACAAAAAAAUAAUUAAUAUUAUCUGAACAGCUCACCAUGCAUGUUCAGUAAAGUAAAGCGGAUUUGUUUAUUCAUUGUCUAGUUCAAACUUGGGGAGCAUUUUCUCAUUCUUGCGGUGAUCAGAAUAAUGUGAUUUAAGUCCAGUUAAACAUGCUUAAUUAUGCAUUUAAGCAUCUUUUAUUUAUUUGCUUUCAUUAUUUUUUCCUUCUUAAUGUGUUGUUAUUGUUUGGAACAACAAGUAAGACAAAUCUAGCCAGUUAGCAUUCACCGCAUCACCGCAUAAUGAAAGAUUAUUCAUAUUUGGAAAUGAAUAAUUAAUUAAAAAACUGUAUUAUUAAGGCAAAUGGGCACUUAAUAUUUGUAUCUUAAACCUUCCGAGUCGGAUAUUCGAGUAAAUUAGUUAAAAAGCUAUGCAAAAUGUGAAUGUGACAGACUACGUAGUAAAGUUUGGGUUAAGAGAGAGAGAGAGAGAGAGAGAGAGUAUUUCGCAGCCGGCUGGUCCCUAUGUACGGGAAGAAUCAUAGAAAGUUAGGUAACUACACACAUUUUUCAAAGAUGUCGAUCAUGAAAAAUAUUUGAUAACAAAUUCAGGGAGGACAUACUGCUUAAAUUAUUAACCUAGAAAUAAAGUUCGAUCUCUUGCUUUAACUUUUCUGCUACGUAGCUCUUAUUGCAUUAAACAAAGCCUUAUUAAAGUAAAGAUGGUCACACCCUUAGCCCUUUAGGUGAUACGUUCAGGGAAAUGGUUAAUGUUUUUACAAGCUCUUGUUUAUUUUUAUUUUUUAAUAUUUUCAGAUAUUUUUACAAUCUUUUACUGCGCAGUAAUAGAGUGUAAAAAUCAUAUCUAUGUAUUUAUUUAUUAUUAACUAUGUUUACAAUGAACCUUCUAUUCCAUGAAACAAGAUAUAAAAAUAAAAAUAAAAAGGAGAAGGGCAUAAAUUAACAAAAUUCGGUCAAAGGCCGCAUUGGUCCAAACAUUAAUUGAUAAUCUAUGACAAAUAGUCUGGCCCCAUUAGCAUUAUUUUAACAGUAAUAUUGUUUUUUUACUAAGAUAAUUAAUAAUUGCCAAGUGAAAAUUUGGCAUGAGUACCAUUGUGAAGGGUAAAAACCAAAGCUAUAUAAAGGGUGAGGAGGCUUAGCUUCAGAGGCAGACAACCAAAAACCCAUUCUUAACGAAGGAUGGGAAAAAUGGUGCCUUCACAAGUGACCUCUCUUGUGGUCACUCUCCUAGUGGCAAUAGUCUCUCUCACAUUGCCUUCAGAAACUUCAGCUAACUACCCUUACACCUCUCCACCACCACCGGCCUCUCCUCCCUACCAUUACAAGUCACCACCGCCUCCUUCUCCUUCUCCUCCAGUGCACUACUCACCACCUAAGCAUCCCUACCACCCUAAGUCACCACCACCUCCUGUGUACGCACCACCUAAGCAUCCCUACCACCCUAAGUCACCACCACCUCCUGUGUACCCACCACCUAAGCAUCCCUACCACCCCAAGUCACCACCACCAUCACCAAAGCCUUACCACUACAAAUCCCCACCACCACCUCCUGCUCCAGUGCACUCACCACCCCCACCUAAGGAGCCAUACCACUACAAGUCCCCACCACCACCACCCAAGAAGCCCUACCACUACAAAUCUCCCCCACCACCUCCUCCUCCAGUUCACUCACCACCACCACCCAAGGAGCCUUACCACUACAAAUCUCCACCACCACCACCCAAGAAACCUUACUAUUACAAGUCUCCUCCACCACCACCAAAGAAGCCUUACCACUACAUGUCUCCUCCCCCACCGGUGUACUCACCACCUCCACCAGUGCACUCACACCCACCACCAAAAAAGCCUUACCAUUACAAAUCUCCUCCCCCGCCAGAAUAUUCACCAGCUCCACCAGUGCACUCAACCCCACCACCAAAGAAGCCCUACCAUUACAAAUCCCCACCACCACCACCACCACACAAGAAGCCUUAUUACCCUGUUCACUCACCACCUCCACCUAAGAAGCCUUACCACUACAAAUCCCCACCACCACCUUCUCCUACUCCUCCUAAAUACUCACCACCUAAGCACCCCUACCACUACAAGUCUCCACCACCACCACCAAAGAAGCCUUACCAUUACAAGUCCCCACCACCUCCUUCUCCUACUCCCCCUAAAUACUCACCACCUAAGCACCCCUACCACUACAAGUCACCACCACCACCACCCCAAGAAGCCUUACCACUACAAGUCUCCACCACCACCACCUCCUCCAGUUCCCACACCAUCUCCACCCAAGAAACCUUACCACUACAAGUCUCCCCCACCACCCCCUCCAGUCUACAAGUCUCCUCCACCACCAGUUUACUCACCACCACCACCACCUAAGAAACCUUACAAGCCACCAACUCCUCCAGCAGUUCACCCACCACACGGUUACAUCUAUUCCUCACCCCCACCUCCUCACCACUACUAGAUAUUGAAAGUUUAAUUGCAUCAAGCUGGUAAGCUUCUCCAUUCUAUGCUAUUAUUCAUUAAUUAGUUAGUACUACUGUUGUCAAUUUGGAAAUCACCAUACAACCAAAUGCACACUCUGACGAAAUAACAUAUAAAUUCUAAUUGAAUAGUCUUUAUUUCCAUUUUUGGCUAAUAAUCCUUAUUAGCAUAUGGAUAAUGUAUUUCCAACAUAUCGUUAUUAACUUAUUACUCAAUUAAUAUUUCUUUUUCUUUAAAUUCAGUAGCCGUGUGUAACAAAUAGACCAAUGGCAGAGACCCAACAAAUAACAAUAAUAUGUCUUUGCAGGUAAGGGAAGAAGAAAGGUCAGAAUAAAGAGGGGCUGUUGAAGUCGAACAGCGCGCCUUAUUACCACACAAAGAAGAAGAGAGAGAAAAAAACGAGUCUCCACGCAGCUGCUGAUGUGACGUGUUUUAUGUAUGCGAUAUUCGAUAGAGGUUCAUAUUUUCCUUGGAAUAUUAGACAGUUGUAGGGCACUCAUGUUCCAUGUAUUUUAUUUCCUGUUUCUCAAAAGAGAUGGUAUAUGUAUGUUGUUUGUUUCAACCUUCUAAUGGAGAGGUGAUCAUCAUAAUAAUAAAAUAAAUACAUUCCCCAAAUUUUACUUAAUUUCUCAUAUAUCUGAUAUGUUUUACUCUCUUAAUUAAAGUUUCCUAAUAAUGUUAUAAAAACCACGUAUAUCACAUUGGUGUACCAUUUAUUCUCACAAGUAAUGUCACGUCAAUUAAUGAGUUUAUCUCAUUGAAUAGUAAUUGACUUGCUUACAUUAUAUGGUAAUAAUGUGGUGUAAAUAUGUCGCAUCGUCCUUAACAUCACUCUAAAUUUCUUGGUAAUAAUAUAUGCGAGCAGUGUUAACAAAUCAAAGGAUGAGAAAGAAGAAAAACUAUUUGCAAAUUCUUAUUCUUAAUAUUUCAUAAACACAAAAUAAAGAAGACUAUGAAUUGUUCAAAUGCAUACUAAGUGAUCUAUUUUGGCAAAUCAUCUUAGUAUUGUAUUAUUUUCUUCAAUUAAGUGAUCUAUUUUUUUUCAAUUUGUUUUCCAUAUUUCAUGGCUUAAAUUUGUGAUUACUUUUUCAACAUAAAUGUCAAAUACUUUUUCUAAAAGUUAAUGUUGUCUAUUAUUUAUCCGUUGCUGGGAAAAAAAGUUAAAGUGGUAAUCUUAUUGAUAAAACUUAGUUCACUACACUAUAUAUACAAUUGUCUUCCGGUAGACCAUCAUGGAUAAAAAAUCAAAAGGAUUAUCGAAACCCCAAAAAAUUCUCACUAGUAGAAAGAUUGUUCAAAUUCUACAAUGAACCACAAGAAGUCUAACUCACUUGGUCAUUGCUGAUUGACUAUCAUUACUAGGUUAAAGCAACAUUUUAAGUUUUAACCUAAAUAGGAUCUCAACAAGCUAGGGUUUGAGAUUAGUGUUUUAGGUGACGACAGAGCUCUUUCCUUUCUUUAUGUUAUCCAAACUCUUUUUCUUUUUUCAUUUUUAUCAAGAAACUGUAGGUCUCAAUCAAAUUUAUGGAUUAUGGAUUUUAGUUAUGUAUUCUUAGUGUGGAAAUUUGACUAUAAAAUACGUUGACACUUGUCCUUUAAACUAAUGCAACCGAACAAACUUGUAGUUAACAAUUUUAUUAAGAGAGAUUAUAUUCACACACUUCAAAUUACUUAUGUCACACCUUUCUAAUUUUUUAAUAUUUUCUACACACCACUAACACUUGAAAGAAAAAAUAUUAAAAAAAUUAAAAGAGUGUGGGGCAAGUAAUUUGGGGUGUGUGAAUAUAAUCUCUCUUUCAUUAAAUCAUAACAUGGUGGAGUGAGUAAGUGAUGAGGAAAGACAAUUACGUCGCUCAUAUGCAAAUGAGUGGACAAACCUUCCAAUGGAUGCAACGGUGGUCAUGAAUUAUGAUUGUGUGUAGGGUUUCGAGUUACCGACGUUGACUGUCAUGCAAAUUGAGUACGUAGCCACUUACACUUAAUGGCAGAGGUCGAUGAUUUGCGCUACGGAAAAUGGUUUGAUUUGCUUAUACCAAUUACCAAACAAAGCAAAUAUAUUCGUCCUUUUGGUUUGGUUGUCAACUGUCAAGUAUGCGUUAGAAUUUUUUAAUUUGGGUUAAAUAAAAUAAAAAAACAAUACUCAAAACUUUUUGGGGAUGAGAUCUGAGAAAUUUAAUUUUUUCCCUUCAUAUAUUAGGGAUGAAAGUUGACUUAAUCACACACAAUGGAUCAUACCAACAAUAAUUUAGUAUCGAAUUCAUCAUUCAUGAAAAUCAUAUUUGAGCCUAAAUAAAAAUAAGCAUGUUAUGGGGUCAAUCUACUUUUAUUUACAGAAAGUUGCACGACUCAGGCCCACCAACUUCAAAGCCUAAUUCAAGAUCAUAUCACAAAGCUUGGGCGACCUUUUUGUCCCCCUCCUAGCUAUUCGAGGGCUUGGGUAGAUCUCUCUAUGAAGUGCGUCCACCACGCAGAUGACCAGACCCGGGAAUAUCUCGCCUCCUUAAAUGUUGAUGUACGCAUCAUCUAACAUGCUAAUGUCACCAUUGCAAUUAUGAAAACGGCCAUGAAAUACAGUUUAAGGCCACCAACCAGAAAUUAUAGUCAAUGUCAACUCACCGAUCUACCCAUGCUCCAUCUUAGCCAUGAGAUCGAGGUUGCUCUUGCUUCAUUGCCUAUAAAUAGAGUGGGAAACCUUCAAACUUAGGACCUUCGUCUGAUCCAAUCUCUACAAUUAUAUAAAACCUCGAUUGAUUCUUCAAUCAACCCAACUUCUUUCAAAGUACAAUCCAAUUGCUCUUCAACUACAAUCACAAAGCCUUCGUUAAAAGCAAACAUUGCCUAUGUCCCUGAGAUCUUAAACUUUUACAGCUUUUCCAACCCGUGGUAUGAUUCGGUUGAUGUGUCAAUCCAACCACCCUGAUUUCCUCUUAGAGGCACAUGUUUUGGACUAAGUCCAAUUUGAUACCAGAGACCUCAGUGGACUCCUCUAGCAUUAUCUAUCCCUUCAUGGCCUAAAUCUUGUAAGAGUUUUUACAGCUUUCUUUACAAUUUUACUCAAUUUUCAUUUCAAGUCAUGUAGCUCGGCCCAUCGGCCAAGAUUUUACUUUUAUAUAAUGCUUGUAAUGUUGACUUCAUUAUGAAAUAAUUACAUUUUGUUCAUCACAUUAUUUUCCAUUUUCCUUUUUCAUGUUUUAGGCAAAAACACAAAAAAGUUACAUUGAAUUUUAAGUCCUCAUUCACUCAAGGCAUAGAAAAAAACUUAAACGAACUAGCGUCUCAUUCAAUGCACAACAAUUGGUUAAGAAGUCAGAUCUUUGCGCAACUUUCACACACAUCCAAAUACAAAGAUUGUCUGUUGACAGCCUCCAACAAUAGCACACCCAUUCUCUCAUUUUCUCGAGCCACCUCGUGACAUUGAUAUAAAAAAUAACACUCGGGGAAAAUAAAAGUUACAGUAGUAGUGAAAGAAAUUUAGUUGUUGUAAUAACUGAAUUUUGAAGGGCAUAUUAAGUAAUAAAAAUUAUGAGCAGAUAGUAUUUGCCCCAUUUGGCCUAGUGUCGACCAAAAAUGUACCUUCACCUAGAAAAGGAUUGUAGAAAGUGAAGUUAGUUCAAUAAUUGUCCUCUUUUUUGUUUUCUUUUUCGAUAUUUUAAGUGCUAUAUUGAGACUUUGGGGGCUUUUUUUUCCCAAAGCUCUGGCCUAUUCCGCGAAGAACUGAGAUUGAAUGGAGACUUUAUCAUUCUCACUAAUAUUAUAAGAAAAAUUGCACAAUACCAUUGUAUUAUUAAUUUGAGACAAUGGUAUUAAUUAUAGACAUUACAAUAGUGUCAAGAAUAAUGCAAAUAACUCAUUCUCCUUUGUUUAUUAGGUCGAAUUUCACUAGCUACAAAUAAGUUUAGCGGGGUGUAAGGAUGGAGACUUUAUCAUUCUCACUUAUAAAUCAUCAUAUAUUUAGGUGUGGGGUAAGGGGUUGGGGUAGAUUAGGUCCCAGGUUCGAGGCCUGGUGGGGUGGGGUGGGGUUGAAAAAAAAAAUCAUAUAUUUAGGUGUGGGUUUGGAAGGUAGACUUGAUUCCGCGGUGUUUUGAGGAGGAGGAGGGCAAUCUUAUUCUUGGUUUACCAAUAAGUUUAGCAGGGUGUAAGGAUAGAGUCAUAUGGCACUAUUCAAGAAAAGUUGCAAAACCACUAAAACUUUAUUUUAAGAGUCAAAUCUACUAAAUUCUUCUCCAAGAGACUUGAUAAAGGACUCUAUAUAAUAGCAAGUUGCUCUUUAAAUUUAUAAGUAAUGCCUAAUGGGGCUUUUAAGAAAAUAUUAAUAUUUAAAAAAAAAGUAUUAAUUUUUGUUUUAGACAUUGUAUAAGGAAAAUGAUAAGCAUACAUCCUUUUUAGCCUCGAUCAACACUUAUAUUUAAUCUUGUUCAUUAUUUUUGUUUGAUUUAUACAAUGCGAUGGUCAAAAAAAUAAAUAAAAAAUAUGUUUGAGAAGUUAAAAAUGAUGUGUGAAAAUCACCUGCCAAUAAACAAAUCUAUUAUUAAAACUAAUACAAACUUUAAAACUAAAACUCAUGAUCAAUUAAGAAACGCUCAAGUCAAAUUCAUAAUAGCCAUAAAACAUAAAACACCUAAAUUUACUAUGCCAAUUCAAUCAACAAUCGUAUUAUAAAUAUGUUAAAUCCUUACAUGAAUGGAAUUGUUAGCCCAUCAAUCCAAGUAAUUGAAUGAUCUUUGGAGAUUUACUUAAGAGCAGUAUUAAUAUGAAUUAUGAACUUAUGAGAGAGAAAUAAUCUAUUAUUCUUUUCUCUAUUAGGCUAUAUUAUAUUUAUUUUGUUAUUGAAGAAAUUAUAUAUUGUAUAAUAUUUCCAUGGGGUGCAAAAACAUCGGGGCGCCUUUUUUUAGUUGGGGACCUUGUGCAAUGUCUUAUAUUCCUCCCCUUCAAUCCGGCACUGACAGGAAGGGAGAGAACGAUUUAAAAAAUGAACGGGUUGAAUUUGAAUUGAUAAUAAUUAGUAAAUUAUUUAAACUUUGUUAAAUAGAAAAUAUUGUUGAAAAUGAAAAGUUAAACUGAGUAAUUAAAAUAGUUUUUUUGACACUUUUCACUUGCUUGUUUAACAAAAAUUUAGAGCUUGUCUUUGAGAUACUCUUACUCCUUUAUUUAAAGGACUCGGCUUUUCUAUUAUAGCUGUCGUAUUCAAUAUUGUUGCAAUUAAUGAACUUAAAUCAUUUCGUUAUGACCAAAUUAAGAUAAUCAUGGACAUGUAGAUUAGGUAGCUAAUUCUGAUUUUGACUCGAUCACAUCAAGGUUAUCGUAAUUAAUGUCGGUUAAUUUAAUAUGCGUCUCUGAUCUGAUUACAUUACCAUGGUACGUAAACAUGUGUAUCCAUCUGCAAGACUCAAGAUUUAUAAUUUUGUUUUGUUUACUGUUUUUACGAAGAUAUUUAUGAUUUGAUUUUAUAAUAAAUUUUUUUUUAAAAAAAAAAUCAGAGCAAAACUGCAUCAUGGCCAACAAUCCAGCCAGAUUCAGUUCAACUAUAAUUUUGGCCAAUUUUUCAAAGCUGAUGGAUGUUAGUAGAUUUGUGUGGGGAACACUGAAAAGGCUAGAUUAUGAAAUACCAGAAAAGUAUUGACAUUUCAAUUGCUUAAACCAACCAUGAUGAAGAGUUCUAUGAAUUAUUUUUCAAAAUUUGAUUAAAUUGUGUCAUCCAGAUUAACGAACAUUGUUUCAUUGAAAUUAGUUCAUCAAGAUUGCGUAACUGGGAUAGCUUUCACACUGUAUUAACAUACAAAGAGGCUCUACUUCGUUAGAGUGUUCAAACUGUACACGUAAUUUGACUGCCGUACACAUUUUUCUUAUAUCUCUCCAAUCAACUUUAUUUUUCCUUUUGAAUAAAUUAAAGAUAAAGAAAGAAAACCAUUUUGCCUUAAAUGGCAAGAGAUUGAUGAAAAUCUACUCUAAAGAAGGGACAGGAUAUAUAUAAAUUAAAAUUCAUCAUGUACAAAGUAAGCGUAGGACAUUUUCAUCAUUUUACUUUGUCGUGCCCAUAAUUCUUUGCUCUAUAUAUUUUAUCUUUGUUGGUGGUCGAUGCUUUGGUUGGCUGUCAAUUGCGACGGACUGUCGUAAAAAUUGUCGGCAACCAACCAUGUGUUCUUGCAUGCCCGAUGUUCUCGCCACCUCACGUGGAAAUUUCCAAUGGAAUGGAGGGCCAAAUUUCAGUUUUUAUAUCAAUUUGUUUAUGUUAAAAUUUUCUUGUAAUAUAAGUCAAUGGUUGAAUUUGCAGUAGAAACAAACAAAAUAUGUGGACGAAUUUGAUAAAGUACAAGAAAAAAAAAACUGCAACUUAAGUAGAUGACGUGAUUCUUCACCCGGACAACAAGGAAGAAGACAUGAAAUCGGGAACACUGGAUGACGAAGUACACAAAUUAAACUUAUCUAAUCCAUUUUAAUAAAUUGUUACAGGGUGGCCAGUGGUCGGGAAUAAAUCACAGACUCGCAUUUCAGAUACCUCACGAACUUGAUUUUUGUUACUAACAAAUCACAUGAAGGUGACCAAGAGAAGGUUGAAAUGUCAUUGUGAGACGUCUUUCUUACCCUCGAAAGAUGAACUACCGUAAUGAAGCCACCAACUCAUCUUUUUAAAGGAAAGAAAAUCUAAGCCGUCCUAAUACAUGUUGUCACUCAUGGGAAUUAGAGAAGAAAUAUUCGUUAGCCACUUACAGUUGGAUGCUUAUUAUAUUAACUAGUUACAAAGUCAAAGGUUUUUCAUUGAAUGGAAUCAUAAGAUGUAAACAUCUAGGAUUAAUAUUUGGAAAAUAAUUAAACUCAAUCCCACCGCGUAGUUCUGUAACAAGUUUAUAUGUCUAAUAGAGUUUAUAGAUCUAAUAGUUAGUUAAGAGUAUUCAUUCUUACUCUUGAAGUUUUUUUGUUGACACUCUCUCUUUUAACCAUUUCUUGUAAUCAUUACAAGAAUUUGGAUUCUUUUAAUCCUAGGAGUGCAAUACUAAUUCUUAAUCUUUGUGUUAACCAUAAUAUCAUGACACAUAUCACCAAGUAUGAUCAGCAACUAGGAGAACGAGAGAAGAUGCGUGACUUAAGAAAAUUGAUGUGAUUUUGGAUUUUUUUUUACUUUAUGCACGCCCGCUCUUUAAAAAAAAAGAAAAAAGAUAUGUGAAAGGUGAAAAACAGUUGUUUCCGACAAACAUAAUUCACUUUCUAUAUGUGUACUUUGUAUUUUUUUUCAUCAAGUAAGGAAAUGGUGAAAAGAAAAAUGUACAUUAAUCGUAUCAUAUGAUAUAUUGUUCUUCUCAAGACAACUAAGAAGCUAAACUUAAUGUCAGAGAUUAAGACGUUUUGUUGGCUUGUCAUUCAAGGAAAGCUUAAUACAUAUAAUAUAGAGUUGGGAAGGUUAAUUUGUCCGUAUCUUGUGUAAAACAUGAUCUGGAUUUCAAACCCCCUAGACUUUUUGUUGUCCUACUCACGCAGCCCAUUCCCAAGUUCCAACCCUCCCAACAACCCUAUCCAGGAAGGCCAGCGCAGAUGUUAAGGCUGUGACCAGGGUUGUAAUACCAUCUCCAAUGGAUAAGUCAAAUCAUAAGUGGAAUGUCGCAUAAUUAAAUUUAAAAGUAAAAAAGAAGUUCCAACCGAUAGUUUUUCCGGAUCCUGAAAGAGUGGAUAACCGUGACUUAUCACCACUUGUCUUAUUUUUCGAAGAAAAAAAAAUGUCAAUCCUAUGUGAAUUAACAUGAGUUUUUGGUAUCAAAAUUGACAUGAAAAAUGUGUUGGCAAUUAAUUCUUUAGUGAUUUUAUUGUGCGGGUUUUAUUAAUGGACCAAUUCUAAAGCUUAAAAAUUAUUUUAAUUGAUUUCUUUUUCAUAAUGAACCUACGGAUAUUAAUUAUAAAUUUGACAUUACCACAUCAAUCGUUAAAAUUAACAUUUGACAUUCAUUUUUUGACUUUUCCAUUGAAGAUGUUCCAAUUAGCUUCAAAUGCCUUCGAGUUGAACUCAUGUUUGGGUCGUUUUAGGCAUGUUCAAUCUCUACUUGCAAGUAAAAGGAGUCGGGCACGAACAUAAUAUUCAGUUCGAUACAAAGAUGAGAUAGAAUUUUAGUAUGAUCAAAAGCUCGUAAAACUCUUAACAUCCCAUAUCAUUUUAUAUUGGACAUGCAAUCAUUUGAAAGUAUAGAGCUAUGCUUAAGCACAAAUUAUAUCAUUUGAACCAAGCACCUGGUACUUGGCGCGACUCAUCAACGCAGCUCUUGCAUUUUGUCCUUUGAUUUCUUCAAUAUAAAACCAUAAAUAAAUAGAAAUGUGCAAGAUAAGACGAGUCUGAUAAGAUUUCAAUAGAAGUGUUCCAUACGAACACUGUGCCAAGCACUUUUCAGCUGUUGGAUCGACGGAAUUUUACCACUGCUAGGCUAACAAUAUAAUUUCCGUUCGAUCUCUUUCAUAAACGAAACACUAAAACAUGAAUCGAUUUAUCAAUCACCCGAUUAACAUACUCCAAGAAACAGGAAAACAAUCAGUCACAAAUUACUCGCAAAUCGCAAUUAAAACGAAAGAAAUUGAGAAAUCCGGACUAGGCUACAAGCACGUCAAGUCAAGAUCGGCAAAACAUUUAAUAAAACACCAAAUCUGUCAUAUUUUCUGACCUUCCAAAUAUUCAAGUCCAUAACAGAAUGAACAAGCUGAAAACAGCAGAUGAAAUAUGCACAAAGGGAUACACCAAACGUACCUCCAUCGCGAGAAAGAUACACUGCGUUUUGUGAUCGCAUCUACACCAAGCGCUUCGUCCGACAAAACCAUCACUACACAUAUAGGUAUAGAAAAUAUCUAGCAUAGCGUCUUCAUCUCAUUUCUCAAACAGACAAUAUUAUACAAUGACAUUCAACUGGGUGUUUGCUUCGAUGAGUUCUACAACAGACAGGAAAUCAGAUCAUCAAGCACUAAUCACUAAUGACAUCGUCUCUUGAGCAAUCUCUCUAAUUUUCUCUUUCCUUGAGUGUACAGUAUAACCUCUAUAUUCAUAUGAGAAACAAACGAAAAAAACAAAGCCUCAUCCAUAUCCCAAACACCUAAAAAUGAGCCGGUCAGAAUGUUGCAAAAAGAGAAGUUUCGGGUAUUUCAGAAAUUUUCUGAGUCGUGUCAUAACUCUCAAGUGCCAUUGGAGGGUUCUGAAAUUUCCUGAGAUUUCAUGCAUUUAGUUCAGUGUGGGGCUGAGAGCCUGAUAGAACAAGGGAGAACCAAACAUCAAGAAAGACGAGAGAGAGUGUCCUACCUGGACUUCUUGGAGGAGAGAUUCAAGUUGAGCUGUUAUAUCGGAGAAGGAAGGCCGAUUGGAAGGAACUGAAUCCCAGCAACUCUGCAUUAAUUCCAAAACCUUGGGGUGUCCAUUAUUCGGAAUUUCCGGUCUCAGCCCCUGGGAAAUAGAAUGUCAAACAAAACAUAACUAUUUAGGCACAAAAGAAUUUGGAUAAAAUACUACGCUGAGUGAACAGCCAAACCAGUUGGUAUGUACCAUUGUACAUGAUUUCAGAGGCAUAAUUUAUACUUAUUUAUAUUAUAAGCAACAAAAAUGUCAUCAGAAGAUACAGAAAUUUGUUAUUCACUAAGUUUUACCCUUUUCUUGCGUUUAUAAAAUAUAUGCCUGCUUUGUAACAGCUUUUUUUAGUUUGAAUGGGAGGAUAUUCAGACCACAGGGUUACAAACAUAAACUCAGGCACGUCAUCAAUUCAAACUUUAAUUCGACAUGUAGAAUUGUCAACAUCUGUAAGAUACACACAUGGCAGGCAACAGGACGAAACACCAUAGAGGAAAAUUUAUAAUCAAGUUGCAUGAACUGUGGAUUAACAGGAUUUCUUAAGCAGCAAAUACAAUGCGGGCUAUAGAAAACACGUCUUCAUUCAUCAAUAUUCAAUACACAGACGAACAGAUAUAAAUAAUACAUAUGUAUUAUAAAUGGAUAUACGAAUAAACAAUAAACCUGUCUAACUCCCAAGGCAGCUUGCAAUGGAGUCAUGGUAUCAUAUGGAACCUGCAAUACAAAAUCAUACGAGUUUGAAAAUAAAUAAAUAAAAAAAUCUUAAGAAGUUUGAUAAUGUCCACAUCCAAAAUUCCCAAUACACAGAGGAAGCAUACUUUGGCUGUUACUAGCUCCCAAAGUACAAUUGCGAAACUGAACACAUCUGCUUUCUGAUCAUAUGGUUGAUGGUUGAUAACCUUGCAAAAUACAAGAAACCAAUAAGAUAUUGAAAUAAGAAUGUAAAUCAAUGUCGUCAAACUACGGUGCAUCUGCUAUGGUAAUGACGCAGUAACAAAACCAGAAUGUUGACAUCCAAAAUGCAAUUAACAAAACAGGAAAUUCAAUGAACCAUAGCCUGCUUGCCAAAACAAAGGGAUAUUGAUAAUUGUUUAUGAUAAACUAAUCAAUCCAUAGAUCACAACAAAGGACCAAUUUGUGAACCAAGUCCAACGGUUUAAGAGUUGACAAUAAUUUUCACGAAGAGACAAAGCAGGAAAAAAAAAGCAGAGGAAAAUAUUGAACCAGAAGAAUCGGACCUCAGGUGCCAUCCAUCGAUAGGUUCCAGUCUCUGCUGUCAUUACUCCCUCUUGAUUCUGAAACCGAGCAACACCAAAAUCUGCCACCUUUACAACCUGAAGGCAAACAAGAAAAUGAUUUUCAACUGUAAAAGAAAAGAAAAACCUAUUUGUUUUUCCUAAACAGAAAAAUAGAAUAGCCAGGAUGUGAGAGGAGAUUUCAACCAUUUAUACUUGGAAAUCUAACCAGGAAACAGUUUACCCAUUAUCAUAAACAAAUAAUGCUGUGUUUAGCUUUGAACUUUACUUAUAGUUAUUAAAAAAUAUAAAUAUACUUGUCGAAAGUAGAAUUGCAUUACCCCACAUCUUUAAACACAAAUCUAACUUCAUCAUUCAUGACAUCCUGAAAGUAUCAAAUUCACCAUCGACAAAAACUCAGAAGACAUCAAUUCCAGUAUGUCCAUGAGAAUUUUGGUCGAAUUGAACUUUUGACAUGCAGAUAUACUUCUCCCAUAAUCAAACUUCAUACCUCAAAGCACAACGCACAAUUACCCCAUACAAAACAAUAGACGGUUUGGUUACUCAAGUCCAAUAACUACAACUUAUAUCAACUAAAGCAGCAAUAGAUCCACUGAAGACAUUAGCCCUUUUAAAAAAAUUACAAACAAAUCUAUUGAACUUUAUCGUUUUCCUGUCGCCUAAGUUAAGCUGUAUAUGUACAAUGACAAAUUAAAUCAAUAGAGUUAUCAUGAAUAUGCGUAGGUUACAUUUUGCAGAAAGUGAAGCUGCCAAACAAGCAAACAAUAACCUUUAAUUCUUACAUUGUUAGUGUCCAUUAGCAGAUUUGCCGUCUUUAGAUCCCUAUGAAUUAUGUUAUUAUGAUGCAAAUACUCCAUUCCUUUACAGACAUCAAUUGCAAACUUUAGCAGUUCUGAAAGCUUCAAGAUGUUAUGAUUCUUAUGCAAAUAAUCGUAAAGACUUCCACCGGGCAUAUACUCUGCAAAAAAUAAAAAACAAAUGAAUUUUCAUAAUUAUGGUAAUAGUACAAUACAGCAACAAGUCGGCACUGGACUAAUUAUACUCAUCUCAAACUACAAACAGAUCUAAACAGUAAAGUUUUACAUAAAGAAAUCAAGAUGAAAUCAACAAUAAAGCUCUAACCAUAAAAAGAUACCCUGCCAAAUACUAUCCCAAAAUUCUCAAGAAACAACAUCCAAAGGUAAUCCCAAAACAAAAUCUAUCCCACGAAUGAUUACAUCCUUCAACUCCUAACCUACAUGAAGCUUCAUAAUACGCACCAAGUUGCCAAAGGCUGGCUGAUUGACAAAUUACAUAUAAUAGGGAAUUCCAAUAUGCACGACAUCCAAACAGCUUAGAGGAAUUUAAAAUAUAUAACACACAAGUAAAAUCUUCCUAAAUGCUGCAUACUCAGAGAAGAAGUACUAGCGCAUCCAAAACUUAAAAGAGUAUAAAUAAUGUGUAAGUAUGUUCCAACAACAACAACAAGGCAUUUUCCCACUAAGUAGGGUAGGCUAUAUGAAUCCUAGAACGCCAUUGCGCUCGGUUCUGUGUCACAUCUUCUGUUAGAUCCAAGUACUCUUAAGUCUUUUCUUAUAGUCUGUUCCAAAGCCUUCCUAGGUCUUACUCUACCCCUUCGGCCUUAAACCUCUGUCCUGUAAUCGCAUCUAGUGUAAGUAUGUUCCAAGAAAGAUAUUUUUAGUUCCAUUAAUACUUCUCCUGAUCCUAAUAAAAAUUUUCAAAAAGAUAGAAUGAAAACUUUGGUUGGCUACACCUAUAUUGGUGGAAACCAUCCGAUGUCAUUGAUUUUUUGUAGAAUGAUAUCCUUUGGUCCAUAAAAGAUAUUUUAUGAGAUCCGUUUUGGCGAAUGGUAAAAGGGGAUAGCUUUUAAGAAGGGAAAUGUGAGUGUGUUGGGGUGGAUUUUCUCCCUUUUUAUGUUCCUUGUAAAAGAAUAUACUAUGCUUCACUAACAAAAUUAAAAAGUAAAAAAGAAAACUUAUAAACAAUCUGAUGCUUAUUCUUACUUUUCUUAGUUGCACUGCUUCUAAAAACAUCUCCACAUGUAAGAUUCUGAUACAGAAUGAACAAAACCUCGAAAGAAGCUAACUUAACAAAUAUAGUAAAUGUUGGAGGCAACCAACAGGAGAGUUCCAUACCUGUCACUAUGCACAAAUGUGGAGACUUUGUACAUGCACCGAUAAAGCGCACAACAUUACUAUGAUGGACCUCUCUGCAAUCAUAAAACAAAUAUAAUAUAUAUCAGUAUUGCUUAAUAGCAAUACGCAUGCCAACAUAACCUAUAAAAUGGAACAACAGUUUUCUUUUCCCUUGAAUAAGAGACAAUUUAUUAGUAAAGAAUAAGAUACAGAGAAGACACUAUGAAAAACUAGAAACAGCAAAAGGUGGAACCUAGCCAUGAAUUUUAACUGCCUAGAUGUGUGAAAUGCAGCAUGGGCUAGCUGCAUUUUACUUAACUAUCAGAAAAUUCAUUCACUUUAUGGGUUUCAAGAAUAGUUACAGCUAAUAUACCACAAAAUGAAAGACUAGCUGCAUUAAAUGUGAUUUUUUAAAUGACACAAUAAGACAUGUUUCUUGGUUCCAUUUGUAAUUACAUUUGGCAUAUUCUUCCAAAGCCUCGUCGAAAUAAAGACCAGCAACCUGGAUAUUCAACCAGCAAUCCUGGAUAUUCAACCAGCAAAUCCAGAAAACGUGAAGCAUUCUCUUGUCAUUCCCAGAGAUUAUAGGAAUUGUUCUUGUACAGGCUAGUAUAGAAGUUCAUUAUGGAGGAUGUUGGAAAAUAAUGGAAAAAUCUUUAAAAGUUUACAAGUGGAGAAGAGCUCUCAAUAGAAAUGAUAAGAGUGAUUUCAUAUGAACUCCCCAGCAGGGACCAGCCUAGAUUAAAAGAAGAUAAAGAUAGAAAAUUAUUCACCUUAAAAUUGCCACUUCUUGAGCAAACUCAUCCUCUAGAGCAUCAUUCAAAUGUUCAGAUCUCAAAAUCUUAACAGCAACAUCUUGACCAAGAUAAAUUCCACGAUACCUGAGAAUGAACAGUAAUAUAAAGUUAAGCAGCAGAGAAGACUAUAAACGAAUAAAGGAAUGCCAAAAAUAAAACAUAUCUUACAAAUCUCCACAUGACCCAGAUGCAAUUCUGUCUCCGAUCAUUAAUAAUCUUCGGUCUAUUUCCCAGAGUCCUGUCUUUUCUUUCACCGAUAAUUCUUUCUCCACAGCCGAAUGAGAAUGUGAAGAUCUUGACCAUGACCCCUAAAUUACCAAACAACAGAUACGUAUUACUAUCUUAUAAUUCUUCGAUUAUUUUAGCAUUGUGACGCAAUAUACCUCACUUCUAGCAAUUGCCUUUUCCAUAGCUUCAUACAGACCAUCUGUAUCCUGACCACAACAUUGCAAAGUCAGCAACAUUUGAACUCAGCACAGUUGUCAUAAAAUUAAUAUAAUCACAAUUCCCCUUAAUGUAUUCUGAAGACAUUUUCUUGGAGGAACUGUAGCUUUUUCGACUUGUCCAAUUUGAUAAAACCCAAUAUUUAUAACAAACAUAUUGGGAUGCAUUAGAUCCAAUAAUUGUAGCAAUGCCAUAUUACAGCCCAGAGAUAAACACUGACUAAAAAGCGUUCAUCCAUGCAUAAAAAGAGAAAGCACAUAAACAGCUUGCAGUAUAGCAAAAUCCAUAGCCAACAAAAAUAAGCAUAUUGUAGUAGCAAUGUACCACAUAUUUUAAGAAAGGCCAUCCAACGUUUCGUGUAUUGGAAAUUACUCAUUUAUAAUAUAAUAACAUGCAAAAUUUCAAGAUUCAAAACUCUGACAGUAGAAAGUAAUCUGUGAAUGACGAUAAACACAUUAUAUAGUAAAAGAAAACUACCUCAACAGGCCAUCCAUCUACCACAAAUACAUCUAAAGAGUAGCCAUCGCUCGUCGAGAAGACAUGUGCUUCACGGAUGUUAAGUUCCAAAUCCGAAAGCAAGGAAGAAAGCUACAGAAUGAUGACAUAAGUUAGAAAGAUGCGACCACAGUAUGGUUACACUUCUGCAGUUAUCUUGGAUUCUACAACAUAAACAAUGCAUAUAAUAUGUAUCAAAUGUACUGAAUAGUCCAUUGCUACCUUUAAAUUCAUUUUCCAAUUGAAUUUGAAGGCUAUAGAUUUUCAACUUUAUAUUAAUGAAAGAAAUCAUAAUGAAAAAGAACUCUUCCAAUACAACGUCUUCUCACAAUUAUAUUUAAUACCCAAGCUUACUGCAUUGAGGUGCCAGCGUGUGAGGUCUAGACACUAGAGUUGACACAAAACAUCAGAUGGAGAACCAUAAAACAUGAAUGACGGACCAUCACAGUGUCACAUGAAAACAAAGAUAGUUGCUUGAGUUAUAAACAUUAGGUAUUGAACACACAUUCAUAUUAGUGAGUACCAAGAGAACUGCUUAAGUGGAGACAGAGUAUUACAGGAUAAUGAAGCUAUCAAAUGAUGUCAAAUUUCAAUACCCUUUAACAUUGAAGAAAUUAUGUACAUGUGGACACUAAAACUACAGAAAUACUAUCACUUGAUGCUAUUCAAUCAGAUGAUCCUUUUGAUUAUUAAUUGAAAAAAGGAAUGCUGAAUCCAACUUCAUGAUCCAGAAUGUAAGUGCAAUAUCAGAUAAGUUUGUCCACUAUCCUAUCAUACUAAUCUUAUAUGACCCCUUUGAGAUAUAACUCGUUGAACAGUUGAACUUAGUUUACCAAAUAGACCUUCAGCUUUAAUUUGCAAACACGUAAGGGAACAAUCAGCAGAUUUUCGGGCUUCAAACUCUGAUUUCUUUUCAGAUUCUAAGAAUAUUUUGAAACUGAGAUCGAGGUAAACUCCAGGUGGUAAUACCAAACUUGACAACAAACGAAUAAAUUAAACCUUCUCAGUCAUACCUGGCUAAGAAGCUUAGGCUUGUCAAUAGUUGAAAAUAUUACUUCAUGAAUGGGAACAUGUGGUAUAUCUUGCCUGCGUUAUACAGCCCAAUGGUCAAUAUCAUUUCUGCAUAAUUAUACAUGUUUUUUCUUUAAAUGAGAAACAAAGUUUUACUAAAGAUACUCAAAAACACAGUACAAGACUCUGAACAAACUGGUCCACCAACAAAAUGAUUCAACUAAUGAAAAACAAAUCUGAAUUACACCUAUGACAAUGUAAUGGAACUUUCAAAAUUACCCUAUAAGAGCUUCCCAAUCUAAUAAGAUGUUAGAAAUUGGUAGAUCCCUAAAGGGUGGAGAAAAACAAGCUGAUAAGCAUAAAUGUGAUCUCUCAAAUAUACGGGCACAGUUCAUAUAAAAACUGCACAAUUAAAAUAUAAAGUAUAUGAAAAAGACCCGGAUAAAGGAGGAGGGGGAGGGCGUCAGGUAGUCGACAGCCGGCACUCCAUGAUCACGUCGAAUCCUUAUGAAAAUGAAUCCAGAACAAAAUCGCGCUAAAGCUAGGGCGUCACCCGUAAGUGGCGCGCUGUGUGGCCUGAGCACAGUGAUAAGUGAGCAAGGGUCGCUGUAUCUCCAUCGGCACCCGGAUGCAGUGUUAAAUGAGCAAGGGGGCCAUAGAAACUUCUUUUCGAACGACUCCACUCAAAGUUGUUUGGGAGCAUAUGCUCCUAUCAACUUUACCCGGGACACACAAAAGAAGUACUUUGAUCCUAUUAGACGGGGGAGGGUGAAGAAGCUAGGACAGAAGGGUAGAGUUCAAGAGAGCAAAAUGCGUUUAGGAACGUGGAAUAUAGGAACCUUAACGGGAAAAUCUAUGGAAGUAGUGGAAGUUAUGGUGAGGAGAAGGAUAAAUAUUAUGUGCCUACAAGAAACUAAGUGGGUUGGUAGUAAGGCAAAGGAUCUAGAAAACUCAGGGUUUAAACUUUGGUAUUCGGCACAAAUAGAACGAGAAACGGUGUUGGCAUCAUCGUGGACAAGACCUUGGUACAAGAUGUUGUAGAUGUCAAGAGGGUAGGAGAUAGAAUCAUGGCAAUCAAGAUUGUAAUAGGACAAGAACUUAUCAAUGUGAUUAGUGCGUACGCACCUCAAGUAGGGUUGGAUACGAGUUCGAAGGAGAAAUUUUGGGAAGAUCUUGGAGACUUGGUGCAAGGAAUUGCUCAGACGGAGAAGUUAUUUAUAGGAGGAGAUUUAAAUGGACACGUGGGCAGGGAGACAGGCAACUAUGGAGGUUUUCAUGGUGGCCAUGGUUUUGGGGAGAGAAACGAGGAUGGGGAAGCUAUCUUGGAUUUUGCAAUGGCAUAUGAUCUCUUCUUAGCCAACACCUUCUUUAAGAAGAGAGAAGAACAUGUGAUCACCUACAAGAGUGGGUCGUCAAAAACACAAAUAGAUUUUCUUCUAAUGAGGAAAGGGGAUCGUAUAACUUGUAAGGAUUGCAAAGUUAUACCAGGAGAGAGCGUGGCUAAUCAACAUCGCUUGUUGGUGAUGGAUGUACAUAUCAAAAGAGUAAGACAAAAGAACAAGACUUGGAAGUGCCCAAGGACUAGAUGGUGGAAUCUAAAAGAAGAAAAACAAGCCAUUUUCAAAGAGAAGGUAAUCACCCAAUGUGUGUGGGAUAGAGAGGGGGAAGCUAGCCAAAUGUGGGAUUCCAUGGCUAGUUGUAUCCGAAAAGUAGCAAAAGAGGUAUUAGGAGAGUCCAAGGGCUUUGCCCCACACCAAAAGGAAUCUUGGUGGUGGAAUGAGGAGGUACAAACAAAGGUGAAGGCUAAGAAGGAAUGUUGUAAAGCCUUAUACAAGGAGAGGACUGAUGAAAAUGGUGAAAGGUAUAGAAAAGCGAAGCAAGAGGCGAAGAAAGCUGUCAGAGAAGCUAAGUUAGCGGCUUACGACGAUAUGUAUAAACGACUAGAUACCAAAGAAGGAGAGUUGGAUAUCUAUAAACUAUCUAGAGCAAGGGAAAAAAGAAGACAAGGGACCUAAACCAAGUGAGGUGCAUCAAGGAUGAGGAUGGAAAGGUUCUUGCUACAGAGAACGCGGUUAAAGACAGAUGGAGAGGUUAUUUUCAUAAUCUUUUCAAUGAAGGACAUGAAAUGAGUGCUUCUUUAGGGGAGUUGAGUAACUCAGAAGAGUGUAGAAACUACUCUUUUUAUCGUCGAAUCCGGAAGGAAGAAGUGGUUGUAGCUUUGAAGAAGAUGAAGCAUAAAAAAGCAAUAGGCCCAGACGAUAUACCAAUCGAAGUGUGGAAACUUUUGGGAGAGACAGGUAUAACAUGGCUCACUGACCUUUUCAAUAGGAUUUUGAAAACGAAGAAGAUGCCAAAUGAGUGGCGAAUGAGCACUUUGGUGCCUAUCUACAAGAAUAAGGGCGACGUACAAAAUUGCAUGAACUAUAGGGGUAUUAAGCUAAUGAGUCAUACAAUGAAGCUCUGGGAGAGAGUCAUUGAGCAUAGAUUGAGGCAAGAGACACGGGUUUCGGACAACCAAUUCGGGUUCAUGCCAGGGCGCUCAACCAUGGAGGCAAUCUAUCUCUUACGAAGAUUGAUGGAAAUAUAUAGAGAUGGGAAAAAGGAUUUACACAUGGUCUUUAUAGAUUUGGAAAAAAGCGUAUGAUAGGGUCCCAAGAGACAUUCUUUGGAGGAUUUUAGAGAAGAAAGGAGUAGUACGAGUAGCAUAUAUCCAAGCUAUAAAGGAUAUGUAUGAAGGAGCAAAGACUGCCGUAAGAACUCAUGAAGGACAAACCGAAAGCUUUCCCAUAACUGUAGGAUUACAUCAAGGCUCAUCCUUAAGUCCUUACCUUUUUGCGUUGGUAAUGGAUGAGUUAACACGACAUAUUCAAGAUGAUAUUCCUUGGUGUAUGCUUUUCGCAGACGAUAUAGUGUUGAUAGAUGAAACUCAGGAAGGGGUAAAUGCAAAGCUUAACCUUUGGAGAGAAGUGUUGGAAUCUAAAGGUCUUCGCCUAAGCCGAUCAAAGACAGAAUAUAUGGAGUGCAAGUUCAGUGCAAAUGGAGGCCAAAACGAGUUAGGGGUGAGGAUCGGAGAUCAAGAAAUACCAAAGAGCGACCGUUUUCGUUACCUAGGAUCUAUCUUUGCAAAAGAACGGAGAAUUAGAUGGAGAUCUCAACCAUAGAAUACAAGCUGGAUGGAUGAAGUGGAAGAGUGCAUCCGGCGUGUUGUGUGACCGCCGUAUGCCACUGAAGCUCAAGGGAAAAUUUUAUAGGACGGCAAUAAGGCCGGCGAUGCUGUAUGGCACAGAAUGUUGGGCGGUGAAACAUCAACACGUACACAAAAUGGGUGUAGCGGAGAUGAGGAUGCUUCGUUGGAUGUGUGGGCACACGAGAAAGGAUAAGAUUAGGAAUGAGGAUAUCCGGGGUAAAGUAGGAGUAGCCGAAAUUGAAGGAAAGAUGAGAGAAAAUCGGUUACGGUGGUUUGGACAUGUGCAAAGAAGGCCUACUGACGCUCCGAUUAGAAGAUGCGACUAUGGGACAGAGGUUCAGGGCCGAAGGGGUAGAGGAAGACCUAGGAAAACUUUGGAAGAGACUCUAAGAAAAGACUUAGAGUACUUGGAUCUAACGAAGGAGGACAUGACACAGGAUCGAGCACAAUGGCGUUCUAAGAUUCAUAUAGCCGAUCCCACUCAGUGACUUGGAUUUUCCAAGUCUCCAACCGAGAAGUUUUCCUCACUCGGGAAAUUAAGGGAACACUACCCCAACCUACAUGCUCCACUCAGAAAGCUUCAACAUACAAGCUUCAACAAAAGAAAAUUCAAAGAACUUAGCGAAGAAGGCUUUGGUGUAUUUAACACAAUACGUUGAAAUGAAGGAAAGCUUAUUUAUUGAUAUCCCCGAUAAGCUACAAAUAUGUACAUAUACAUGAGUCAAAAUAAACACAAGAGGGAGCCUUCACAAAGGUUGCUUAGGAGAAGUCUCAGCAGUCGGUAGAGCCCCAGAAAGAGAAGGCACCGGAGGGGGAUCAUUUGGAGCCUCAGUACUGGACAGAACCCUAGAAGGAGGAGGCAUCAGAGGUUGAUCAUUUGGAGCUUCAUUACGCGGUACAGCCCCAGAAGACGAAGGCAAUAAAUGCCUUUGGAACAAACCCACAAAUCUCUGAUGAUCAAGUAAAACCUGACCAUCAGUUUCCUUCAUCUGGUCAAGCUUCCUCUUCAUGUUUGUAGCAUAGUCAUGUGCGAGCCGGUGCAACUGUUUAUUCUCAUGCUUGAGCCCUCUAAUCUCCUGUUUGAGACUCAUCACUUCAGCCGCCAAUGAUUCAACUUGGCGGGUUCGAGCAAAUAGGCGUUGGGCCAUAUUAGACACAGAACCUGCACACUGAACACUGAGAGCCAGCGAAUCCUUAACAGCUAACUCAUCAGACCGUUUGGAAAGUAGUCUGUUAUCUUUGGGAGUGAGAAGGUUCCUGGCCACCACCGCAGCGGUCAUAUCAUUCUUCAUCACGGAAUCCCCAACGGUAAGAGGACCAGUAGGGGAGACGAAGGAUGGGCGCCAUAUGUUGUCUGGAGAAGGCGGGGCUGCCUCUUCAACAAGGUUCAAGUCAAAACGACGGUCGGAGGGGCCAGACAUUUUCAAAGGUGUUGAAGAGAGAAGAGGUCGGACAAAUCAAGAUCUUAGAAGUGCAAGAAUGAAGCUUCUACUGGUGGAGAUUCAAGUGUGCUUUGGAACUUAAUGCCAGCCCCUAUAUAAAAAUCUGCACUCGACGAAGCUUUAGAAAUCGAAGAGGCGCCUGCUCAGAAAUCGAAGAGGCGUUUGCUUUCUCAAAAGCUGGGCUGCUUAGAGAUCACGAGGGUUGAUCUCAGAAAUCGAAGAGGUGUUUGCUUUCUCAAAAGUUAGGCUGCUCAAAGACCACGAAGGCCGAUCUCAAAAAUCGAAGAGGCGCUCGCUUUCUCAAAAGCUGGGCUCCCCAGAGACCACGGGGGCCGAUAUCAGAAAUCGAAGAGGCACCUACUUUUCCAGCCUUUUCCAGCCUUGUCAGCACCUGUCACACGCACACUCAGUUUUGCGGAAAUUAUGGGCAUUCUGUCAAAGACUUCUGGGGAAGUAGAAAACACAUGAAUCUUACUGUUCAAUCACCCACUUCCCACACGCAACAAUAGCUCAUGGGUACCACAGAUAACUUUGCCAAAGUUCUCUGCCAAAGUUGAGCACGUGAAGCUUGCAGCUCCUACUACAUCGCUCUGACCAAGAAGGGUAAAAGAAUAGCAAAGAAACAGCACUAACAAAGUUUAGACCCAUAAAUUUUGAAGGUCUAGCUACCAUAUUAUUACCCACAAGGGUAAAGGAACAGUACCACUGCUGGAUAAUUGGAAAGUCCCUGUGUGUCAACCUCUGUGCUUCGUGGCAAGGUAGACUAGCAAACAUGCCCAACCUUUACUCACAUUCGAGAAAACACUCCCAAUAAGAUUGCUUGCUCCAAAAUCGAAGAGGCACCGUCCUCCGAAUCUCGAGAGCCAGACUCCCAACAUGACUACUUUCUUAAAAAUCGAAGAGAGAGGGUAAAGGAACAGUACCAUUGCUGGAUAAUUGGAAAGUCCCUGUGUGUCAACCUCUGUGCUUCGUGGCAAGGUAGACUAGCAAACAUGCCCAACCUUUACUCACAUUCGAGAAAAACACUCCCAACAAGAUUGCUUGCUCCAAAAUCGAAGAGGCACCGCCCUCCGAAUCUCGAGAGCCAGACUCCCAACAUGAUUACUUUCUCAAAAAUCGAAGAGACACUGCUCCCCGAAUCUCGAGAGCCAGACCCCCAGCAUGAUUGCUUUUUCAAAAAUCGAUGAGGCAUCGUUCUCCGAAUCAAUCGAAGAGGCGCUCGCUUUCUCAAAAGCUGGGCUGCUCAGAGACCACGAGGGCCGAUCUCAGAAAUCGAAGAGGCACCUACUUUUCUAGCCUUGUCAGCACCUGUCACACGCACACUCAGCUUUGCAGAAAUUAUGGGCAUUCUGUCGAAGACUUCUGGUGAAGUAGAAAGCACAUGAAUCUUACUGUUCAAUCACCCACUUCCCACACGCAACAAUAGCUCAUGGGUACCACAAAUAACUUUGCCAAAGUUCUCUGCCAAAGUUGAGCACGUGAAGCUUGCAGCUCCCACUACAUCGCUCUGACCAAGAAAGGUAAAAGAAUAGCAAAGAAACAGCACUAACAAAAGUUUAGACACAUAAAUUUUUGAAGGUCUAGCUACCAUAUUAUUACCCACAACUGUAAAGGAACAGUACCACUGCUGGAUAAUUGGAAAGUCCAUGUGUGUCAACCUCUGUGCUUCGUGGCAAGGUAGACUAGCAAACAUGCCCAACCUUUACUCACAUUCGAGAAAACACUCCCAAUAAGAUUGCUUGCUCCAAAAUCGAAGAGGCACCGACCUCCGAAUCUCGAGAGCCAGACUCCCAACAUGAAUACUUACUCAAAAUCGAAGAGAGGGUAAAGGAACAGUACCAUUGCUGGAUAAUUGGAAAGUCCCUGUGUGUCAACCUUUGUGCUUCGUGGCAAGGUAGACUAGCAAACAUGCCCAACCUUUACUCACAUUCGAGACAACACUCCCAACAAGAUUGCUUGCUCCAAAAUCGAAGAGGCACCGCCCUCCGAAUCUCGAGAGCCAGACUCCCAACAUGAUUACUUCCUCAAAAAUCGAAGAGACACUGCUCUCCGAAUCUCGAGAGUCAUACCCCCAGCAUGAUUGCUUUCUCAAAAAUCGAAGAGGCAUCGUUCUCCGAAUCUCGAGAGCCAGAUACCACAGACCACUUUUUCAAAGUGCUCUGACAGAGUUAAAACAUGUGAAACUGGCAGCUCCCACUACCGUGCUAUGACCAAGCAGGGUAAAGGAAUAGCAUUACUACUUGUUGUUAGGGAGACUCCUAUAUAUGUCGACCUCCAUCCCCAACGGACAGGCAGACCUGCAAAAAUGCUCAACCCUUCAUCAUAUCUGAGAGGGCACUCCCAACGAAGCCUUUCGAAAUAUUCAGCUUUCUUUCCCCCCGAUAAUACCUCUGCAAACAAGCUAUACUAGAGCAAGAAUAUCUCAUAUCAUCAGGGUUAAAAGCAAGAGUAUCCCAUAUCAUGCUUUUUCCCUGUCUUUUCUUUUUGGCCUUGUUUUUACCUGCAAGACAAGGAGAAAGAGAGCAAUCAGUCAGCACUUGGAAUCAAGCUUCCAGCCAGGAACUGACUGCCUGGAACCCCUUACCUGAUUACUUACCUGGCAUUGCUCUCGAGUACUCAUCUUCAACAUCUUAUGUUUCCAGGGAAGAUUCCGCAUCUGCUUGAGGAACAGAUAGGGCAAGUGCGAAGGAUACAAGGAAGCAUGUGGAGACAAGCGUAACAGCACACGUGCCGAUACAUUCAUUACUCUGUCAAAAGCAAAAGUAUCCCAUAUCAGCAGGGUGGAACGUACUCUAGAUUUGAUGGACUUGUUUUGACCCUCAAAUUCUUCAGUCGGCCUUAUACUCUGGAGAAAACCAGAAAACCCUCCAGCUCAGUUCAAGAAUAAGCCUGUGGAAAGUUACUUCUUCAAAAGCAAAAGUAUCUCAUAUCAUCUCUUCUCAUUUUUCUUCUCUUUUAUCCUUCAUGCUGCUGCAAGAUGGGGAGAAGGUGAACAAUCAGUCGGAGCUCUGAUUGCUUACCUUGUCUGUCACCUCUUUCAGCAGACCCCUAGCUCGGCGACUUGGGGGACUCCUACUACAUGGUUUGUAUCGCGCUUGACCAAGCCUGAAACUACAAGUAAGCUUCAAGUGAAAUUGAUACAUUACCUUGUGCAUCUCCACCAGUUAAAGAUAUCCACCCCUGGAUGGAGGAAGAGUACUUCCAGAGAAGAUGCCACAUCUACCUAUGAGACAGAUAAGGCAAGUCAAGACGACACCACACUCCGAUACUUAGAAGUUUCGUGAUUACGAGAUCAUUCUCCCACAAUAUUUCCUAAUGUCAUUUGUACUAAAAUCAUUCACUUGUACUCACUAAAUGAGAGCUUGAACCUAUGUACUUGUGUAAACCCUUCACAAUUAAUGAGAACUCUUCUAUUCCGUGGACGUAGCCAAUCUGGGUGAACCACGUACAUCUUGUGUUUGCUUUCCUAUCUCUAUCCAUUUAUAUACUUAUCCACACUAAUGACCGGAGCAAUCUAGCGAAGAUCAUAAAAAGCGAUCGUUUUCGCUACCUAGGAUCUAUCUUGCAAGAGAACGGAGAAUUAGAUGGAGAUCUCAACCAUAGAAUACGAGCUGGAUGGAAAGAGUGCAUCCGGCGUGUUGUGUGACCGUCGUAGGCCACUGAAGCUCAAGGGAAAAUUUUAUAGGACGGCAAUAAGGCUAGCGAUGUUGUAUGGCACAGAAUGUUGGGUGGUGAAGCAUCAACACGUACACAAAAUGGGUGUAGCGGAGAUGAGGAUGCUUCGUGGGAUGUGUGGGCACACGAGAAAAGGAUAAGAUUGGGAAUGAGGAUAUCCGAGGUAAAGUAGGAGUAGCUGAAAUUGUAGGAAAGAUGAGAGAAAAUCGGCUCCGGUGAUUUUGAACAUGUGCAAAGAAGGCCGACUGACGCUCCGGUUCGAAGAUGUGACUACGGGACAGAGGUUCAGGGCCGAAGGGGUAGAGGAAGACCUAGGACAACUUUGGAAGAGACUCUAAGAAAAGACUUAGAGUACUUGGAUCUAACGGAGGACAUGACACAAAACCGAACGCAAUGGCGUUCUAGGAUUCAUAUAGCCGACCCCACUUAGUGGGAAAAGGCUUUGUUGUUGUUGUUGUUGUUGUUGUUGAUUAAGCAUUAAUAUCAGCAUAAAGAAAAAUUAUUUUCUAUUUUUAAUUUGGAAAAUAAGACCUUUAGCAUAUUACUUCAUAAAUAUGUGUAUUUACUAUUUAUGCGUGCAUGCAUAUGUUUGUCUUUAUACAAUUUCAUGAUCACAUUGUACACUUCUAUGUAUCAUGUCUACCCUUUAUACACAUGAAAUAUCAUAUACAGUAAUUGCUUGUCAACACAUUCAUUAGAGCUUUACAAAUCGUUUAUCUAAUUUCUGUUUGAUAAGAUACAACAAAUUUAUCAGAAUAAAAUUUUGAUAAAAAUAGUGCACAUUAAAGCAAGAAGAAAGUAAGUUUUAAACAAGUGUCUUCCAACCUAUAGAAAGAGGGCUUCUCAAAAUUCCACCCAAAACUUUAACACUGAAAGCCUAUAAUAAGGCAACAUACAUUAUUCUACCCCUAAUUGCUACAAAUUCUUGAUGCUUGACCCAUAGCAAUUUUUCAGUGUGCAUCUCAAUAUUAACUUAGUCUUCAUCAUCCCAAGUCCUCAAAAAUGUAUACGCAAAAUAUGAGAAGUCAAAUGAAGCAAAACAAUAACUAACUUCGCUGCACAUAACAAUCUGCUCCAUAACUUAACCAAUGCAUAUGUUCAUCCAAAAGAAAAUGAUGCAUCUAUUCACCAUUCUUUCUACUGUUAAUUCACCAUUUACGAUAUAAAGAAAGGUCUGACUCACCUUCGAAGAAAAUUACUAGUGCUAAAUUUUUCAUAAGCUUUGCCCAAGGUAAAAGUUAACUUUCCUAGGAACCAGUGGAUUCCAUUAAAUCUUUAGGAAAAAAACUGAUAGAGUGACAACCAAUCAACCUUCAGAAUAAAGAGUUCCUACAAAAGAGUUCCUCAAAAUAAUUAGGGACCAAAGCCAUUAUGACUUGUUGCUCUUGAUAUGCAAUGGGUUUCUAUUGAGCACUUUCAUUUUGGGUAUUGUUGGUUAGAGACCAAAAGCUUGCAGCUCACUAAGAUAAAGUAAACGAGUAAACCAAUAUAUUGGUGGCAAUUGAUGUAUCAAAUGGUAAGAAUUAAUCUGACAAUGUGAAAAGGAUGGUGAUUUUCACACCCCAUUUACCUCCCGCACACUCUUUCGAUUUUUUAAUAUCUUUUUGCUCUUCCAUCACUUUGUCUUUAUUUUAGAGGUGGGCCUUCACCAAGAGCAAACAAAUAUUAAAAUUUUGAAAAUGUGUGGGAAGUAACAUGGGGUGUGAGAAAAUCACCACCCAUGUGAAAAAAUUAAAAAUCUUGUUAUAAUGAACCCAGUAGUGCUUAUUCUAGAACAGAAAACAAGCCAACAAACUUUGGUUGAGUACCUUGUGGGAGAAUCCUUGGUCAGAUGUCUUCCGUCCAUAUCCUUAGCAUUCUUUCUAACAUCCAAAUUUAGGUCCCCGAGCUUAGAGCAAGGUUCAAAGUCAGCCGCACAAUUCCUAGUUUUACUCAGAGAAAUGAUAUAAAUAAAUGACAACCAAAAAAGGUCCACAGAUCAAUAUCCAGAGUCACCGAAACCCUUGUUGGGAAAAACUACGGCAAAAAGUUUAAGCACUCAGAGACAAAGUACAACACAGAUAUAAUAUGGUUAUUACCUAUCAUGUGACAGAGUAGCUCCUUCACUAGUUUCAUCACAUGAUGACCUUGGGGUUGAAACAACACUUGUACAUUGUUGAACAUCAUCAUCUUCGUCGUCUGUCCCCAUAGAAGUAUUCUGAUCAUAAGUACAUAAAAUGAUGAACAUAAGAGGAACUUAAUGAUAAAUAAAAGGGUAAAUCGCCAAAAUGGUCCCUGAGAUUUGCAUAACUUAUCACUUUGGUCCCCAAGAUUCCAAAUCGAUAAAAGUGGUCCCUGAGAUUGUCCACCAUCCAUCAUUUUGGUCCUUCCGUUAAGUGUCCCAGAGCUCUUGGCCAGAAGUUUGGGCAAUUUUCAAAGCUUCGUAACUCAAUCGUUUCUUAACCAAAUUCGAUCCAUAAUAUAUCAAAAUGAAGAUAGGAAAGUGUAGAAUAAGAUUAUACCUAUUUCGAAGCCCAAUGGUUGCCGGAGAUGGCCGGAAAAUAGCCUCAAAGUUGACUGGUCCGAGCGAAAACUUGAAAACUCGCCGGAAACUGGGUAAACUUUAAACGUUCGUAACUUCUUCAAUACUCAACGAAAUCAAGUGAUUCAAAAACGAAAAUCAUACUUCUCGAUGAGACAAAGAGAAUGGUCUAGGUACCAUUCUCUUUGUCUUGUCGAGAAGUAUUUCUCUUUGUCUCGUCGAGAAGUAUAAUUUUCGUUUUUGAAUCACUUGAUUUCGUUGAGUAUUGAAGAAAUUACGAACGUUUAAAGUUUACCCAAUUUCCGGCGAGUUUUCAAGUUUUCGCUUGGACCAGUCAACUUUGAGGCUAUUUUCCGGCCAUCUCCGACAACCAUUGGGCUUCGAAAUAGGUAUAAUCUUAUUCUACACUUUCCUAUCUUCAUUUUGAUAUAUUAUGGGUCGAAUUUGGUUAAGAAACGAUUGAGUUCCGAAGCUUUGAAAAUUGCCCAAACUUCCGGUCAAGAGCUCCGGGACACUUAACGGAGUUUUUAAUGGAAAAUGAUGGAUGGUGGACAAUCUCAAGGACCACUUUUAUUGAUUUGGAAUCUCAGGAACCAAAGUAAUGAGUUAUGCAAAUCUCAAGGACCAUUUUGGCGAUUUAGCCUAAAUAAAAUAGAAGGGGAAAAAAGAACUAAUGUCACAUUGGAACACCACACCACCAAAGUUUCUCAUGCUUUACAAGAUUCUGUAAGAUCUUAUUUUCAAGUGUAGUCAAGGCUUCUUUAGGUAAAGUGACAGUCAGUACAUGCAACAGGAUUCAUACAUUACUACACAUCGUGAUUGAUCCAUAUCCUGGUCAACAACAUUGUGAUAUCACAGUUCCAACAUUUUUUCCCAGAACCCCACAAUGUUUCCAAUAAAACAGCUAGUAAGAAAAUCCGAAUCAGACUAAAAGAAGGUAUAGUUGAAAUGCUAAUUAAUGAUAAUAACACGUAAAUAUCUAUCUGACGUAAUGACUUUUAAUUUUACUCUAAGAGACUAACCAUGUGGAGAAUCUUAUUGAAAGAAACUUGUAAUGACUUUUAAUUUCAAUCUAAGAGACUAACCAUGUGGAGAAUCUUAUUGAAAGAAACUUGUAUCAUUAAUUUAUCAAAGCAAUAUUAUUUCUGAGGUUAAGACUAAGGGCCUAGGUAAGGGAACUUUUGUUGAGUACUAACAUAGUGAAUAUCACAAGCAAAACUAGUGCGAAAAAUAGUCACCAAUUCGAGAUAAAUUUUUUAAAUGAACCUACAAGAGUUACAGUGAAUGUGCUAUAAAAAGGUUAGAUUAGAAUUUGGUUUUUAAGAACUUCACAUAGGCUGUCUCGUACACUUGUGAUGUAGACUCAAGUUUUCAAACCCAAAGCGCACAAGUUUGCAUUAAUAGGCAAGGAAUUUAUAGUCCUACAUAUUGGAACUUGAAAUCAUGCACCAACUUUAUCUUCUUCUUCUCGACUGAAGCCCUUUACCUAGUGCAAGCCAGAGACAAAAUAAAGUAGUAGUACUGAACCAUUUGUGUUACUUAUAACCUUCUUCUUCUCCGUUGAAACCACUGCUCUAUACCUUUUAAGGAUAACAUUUUCCCAAUUAUUCCAUCAUUUCUCAAAGCUAACCAUGGUUAGGGACAUUAUGAGUCAGAGUAAUUAUCAAGGAAGUCAUUGAUACCCCAUCCUUCUUUCCCACUCGCGAUUACUACAUAUAUGAACCUUUUGUGGCUUUAAAAGGAAAUAUAGUAUUCAUCCAAAUAAUUUAAAUUUUUUCUGGAAAAUAAUGAUUACGUGAAUGCAAGUUGUUGCAAACAAUCUAAAACGUGGCUUUUUAUAACAACAGGAAAUAAACUAAUACUUGGUUUAGCACUGGGACUCAAAGAAACUCUAGUUCAGAACAAGAUUCCAAACAUAAAAUACUGAAGCAAAUGAUGCGGAAUACCUCCAUGAAACGGAUAUGAUACACGGGCCGCUUCUCAGGGUCUUUUGCCAAUGCAAGAAGCUUUUGAUGUAACAAGACAUCUUCCACUCUAUCCAAGUUAACAUCAAGUCCGUAACUGCGCAGAAAACAAAAUUAGUAAAAUAAAUAAAUAAUGUAGAAUUCAUAGAAUUAGGUUCAUCAUCCUCCACAUCUAAAGAAAAAUGAAACAUUCAUGCUAUGGCUCUUAUGAAGUUUUACAGUGGAAAAUAUCUUGGAAAAUAUAGUGAAUACUUUUCCCAGUAAGGUUUUAAACAAAGCUUCAACAUAACAUAAGGUCUGGAAAGGUUGGCCUUGAAAUAACAUUUCUUGACAGACCUAAGGAAAAUUUUGUGCCUCCUGGAAAGGUACUUCCAAAAAGAAUUGACUGCGAAGUGCGGAACUAAUUUCAGUCCAUACACACAUUGCAGAGUUUCAAUUGUAAACCUUUACACUAGUCACAUGGUCAAACCGACCAACUCUUACAGAAAUAAUAGGCAAGAAAACAACACUCAAACAGCACUGCCAGCUCAAAAAAUAAUCAGGUCCAUACAGAACAAAUAUUAGAUCACAUAACCAAUUUGAUAUUCAAACAUAUGCAUAAACUUAUUCGUGCUCAAACAUUAAAAACUUCACUGAUACUGCUCCGAAAGCAUAUUAACUCAAGAAAUCAAUCAUGUUGGGAUCAUCAUUUGAGACUCUAAGAGCUUCAUAAGGGUUCGUACUUCAAUAAUACGGUUCGUACCAUAAUACACCAAUCCCAAAACUACGGAGCACUGGUUAACCAAAUAUCUUCGAAGACCUACUGAAGGGUUCAUGUUGAGACACCCCUACCUAAGCACAUGAGUUUCUCUCCAACCAGGAGCCCAAUCACAAUGCUAAAGCUUCUAAAGUCCCACAUCAACCACAGACGAAAUAGGCAAUUCUCCUCAACUAUAAAAGGAGAUUGUUCUCCCACAAUUGAUCCCUGAUGAUCUUAUUUUGCUUAAUCCACUAUUAGAACUCACUAAGUAAUGAUUCUGUCUAAAUCCUUGUAUCAUGUAAACUCUCUCUACAUUAUUUAUGAGAACUCCUCCAUCCGACGUAGCCCAAUUUAAGGUGAACCAUGUAUGAUUGCUGCCCUUUUAUCCCUUAACUCUGUACAUACUCUCAUCACUAGGUGACCGAAGCAACUUAGCAAGGAUCGCAUAUUGACACUCUACGUUAUUCCAAAGUCAACCCAGUUUUGUGCAUCAACAAAUACAAUAAUGUUUUGUUCUGAAAAAACUAAUUCCAGAAAUAAAUCAAUGGCGGAAGUUCGUUAAAAUUAAAGAAUAAAAAGAAAUGAAAUGAAAAACAAUCUUAUAGAGGAAAGCGAUCGAAGGGGAAUACCUAGGCGGCAAGCGGUUGAAGUGACCGUCCAACUGUUCACGGAAUUCGGGCAGAGUCAGAGCGUCUUCAUGGCCGCUCUCCACCAAGCGGUUGUAGACAUCGUUUCGGACAUCGUAGUUACUGAAGCUGACGAAGCUUCUCGGCGGCGACGAGCUCUCUCCGACGCCCUCGGUCAAAUCCAUAGGGGAAGCUCAAGUCAGCAGGUUUUCCACGAAAAUACAGAAGAGAAGGAGGAGAAAGCGAGCUCGGAGAGUUGUCAAUGAUAAGCAGAGGAUCUUUGACUGUUGGUGGAAUCCGGGAAGAAGACGAGGAUCUGUUGGGGAUUUCGGGCGGAAAGCAGAGGGCAAUUUCGUCAUACAAAAUCACUGUAGCAUCGUGAAGUUUCUCGAGAGCGAAGGCUAGUUUGGAGGAGAGAAUGUCAUGGUUGGAGUGAGUGAGUAGAGAGACAAAAGAAGACCUCCGUCUCAGCAAGAGAAAACUUUUUCCAUUUUUUAAUUUUUUUUUUAUAUAUAUUAUAUAUCAAAUAAUGUGGAUUGGAUAUGGUUGAAAAUGUGGGACAAUAUAAUAAUGUUUUGUAGUUAAGAAAACGCCUCGGUUUUUGAUAGAUUUUUUUUCAAUGUGAUCGUAUAUACGAAACGGUAUGUUAUAUGUUGUUGUUAAAGUAAAAUAAAAUUUUAUUUUAAAUUUAUUCUCUUAACUUAUAUAAUAAUUUAUGAUAUAUGUAACCGCGUUUUGGAUAUAUUGAAAAACCACUCUUAAAUUUUGGGCACAAUUUCAUGUGAGUCACAUCAUGUUGUAUAGGAGAAAAUAUGGCCUGCUGUUUACAAGUAAUCACAUAAAAAAGCUCAUACCAUAAUUAUGACGCAAUUGUAUAUUUAUUCUUUCUCUAAUAAUGGAUUCUCAUUUUGUAGAGAGGGAAAUGUUAAGGAGACUCAUAGUUUUUUAGGAUUGUGUUAUUCACACAUCCUGUUUAUCUUUCACAUAUUCCUCUUAGUUUUUACAAUCGGACCGAAUUAAUUAAAAAAUAUUAAAAAACAGAAAUUAACAAAAAAUGUGUAGAAAGUAAAAAUAAGAUGUGGAUAACACCACCUUUUUCUUAUUGUGAGUAGCAUAUCUAAUCACUAGAAGCAUUAGAUAUAUCCUAUGGAAGUUGAAAGCAAGUGUUCUGUUUAUAAGUGCUUACAAAAUUAUUUUUUAUUUAUUUAAUACGAAAAAGAGAUUACAAAGUAGAAGUGCUUAAGAGAAUAACACACCAAAACGAUCAAAAAGCAUCUGGCACAUAUAAAGGUACCAUUAUUCCACAACUGAGAAACGUGGAACUUUAUGUCCUAGGGCGUCCGCUACAAAGUUGACCACGAAGAAAGGAAUGAGAGUCCGAAUGUCUUUGAGUAAAGUAACGAGCGUCCAUGGAAGUUGAAUAUAGUGUAGACAACAAUCAUGACAUCCCCUUCAACUUUGACAUCUCUCCACCUAUGAGUGAAGGAUAGAGACACACUUUGAUCCAGAUAUCCAGGUAGACACUAAAAUUGAGGCAUGUUGACUAACAUUUAGAAGAUCACGAAGUCAUAACAUGUAAAUAAUGUGUAGAUUGUAUAAAUAAAUUAAAGAUUAUAAAUGCAUGUAAUGAAAAGAAGAGUAUCUAAUUAUACACAGCCAAUAUUCAAAACAUAUAGGUAUGUACACGCAAUUUAAAAUUAAAAAAAAAAAAGAUUCUGGAUUGUACUUAAAAGUAACAUUCGCCUUAAAACAUUCAUAAAUUCAUGAAAAUAUGACUUGAGCUUCUCCUAUGGACAUGGAAGAUAUGUUUGGUGAUGCAUUAGAGUAUGAUCCGCAUACAUCUUUGCAUAUAAAUUGGCCAAGAUAGGAAGUCUUUGACGGAUUAUGCCGUUUACCGCAGUAGACUUCGAGUUUUAGAAGACCAUCACACUCUUUGUAAUGGUAUGGUCAAUCAGAUGGUCGAGUAAAGAGUCACUUAAUUAAUAUUGCUUGUUCUUAUGUUCCUUUAUUUUUAUUUUUAUUUUUGAAGUCGGGUAUGAUUUAAUUUACGUAAUUGUUUAAUUUUAUUUAUGUAAUUGUGUGUUUUUAUGUAAUAGUGUGCUUUUAUUUAUAUUCUCAGUAUAACAACAAGUAUAAGCACGAAGAUAAUUAUCAUUAAGAAUAUUGACAUUAAAUUACAUAAAAGCAUUGAGUAAAUAGCAAUCAUAAAAAUAUUAACAUUACAUGAGCAUAAAAGAAUUGAGUAAAUAUAAUCAUAAACGUCACUGUACGUGGCAACAUGCUGCUAGUUGAUGAUUCAGUGGUUAAGGACGGAUUACAAGGCUUUCUUCAAACUAAAAAUUGGAGGUAUCGGGUCCGAACCUUGCUACUGGUGUGGACGCUAGACUUGUGACCAGGAGGAGGCUAAAAUGUCUCUGUAAGUCUUCCCGGCCCUUGAAAGAGAUGGAUAACCGUAGCUUACCAAUUGUUAUCCGCUCUAUAACCAACGGGGAGCUCUCCGUAGCUCGUUUGACUUCAGCAGUGAAUGAAUCAAAUAUCCACGUCGAUCUGCUUGAGGUAGCUAGAUCACCCUAAUCUAUGGAAGUUUAUUAUUUCCAAAUCUAUCUACGAUUAACCCCCAAUAUUUUCAAACAUAAUAAUACUUAACGAAGUGGAAUAAAAAUAAAUAAAAUAAACUUUGAAUUUUGCUACAGAUACUCGAGGUGUACAUAUACAAUAUGUGGACAUAUAUAUACCUUGACGAGAAGCUUGAGGCAAAUAUCAUCAGACUGGGCUGCAGAGCCCUUGGUCGUUUUGUUCUUAUUUCUGGCAAAAAGAUCAACCUCCUAUACAUCAGUACAUACAAUAUUAUUAAGUAAUAUACAUGCAAUACAAAAACGAGAUAGAGAGGGCGCUUGGAGCGCAAUUGCUUGGUUGCUGCUAAUGCCGAUGAAGCAAAGGUUUUUAGAAGCUUUAUAGAAUAAUGGAUAUAAUGGAACUUGAUGACAUAUGUGAGAAUAUGAUGAACGUUAUAUUUUUGAAGCUCUUUUUAUUAUGCCGACAAAUAUAUUAAUUUAUAUUUCUGAAAUGGUUUAUAGUGUGAAUAUUGUAGAGUAAAAUUUUGGUGCAUCUGAAAAACCAUCACGUGUUAUUAUUUCAUUCAAAACUAUAACACAUGUAUUUUCUUUUUUUAUUUAAUAUUCCUAAAAGACUAACAUUUCAACUAUGUACCAAAGCUACGGAAGUUUGUAGUUUCGAAUAUAUUGGUAGCUAAAUCACCCAACUCUACAACUUCAUUGCUUCGACUUUCUUUUGGCUAACAAAACGCCAAGCCAAACGACUUUGGAUAAAUCUUUAUCCACCUGCUAACCAAUCAUUUAUGCCCAGCUCUACCAUAAGAAGGAGAGGUUGUUCCGAAAGAGAUUUGCAAAAGGUUUUGUUCCAAUAAGGAUACUACUGUUCAACUCUCCACGAAGUUACACACAAAAAAUAAUAAUAAUAAUAAUAAUAAUAUGCACUUGUGAGAAGUGCCAACACUGUGCCACGAUCCCACACAUUCAUGUUAAACCUCUUAGAAGAGCAUAGGACCAGGUUGACGUAAGGAACGUCGCUAAUCAAGACGUCUCAAAUUACUACGGUUCUAGAGUCAACGUCUGCUCUUUAAAACUAUGAGACUAGGUGUUGAAGAAGAAAAUAUCAAAUAAACAAGACUCAAUUGUGAGUACACUUGACAUGAAUUGGGACAGACCAUACGAGAUCAUUGACAUAUAUCGCCCAGGCACAUACAUACUUAAAGAUGGCAGAACACAUGAUCAUCCAUGUAAUGUUGAUCAUCUAAAGUAUUACUACAAGUAGACAGUUCAACAUACUUAGUGAAGAGUCAAUUCAGACAAACUUUGUCUCAACCUGACACCUUAAACAAUCGUACUUAGCCAAACUUUAAAACAAACCAACAUUAUAACUUAAAAGCUCAUCCAUACAUACCUCAAUGAAGUUUAAAACCACCUUCAAAAAGGAACAUGAUUCAUAAGAGCAUCAACAUAAACUUUAAACAUGAUAAAAAUUCCACGAAGACAAAUCCACAAGGUAUCCAAGUCAAUGAUCAAUCAUAUUUAAAGCCAACAUUAGUACAUAAUUUUUUUAUUUUUAAAGUCAACAAGAGAAUACAACCUAAGUUUAGGACGCAACAAUCAACAUUCUCAUAAUAAAACUAAGAGACCACAAAUUCAUUCUCAAAGCAAAGUCAAGAUGCAAUAAUCAUCUUACAAAACCAUUUUGUUUUUUUUUUUCAAUAUAUUGAAUGAUGAGGUGUAACAACCCGUCCCAAAUUUUACAAUUUUAUAAAUUUUAAAAGUGUGAAUUGAUGAAAAUGCCCUAGAGGCAAGGAUUUUGACUUCCGUUGACCAUCAAUUUGAGAGAUGUAUGACUUAUUCUUUUAGCGUAAUUGUGUAGUACUCGUUAGUACGAACGCAUAGGUGAAGACCGUUUGCGAGUCUGAAUUAUAAUGGUAUAGAUAGGGACAUUUGAAAUUGUGUUACUAAACUAUAGAUUUAAAUUUAAUUAAGCUUCCCUCAAAUGUAUGUUAAUUAUGGGACCAAUUAGAUAAAUAUUUGAGGGACCAAUCAGCAUGGGUAACGAAAAGGGGAUCAGCCAAUCAGAAAAAAAAAAAAAAAAAAAAAAAAAGAGGGAGGGGGGUGGACUCCCAACUUUCCCGUGCACCCUUGAACCAUCCCGAUUUCAAAUCGGCGAACUUUCGCCAGUUUUUUGUUGAUCACCACCAUCCAUCACCUGCAACAUCUUUCACAUCUUCCCCUCUACUAUUUCCACUCAAAUUUGGGAUUUUUUUUAAGGUCAAAACCUUGUAAAACUGUGAGGGGUGGCCGAAAGUGUUCCACGGCGAUUCUGCCGUUCCGGCGAGUUUCACCACUCAUCACCACCUCUAAUCUACUCCCCUUGGACCCAGGAACAAAGCCCAAACAACCUUGGAGGCGUCGGAGCACCGGUGACGACGAAUUAAAGCACACCCAUUCUAGGGUUCUGGUGGGUUCGUGGAAAAUUGAGGCUCUUCCAGGUCAAAUUGGCCUUGGUCAUAGGUAUGAAAGUUGCUCCACUCAUUGAGAUCUUCAUUUCUGUGAAGUUUGAGAAUUUUUAGAAAUAGUUGGAUUUUCCGACGAGUUGGGGUGGCCGACCACCACCCACUGCGGCGCGUGCGGCGGCACGUGGCCACUUUUAGGCUAAAUUAGAUGUCUUGAAUUCAGUUUUGAUAUUCGUAUAAUGUAGGUUGAUCGUUUGAAUCUAAAUUCAUUACGAUACGUUAUUUGGUAAAAAUGUGAAUCGACGAUCCAACCGUUGGAUCGUCACUAAACUUUAAUACAUUCUAGUACAUAAUAUUUAAGGACCAUAGAAACUUACGGAUUAGGAAUCUGAUGAACAAAUCUUCCUGAAUUGGAUUUGUAAGUUUAUAAAAUAAAUGUUAACCGUCAUUUAGUUUUGGCAAUUGACGGAAGUCCGACCGUUAGAUCGUAAUGAAAUUUUAGUAUGUUAUUCUAGAAGCAUAAUUUGGAUCUUUAGAAGUUUCGGAUUGGAAAUCUGAUAUGCGGAUCUUCCGAAGUGAGUUUACAGGGUUGUAGACCCAACCGUCGAUCUUUGAUCGACGGUUGACUUAUGGUCAAUGGGUCUCAAACUAUUUUAGAAUGUCCUUGAGAAUGUGUUUUAUGUGAAUUACAUAUUCUAUUGAUAAGAGUUAUGAGAUGUGAUUAUGUAAUUGUUCUAGGCGCCAAUUAUUCGAGACGCCUCAAUGCAAGUGCUAGAGAAUCAUAGUGUGGACUCUAGGUGAGUGGGUCUUUUCCUUUUAUCAUAGGUAUAUAAUUGAUAGUUCCUCAAAUGCUUCUAAAGUGAAUUAUGCAUGUUACCUACAAUUAAUUAUUGUGAACUACGAAUGGCUUAAUCCCUAUUUAGGGUACAUAGGCAGUCUAACGAUACGUUAGAUGCAGCCAUACAAUAAAUGAGACUAACUAACUGAGACAAUAGUCUUGUUUAGGGAAUUGAGUAAUGUGAGGGACAUUGGUGGAAAAUAUAAGAUUUAACUUUAUGAUUUGGUGUUUAAAUAUUGGUCAUAAAUCAAUGAAUGAAGAAUCAGGAAUUUGAAGUAAGGAAACGUAAGUAAUGAUGGUUAAUUAAACUAGUAUCUAGUAGGGCUUACCAUUGAUAAUUAUCUCCGAAAAUAAGUAGUUCGGGAGUAGGGCGUUAUAGAUUAUGCAUUUCACACCAUGUUAUAUAUAUACUUGAAAAUACUAUGUUAUAGUUGAGUUUUAAAUUGCAUCAUGACAUAUUUAUAUGUGUAUCACCUAAACCUAAUUAUUGUGAAUGCUUCGAAGUGCCAAAUGAUGUUGCGGACGCCCAGGUAAGCUUCAGGUGAGUACACGUUGAUGAUAGUGAUGGUAGUGAGAUAUGUGAUGAGAUAUUAAUUGGCUAGCAUGUUGAUGAGAUAUUGAUUUAGCCGUACAGUUCACGUGAGGUGACUCUGGCUAGUAUAUUGAUGAGAUAUGUGAUGAGAUAUGGAUGAUGAGAUAUUGAUUUAGCUGUACAGGUCACAUAAGGUGACUCCAGCUAGUAUAUUGAUGAGACAUGUGAUGAGAUAUGGAUGAUGAGAUAUUAAUUGGCUAGCAUGUUGAUGAGAUAUUGAUUCAGUCGUACAGGUCACGCUAGGUGACUCCGGCUAGUAUAUUGAUGAGAUAUAUUAAGAGAUAUAAAUAAAGUUGUACAUGUCACUAUAAGUGACUCUGACUUAUAUGCUAGCAAUGAUUAAUAAGAUAUAUGAGGAGAUAUAAAUAAAGCUGUAUAGGUCACUAUAAGUGACUUCGGCUUAUAUGCUAGGAACGAUUAAUGAGAUAUGUGAGGAGAUACGGAUAAGUUGUACAGGUCACUAGAGGUGACUCCGACUUAUAAGCUAGCAUAUGUGACGAAUAUGUGAUAAGCUAGCAUAUGUGAUAAAUAUGCGAUGAGCUAGCAUAUGUGAUGAAUAUGUGAUAAGCUAGCAUAUAUGACGAAUAUGUGAUAAGCUAGCAUAUGUGAUAAAUAUGUGAUAAGCUAGCAUAUAUGAUGAAUAUGUGAUAAGCUAGCAUAUGUGAUGAAUAUGCGAUGAGCUAGCAUAUGUGAUAAGCUAGCAUAUGUGAUGAAUAUGUAAUAAGCUAGCAUAUGUGAUGAAUAUAUGAUAAGCUAGCAUAUGUGAUGAAUAUGUGAUAAGCUAGCAUAGGUGAUGAAUAUGUAAUAAGCUAGCAUAUGUGAUGAAUAUGCGAUAAGCUAGCAUAUGUGAUGAAUAUGCGAUGAGCUAGCAUAUGUGAUGAAUAUGCGAUGAACUAGUAUAUGUGAUGAGAUACAGGUAAGUCGUACAGGUCACCAUAGGUGACUUCAACUUGGGUACUAGCAUGAGUUAUUAAUCACAUGAUUAUUUGAUAUUGCUAACGAGAUGCUGUCUUGUGGUAUAUUUAUGAUAUUUUCUGAAAAUUAUACAGGUGUUGUAGCGAGGGGUUAUAAUGUUUUAAAUGGUUUCUAUUAAAAUUUAUUCACAGGGCUACUCACCUUUGUCUUGUCUUCACCCUCCAGGUUUUAUUAGCUGAGUUUUCUUAUCGUUGAAGAUUCGUGGCGGUUCUUGGUAUUGAAGAUUAUUUCGAGGGUACAAUUCUUAAUUCACUCUUAUGUACUUGCUUAUGCUCUAACAUUACGUGUGAAGUAGAUUCAUUCCCGCUCACCGGUGUACUCUGGUAUUUAGGCACUCUUAGGUUUUAAAUUAUUCACAUUUUUCCACAUCAUCACACUUUAUGGAUUCGUCACCUUCCAGGUGUCGGCCAGCACAGUUCGAUUCGGAGUCCUAGUAAACAUUCCGGGUCGGGGUAUGUUAUGAGGAGUGGCUAGGUUAAAGUUGUGGGGCAAUAUGUUAUGAAAGAAGCAGAAGCGAGAAUGUCAACUUGAGUAACAUAAACAUUGGUGAUGGGUUCUCCAUUAAUUUUCAUUUCUUCUAUGCAACGCGGGAUAGGUCAACAUGGUAGCUUGAUAUAGAAGAAUAUAUUUUGUGUUUUAGAAACAAAUUUUUUGUGAGUCACGUCGUAUUUUAUACAAAAAAAUGUGGGCCAUGAACUGCUAUUUACACAUAAUCACAAAAAUAAAUAAAUAAAUUCAUGCCAUGAUUAUGAUGUAGCUCCACAACUAUAAGCUUAUCUGGGAUGCAUUCUGAUAAGCUGACGAACUAGUGUACACAAUUGUAUUUUCAUUUGUUCGAAUAACUGGAGUUGAAUUUUGUUUAGUAUUAUCAUGUUUAUUUUUAUUUUUAUUUUUUACCUUAAGUAGCAUAUCCGGUUACUAGAAGCAUUACACAUAUCUUAUCUAUUUUCAUGUAAUGAGAGUGUGAGGCAAGUGUUUUGUUUAAGAAAAUGUUGAUAAGACAACUUUAUUUGGUACGGGAAAGAGAUUACAAACGAAAACACCUAGGGCGUAAUAAAGGGUAGAACUUGCAUAGGAAAAUUCUAUUCGAACCAAAAAGUUAUCAAAUAUUCUAUCCAAUUUAAAUAUGAAUCCAUGAAGUUUCGAAAUCCGAAAAAUUAAAAAAUACUGGAUAAGAACAGGAAUACAAUUUGCAAUUUGUAUAACAAUCUGUCCUUAAUUUUAAGAUUUUAUUAAUUUUAAAUGUGUGAAUUAAUCAAAAUGUUCUUAAAGGUUAGAUUGUUGACUUUCGUUGAUCGUUAUCUUAUAAUACAUACAAGCUACUAUUUUACUGUAUUUGCAUAUUACUCAUUACUACGAAUGUACAUGAUAAAGAUUUUACGAAAUUACGAAAUCAGGAGGUAUUUUAGCAGAUUCACUAUUCUGGAUAAUUUUUUCCUUAUUAUUUUAUAUUUUUCUGGUGGAAUUUUGUGUCUUGUGGAACCCAUACCCCACUUCUUCCUUGUCCCCGUGUCCCAUUUUCGCCAUACUUCUUGGUCUCUCUCAUUUCAAUCUCUCUCUUUGCCUUGUCACUCCAUCUCUUCUUCUGCCACCUUACCACCACCUACUCUCUCUCUCUAAAAAUCUCUCAUCUCUCACUCUCCAUUUAUUUGUCUCUCGGCAAACACCGAAUGGGUGCAAUGGCAACGCCAUCAUCGCCGCUAACCUUGUUACCCUGACGAGAUUUACGAGUUUUCCAGCCCAGAAACUAGGAUCUCAUACUGCCAACUCAACCCAGACAUGAACUUGCGCUGCUAGUGGUCGCUGCACUGUUCACUGUGUUCUCUGGCGAGGUUCUCAAUUUUUUUCGACUAAGGUGUGAUAAUACACCACUAAUAAUACCUUCGAAGAACUCACAGAAAGAUACAGAGAUCAAAGAGAAAGAAGAAGAGAAAGAAUAGAGAAAGAAACUGUAUUGAUUUGUGUAUAUUCCUUACUGAAUUACAAUAUCUGUUAUUCAGUUAUUUAUACAUGGAAUCCAAACUUAGCUAGUAAGCUAUUCACGUAACUAACUAACUAACAUAAGCUGAAUUGGCUGUCUAUCUGACCCUUGAAUGUUGUAAUGAGUUGGCAGUUCAUCUAGCCAUUGAUUUAUGAUACUCAACAUUCCCCCUCAAUCGUGGCUGGGGUACUCAGCCUAAGAUUGUAACAAUGUCGAAGAAAGGCAAGGCUGUGAAGACCUUUUGUAAGAACAUCCGCAGUUUGAUCUUCAGUUGGAAUGUAAACCACCUUCAGAUCUCCUUGUUGAACACGUUCUCUCACAAAAUGAAAGUCAGUAUCAAGAUGUUUGAUACGAGAAUGAAAAACAGGAUUUGCAGUAAGGGCAAUGGCUGACAUAUUAUCACAAUGAAUUAUGGGAGGUGAAGGCAUACACACUUCUAAAUCCUUUAGGAUUCCCCUUAUCCAAGCAACAUCAGCUGCGGUAUGGGCAAGAGCCUUAUAUUCAGCCUCAGUUGAGCUUCUUGAUACUGAACAUUGUUUCUUUGAUUGCCAAGACACGGGAUUGUUGCCUAGAUACACUACAUAUCCUGUGAUUGACCUUCGAGUAUUGAGAUCAGCUGCCCAAUCAGCAUCUGAAAAAGCAGUGAUUGUCCUUGUCGUCAUUUGAUUAGCUGAAUAUAAUAUCCCAUGGUGCAGUGUACCAUGAAGAUAUCUGAGUAUUCGUUUCACUGCUGCAUAAUGCCUUUAUGUCGGAGAACUCAUGAACUGACAUACUGUAUUAACCGCAUAUGCAAUAUCGGGCCUAGUCAAGGUCAGAUACUGCAACGAUCCGACGAUACUCCUAUAAAGCGAUGGAUCAGACAUUAAAGAACCAUCAGAAAAUAGCAUUUGAUCAUGAGGUUUGCAUGGAGUAGCAGCAGGUUUACAUGUGUCCAUACCUGCCUUAUGGAUCACAUCCUUUAUAUAUUUUGAUUGAUGCACAAAGAUAUCCCUAUUAUUCUUAUACGAGAACUGCAAUCCCAGAAAAAAUGUCAAUUGUCCCAUAUCCUUAAGAUCAAAGACUUCAGAUAACUCAUCAAUCAUCUUUUGAAUCUUGAUAGAAUUGGAACCGGUCAAUAUAAUAUCGUCAACAUAAAGGAGAAGAAUAACAAUAUCCCCAUCAUCCUGCUUGAUAAACAAACUUGUAUCAGAAACUGAAGCCUGAAAAUUCAUGGCAGUCAAGUAAGAUGUGAACUUUGAAUUCCACACCCUUGGAGCUUGUUUCAAACCAUAUAGGGAUUUGAUUAAUUUGCACACAUGAGUGGGAUGGGAUGCAUCGACAAACCCUUGUGGUUGUUUCAUGUAAAUCUCUUCUUGCAAGUCACCGUGCAAGAACGCAUUUUUAAUGUCAAGCUGUCGAAGUUUCCAAUGGUUACUUGCUGCUAAGGCCAAUACAAUCCUCACCGUAGUAUGCCUCACUACCGGACUAAAGGUAUCCAAGUAAUCAAUACCUUGUUCCUGAGAAAAUCCUUGAGCCACAAGCCGUGCUUUAUACCUGGAAACACUGCCAUCAGGAUUUUUCUUCACUUUAUACACCCAUUUGCUGCCAACAAUAGAUCUGUCACUUGGAGGUGGUACUAGAAUCCAAGUGCCUUGACUUCGAAGGGAAUCAUAUUCUUCUUGCAUCGCUUGCUGCCAUUGGGGUAGUGAAGCAGCUUUUCUAAAUGUAUUUGGUUCAGAGGUAUCAGUGAUGGCAGAAAUAAAACUAUAGCCUCCACUAAAACAAUCGUCUUCAGUGAGCUGCAAAGAUUGCAACUCAGGAAAUGAUGUUAUAAAUGCAGUAUAAUCUCGUCUUUGAAUGACACCACUUUUCAACCUUGUUACCAUCUGGUGAACAGACUCAGAAGGAUUUAUAUUAUCAGAAGGAUCUGUGGUAAUGAAAGAUUCAUUUUGCGAUGAAAAUGGCAAGAUUACCUGAAGUUGGGAAUCUGAAUGGACAGGCAACACUGAUGAUGUACCAGAGUGAUGAUGAGGGGAAUAAGACUCUUGAUCUCGCUGUGAAACCAAAACUGACUCCCUAGAAUCUCUUGAUUGUGACUCAAUUACAGUAUUCAUAACUGGUGUAGCCGAUGACACUGAAUUGCCUUCUUCUGGAAUACCAUGAUCAUCAUGCUGUACAUUGGGAGUAUUUGAAGCUAGAUGAGGCAUUCGAAUAGCUAUAUACUGUUGAUGAGACUUUAGAGAAAUUCCUGAAUUGACACCUUUGGUACAAGAAUCUAGUUGAAAAGGAUAAACAUCCUCAUCAUGUAUAACAUGCCUUGAAAUAAUGAACUUCCUACUAUGAAUAUCAUAACAUAGCACUCCUUUGUAUCCCAUUGCAAAUCCAAGAAAAACACAUUGACUUGAUCUAGCUUGUAGCUUAUUUCGAUUAUAAGGUCUAAGAUAUGGAUAUAUUGCUGUCCCAAACACUUUAAGAUUGUGGAUUGCAGCAUUGUCACCAAACAAAAUCUGAUAAGGUGACUUAUGAUCCAAACCUUUGCAUGACAUCCUAUUUAUCAAAAACGCAGCAUAUGAACAAGCAUGAUACCAAAACACAAUAGGAAUUGAAGCUUCUGUCAUCAAACUUAAAGCAGUUUCAACUAAAUGCCUAUGCUUCCUUUCUGCAAUGCCAUUCUGUUGAGGUGUAUAAGGACACGAAAUCUGAUGCAGAAUACCUUUUUGAUCCAGAAAACCUUUCAUCAUACUAUUGGCAUACUCACCACCACCAUCAGUUUGAAAACAUUUAAUUGAACUGUUAAACUGUGCCUGAACAAAAGCAUAAAACUUGGCAAAAAUCGGAAACACAUCUGAUUUAUUUAUCAUUGGAAAAAUCCAUACAAAUCUUGAGAAGUCAUCUACAAAGCUGACAUAAUACCUAUACCCUUCUAUAGAUCUCUGUGGAGAUGGUCCCCAAACAUCUGAAUGUAUCUUUUCAAAUUUAUGUGUUGCUCUAGCUUGUUUUACAGAAAAAGGUAAUCUACACAUUUUCCCUGAAAUACAAGCUGUACAAAUAGUAGAAGAGAAAUCUUUAUGAACUGAUAUACUCGCAUUUUUCAACAUUGUAGACAGUACUUCUUCAUUUGGAUGUCCCAAUCUCUUAUGCCAUAUUGAACUUGUCACUUUCUUUCCAAGAAAUGCUCCACAGUGCUCCAACUUUGCAGCAAAUGAACCCUUAAAGACAGAUACUGGUAUCUUGAACAAUUCCCCAUCAUCACUCUUUCCUUGGUACAAAAUCACUCGGGUUGCCUUGUCCUGUAUAAAGAACACCAAAAUCAUCACAAAUAAACCAACAUCCAUUAUCUCUACAUAAUUUCUUAACUGACAACAGAUUCAUGGCAAUAAGUGGAACAUGUAAUACAUUAUUUAGCACAAAGGUAUGAGUAUCAGUAACAAGUUCAGAAGCACCAAUAUUCUUAACAUUCAAACCUUCUCCAUUUCCUAUGGUGAUUUUAGAGUCACCAUUGUAAGGAGUGGCCUGAUUAAGAUGUUCAAGAUGAGCUGUCAUAUGAUGAGUGGCUCCUGUGUCAACCACCCAAGUAUCGGCAUUAGAAAAACCAUGGACAUUCUGACUUGCUUGUGGCACAUUUGAUGUUUGAGCAGCCAUUCCCACAGGUGUGAGAUUCAAUGAUUGUGGUGGAGGAGGUCCUUGAUAAGAGUAAUUAUUCCUGUGAUAGCACUGUAUAGCUGUAUGACCCUUCUUACCACAUAUCUGACAGAAAAUGGGACCUUUAAAAUUUCCUUGAGCACUAUCUGUCCUGUAAUAGCAAUUCGGUGCAGUAUGGCCUCUUCUUGAACAAAUUUGACAUUCUGGAGAUAUGCCAUAUUUGUAGUUUGUAUUGCCAUGCCAACUGCUUCCUUGGUUAAAUCCACUUCCACUUGAAAAGUUACUGGAACUACCAUAAGAACCCUUUUGAUUGUUAACAGAACCAUUGAAACCACCACCUGAACCAUAAGAAUCACUAAACCCAUAAGACCUAUUCCCAAAGUUGGAAUAAGAUCUUGAAUUAUUGGUAUUACCAUUGUUUCUCCUAUUACUGUUAUUGUUGAAAUUCGACCUCUGUUGGAAAGAUAUUCCACCAUUUGCAGCAAAACCUGAACCCCCAUUAAAAUUGCCUGGACCAUUAAGCUUCUAUGCAUUCGAGCUUUCACCUUGUUCAAAAUUCUGAUAUCUUCCUUGACCUCCUUGUCCAUUUGGCAAAUCACCAUUAACAUACAUUGCCGACAUGGUUCCAGCAAGAUUAUUCAUUCUUGUUUCAAAAGAACCCUCAACACCAAUUAACUGAGCCCUGAAGUCCUUUAGAGAUAUAAGUGUAUCCCUAGCAAGAAUUAUAGUCUUGAUAACUUCAAACUCUGGUGGCAGUCCAGAAAGUACAGCAAUCAUCAAAUCAUUAUCAGUUAUCUUCUCCCCUGCAGCCACAAGCUGAUCUUUAAUAGCCUUCAGCCGAAACAAGAAUUUAUCAACUGAAUCAGAACCCUUUUGUGCAGUGUGAAACUCAGUUUUCAACUGAUUGACCCUCACAACAAAAAUCGAGGCAAACCGUUCAUGUAACUUCUCCCAAGCCUCCUGUGCAGUCUUGCACCCUAUCACAUGAUACAUCACUUCAUCACUUAAUGUAGCAAUGAGUAAACUCAGUAAUGCCAAAUCUUGCUGAAUCCACUGUUUGUAAGCCUGAGAUAUCUCCUUUGUAACACCACCUUCAGCCGUAAUACAAUACUUCGGAGGACAUUGUGAUUCCCCAUUGAAAAAAUCAAACAAAUCAUAUCCACGAAGAACAGACGAAAACUGAUAACUCCAUUUCACAAAAUUAUCCUCAUGCAAUUUUACAGUAAUCAUACCAAGUAGACCUUCAAUCUUUACUGAAUUUAUAGCCAUUUUGCAAACACCAAGAAGAAAUACAAAUGCAGUACCCGAAAUUCUUGAUUAACAGACAACCAAUCUUGAAUCUUGACACACAACUCUCACUUCUGACUUCGGCCUUCUAUGAAGUAAGAAACUCAACAGACAAAAAAACUCCGCAUUCUUUCAAUUUUUAAUUCUUCAGCAAUCAACAAUCUUUCAAUUAAACUUCUUCUUUCAUACUUCUAAUCUUUUAAGUUUGCAGCAAUCAACAAUAUUUCAAUCAAACUCCUUCGUAAACAAUAUGCACCCAACAAUAUUUCGCAUCCACACCAAGCAAUUCAUAUAUUUUCACUGAAACAUUAUAUCAAACAGUUCAUCUAGCCAUUGAUUUAACAAAAUUAUCCUCAUGCAAUUUUACAGUAAUCAUACCAAGCAGACCUUCAAUCUUUACUGAAUUUAUAGCCAUUUUGCAAACACCAAGAAGAAAUACAAAUGCAGUACCCGAAAUUCUUGAUUAACAGACAACCAAUCUUGAAUCUUGACACACAACUCUCACUUCUGACUUCGGCCUUCUAUGAAGUAAGAAACUCAACAGACAAAAAACUCCGCAUUCUUUCAAUUUUUAAUUCUUCAGCAAUCAACAAUCUUUCAAUUAAACUUCUUCUUUCAUACUUCUAAUCUUUUAAGUUUGCAGCAAUCAACAAUAUUUCAAUCAAACUCCUUCGUAAACAAUAUGCACCCAACAAUAUUUCGCAUCCACACCAAGCAAUUCAUAUAUUUUCACUGAAACAUUCUAUCAAACAGUUCAUCUACAAGCUUCAAAACACAAAGAAAGACAAGGAUCGAGAAUACCCGAAAGCCGAACUCCUGAAACAGAAUGAAAAUUCCAAGAGAAAUCCAGAACUUCUUCACAAUUACACCUCCUGAUGCUCAAAUCUCAGCGGAAGAACCCAAAAAAAAAAAAACACCAACCAUGGCUCUUGAUACCAUGAUAAUACACCACUAAUAAUACCUUCGAAGAACUCACAGAAAGAUACAGAGAUCAAAGAGAAAGAAGAAGAGAAAGAAUAGAGAAAGAAACUGUAUUGAUUUGUGUAUAUUCCUUACUGAAUUACAAUAUCUGUUAUUCAGUUAUUUAUACAUGGAAUCCAAACUUAGCUAGUAAGCUAUUCACGUAACUAACUAACUAACAUAAGCUGAGUUGGCUGUCUAUCUGACCCUUGAAUGUUGUAAUGAGUUGGCAGUUCAUCUAGCCAUUGAUUUAUGAUACUCAACAAGGUGAAGAUAGGAACUCUCUAAUCUGUUCUUUAUGGUUAUAUUAGUUUGAUUUAUGGAUUAUUUAUGCGAUUUGAUGACGUCUAGUGCAGUUUCAACCGGGGAAGAUUUCCCAAAAAAUUGGUGAGGAAAACCGUGGCCAUCAAGCCACUUGUAGACGUUUUUUCCUGCUAUCUCCGGCCUCUGUCAAUCCUCGAUUUUGGUAUAGACCUGUUCCUUGAUUCCUACCUUCACUUUGGCUUUUAAACCAUUAAAUUCAGUUGAGAAUUGAGCUCGAAAUGAGCUCUGAAAGUCUGAGAAAAAACCUGCAAAACUGCAGGAACUCGUGAGGAAGACGAGUACAAGCGUACUCGGGGGCACAUGGAUGCAUGAGGGUGGUCGGCGCAUGCAGCGCGUGGCUGCUGUGCAUCCACGUUGUGACGACACGUGGCUGUCUAUGCAGCCACCUUGUGACGGCGCGUGGAGGAAUCCGAGAUCCCGCCUUAGGUUUCUCAACGUGCAGAAUCCGAAUCCGUCUUUUGUUUUCCAAAUUUGAUCGUUUUAAAAUAAUUUCUUUAUUAGCCAUACUUUGUAUGAAUACGCGAAUUUACAUUAGUUUGUUAUAUAUUUACAUGAAUGGUUUUGUUUCUAGGUGAAACGCGUCACAAGGAUCUUCAAUGCCCGCGAGGCAGGUUCGAGCCGACGACAUGAUUUGUGAGUGGGUCUUUGUUUUGGAAUAUUAUAUAUUUAUUUAGUUUCCACAUAAAUAUUUGAUAAAUAAUUUUUUACGUUACGCCUAUAUUAGAUUAAUAUUUAUAAGAAUUAGCAUAUUGACGGAAUUUGCUAAAUCCUACGGGAUGCACAUGUAUGCAUACUAUUAUGAGAUUUUAUUUAUGGCCAUGUUUAAUAGUUUAUUGAAUAGUAUUAUGUCGACUAGAAUUAUCGAUUUGCCGUUGUAUAAUCAUAUUUACAUUAUAUGCUCAUUGUGUGCUACACUGGUGUUAGUACUCACCCGGGCUAGGGUCAGUCUUCACGUGUAUGUUCACAUCGUACCGUACGCUCACUUUGGAUCCAUUGUAGGUGACAAUCCUGUCCUAGAUUGCUAUAGGCAAUUAGGACUCGUGUGUUAUGAGGAUAGCGCCAGUCUUCAUGUGAUUAUAGUACUAAAGCGUAAAUCAUUAUUACACCCAAUCAUAUUUAUGUCAAAAUACCUCUACAUAAACUUGUGUGUUAGCAUAUGUCAAUAAGCACUCGAUGUGAUGUGUUUAUUUACCAAAUAUUGUGAAGUAGUGCAUUCUAGGGAUAUUAUGGUUUACGGUCAGUAUUUUCAUACUAUACGUAGUAUGUUAUAUUUGGAAACUAUAUUUGUUUUACGGUGAGGGGUUAUUACAUUUUCGAAAAGGUUUUACAAAGCUUUAUUUUGAUGCUCACUCACCCUUGUUUUUCACCCAUUUAGGUUUUAGUAGCUAAGCUUUUGUGCCAAUGAGGAUUAUUGACAAAUCUUGGUAUCGGUGAUUACCUUCGAUGAUAUAAUUCUCAUUCUACCUUUACUAUAUUUUACUUAUACUCUGACAUCACGUGUGAAAUAAGUUCAUUCCUGCUCACAUGCGCACUCUUGCAUUUAGGCACUUUUAAGCUUAAAUUCAUUCACAUUUUCCAUCUCAUCACACUUUAUAGUUUCAUCACCUUUCAGAUGUUGACCAGCAUAGCUCGAUUUGGAGUCCAGAUGGACAUUUCGGGUCAGGGUGUGUCAAUUUGAAUAUUCAAAAAUAUUGAAAAAUAAGGAAUGUAUUUGAAUAUUUUGAUUCAAUUUGAAACUUGCCUAAAUCUAUUACAUACACUUGCUUAUAUACUUGGUUUUAUUUUAGGAAAAUUUUAUUUGAACUCAUACAACCUCUAACUACAUCCAACUUACUCUCUACACCCAUAUUAAUUUUAAUUCAAGAAUCAAUAUAUUUUUAAAUCCAAAUUUACUAACUAAAAUACCCUCACGAACUCAAUUUAAUAUGUAAAUUUGACUUUACACCUAUUUGAAAAAUAAAACCCUAAAAUUAAACAUUUGUUGUGUAGGUCAUUAAAGUUAGAAUGUUAUAUUGUAAUUCCUCGAGACAAACCAAAUAUUGAGCCUUAUACAUUUGGAAAGAUCUAGAUGUCUAGUUUACGAAGAAUUUUACGGUUCGUGAUUCCGAUUUUUCUAGGAGAUGUUAUUAUUAUUUUAGUGCAGACAUCACAAAAUCAAAGAUUUGUUGCGCAGAUCAGUGAAGUUUGAAUAAUUAAAUUGUAAUUCCUCGAGAUGAACCAAAUAUUGAGCCUUAUAUGCUUGGAAAGAUCUGGAUGUCUAGUUUAUAGAUAAUUUUACAGUCUGCGAUUCCAAUUUUUCUAGGAGACGUUAUUUUAGUGCAGACAACACAAAAUGAUUAUUUCCUACGAAUUUUGUUGAGAUUUUAGAAAUUUAGUUGCAUCUAAAUCAGAAGGCCAACGAGUGUUGUUUCCUUGAUCAUGGAGUAAGAUUAUCUUCCCUCUUUUUUUCCCUCUCCUUCCCUCCCCUCUUAUUUAAACAAUCACAGUUAAGUCACGUCAACAUAAGAAUGAGAGGGGAGAGAAUCCAAAUUACUUGAUCAUUGGGGAGAGAAUGUUUGAAAGUUACUUGGGCCUCAUUACCCAUCUCAUAAUUAUACGAAGGAGAGGGGAGAGAAUCCUAGCAGCUCGAGGUGACCACAAUAUUAUUUAAUAUUUUAUUAUACCUUUAAUCAUUAUUUAAAGUGGUAGGAUUACAUAAGCUACACUAAAUUGCAUAUCAUUGUCGCUCCCCGCAAUGUAAAACCAUUAUCACUAAACUUAAAAAUCAAAUCAAAUUGGAAUCUUAAACAACAAUGUUGAAUUUUGUUAUCAUUUUUCUCCAUUUAAAACUAAAGUUUCGAAUUUUACGCAAAGCCUCCAUCAACCAACCAUUCUAAAGUAUUAGCAUUCAAUCCCUCUGUCUAACAAAAAAAAAGGCCACGGUAAAACUUAAGAUAAGAGCACUUUUAUUAUGAAGUCUCCACUUUUCACUUUGAUAUUGUCGGCCAAGAAAGAAACCCAUCAUUAUGUUUUUUCAAUAUCAUUAUCUAUCUAAAUAUUUUAUUAUUAUUAUUUUAUGAUAUUUGUUAACGUGUGUCCUAGAGUAUUGUGACUACCAUUAAACUAUGUCACUUAUACAACAUGUGAUUUACCACACGAUUGAAUAAAUUAUUUAUUUAUAGAAGGCACAUAGUACAAUAUUUUGUCUUGACAAACUUUGUCAAUUUGAUUUAUUCAUUAUACGGUUGUACUUAUACUAUCAUUUAUAGGAAUUAUUGAGCAACUAGAUCCACUGAUCAACAUUGUUGCUGAUUAAAGAAGUCUACCAAUUUAUAGACUGAUGAGCCACAUGCUCAUGGUGACAAAGAUUCAGUCCGGACGGUGAUCUCUUGUUUGACCGGACACCCACUUGCUCGGACAUUCGCUUAUUGGGACACCUAUGUGCCUGGACCCAACUCGAUGACCCUACAGAUAGCCCCAACUCGAUGACCCUACGUAUGGCCUCGACUCAAAGACCCGACUUGCGUACCCGAUCCGCGGAUCCGACGCAUAGACCCAAUAUGCGAACCCAACAAGCGGACCCGAAUCAUGUAGAAUCAACUCAUACUGAGUGCAUGUCGACAUAAAGUAGAUACUUGCAAUGAGGAAUACCACAAGCCGAGCCGUCUCGUAGUGAGCAUAGCCUUUAGCCAAGCCGCCUCGCAACGAGCAUCGCCUCCAGCCGAGCAAACGCCUCGCCGCGAGCAUAGCUUCUAGCCGAGCAGCCUCGCAACGAGCAUCACCUCCAGCCGAGCAAACGCCUCGCCGCGAGCAUAGCUUCUAGCCGAGCAGCCUCGCAACGAGCAUCGCCUCCAGCCGAGCAGUCUCAUAACGUGUGAUACCUCUAGCCGAGUAUUGCUUUAUGUUGAGCAUUGCCUUGGGUUGAGUACUGGUUCAAGACAUCUAGCCACUUUGGCCCUUACAUGGAUUGGAUUUCAUGUCUCCAGCCAAAAGACUCUUUUGAUUGAAGACUUGGGAGACUGCUGUUGGUACCACACAUAUUGGGCCUCAGACUUUGACACAUUGGGCCUCAACAUUUGGACCUCAUUACCCAGACCAUAAUUAUGUAAAAGGAAGAGCCCCUUAUUCUAUAAAAGGGGACUCCUCCCCCCUCACAAAUUAGACUCUGGGAUACCCCCAAAACAUACAAGUCUCAAACAACUCAGAGACAACACUCUCUUCCUCAGGGGGACUCCCCUUGAGCUUGUAAUCCAUACAUACAGUUACAGAGAAAUACAAUCAACAUCAGUGUGGACGUAGCCCAAACAUUGGGGUGAACCACGAUACAUCUUUGUGUUCUUGGGCGUUUGCAUGAUUCACGGUCAAGUUUACGUUGUUCCAAGACCUUCCGGUUUUAUGCAUCAACAAAUUCCACAGAUCGUGAUCCACCAUAAUCAAAUUUAAUCAAACAUUAUGCUAAAUAUAUUAUACACCAAUAAAAACGAAUUCUACUUCAGAUGAGGACCAAGAAUUUCUCCAAUGGCUAAAAUGAAUUUAAUUUAGAAGUAAAAGAUGCAAUUUAAAGGAACAUACACUUAUUUUUCUUUAUGAGAGCUCUUAGGAUUUUAGUGAGGAUGAAUGUGAGAUAAAGAUUGGUGAUGGUAGGAUUUGAUUAUUGGAUAUGUGUUUAUUAAUAAAUUUUCAUUUUUUUUUGUUAAUUUCAUCAUGUACUUGAUGAUAAUUAUGCAAUAGGGUAAAAAAUGCAAUUCACAUUUAAAAUUUAAGUUGAGUGUAGAAAGAAGUUAAAAUGGGUUCAACUAAAAUUUUCCUUUAUUUUAUAUAUGUUUCAUUUGUUAUUUGUUAUAGAUAAGACUCAAGUAUGAUUCUAACUUUUUUACAAUUAUAUCUCCCUUAAAUAUAUUACAUACAAAAGAGAGAACUAAAGAUAUAUAUAUUAUGUUUGGACACAACCCACAACAAAAGUUGGCUUUCCAAAAGAUAUGUUUGAAAGUUACUUCCUCAAAGAAAGAAAUAUACGAGGCCGAAUAUUUUUGAGAAAAGCAAUGAGUUCAUGGUUGUUGAAUCUACGGUCAAGUGACUCUUACAAUAGUGCUAUUACUUGUAAUAAAAGAAGGAAUGCUACAAUAUAUAUAUAUAUUAUAUACUUUGAUCUAAUGAAAAUAUAAAAUAGUCCAUAAUGAUUUUUUUUUGUUGGUUAAAAUCAUAUAUGUUGUUAAUCACCAAAUCAAUUGAUCUCCCAAGACCAUCUCCAAUGGUAAGCUAAAACCUGAAAUUUCUUCCCCCCCCCCCCCCCCCCAACAAAAAAAAAGCCACUUCAACCCAUGACCUAAAAUUAACCUAAAACCUAAAACCCAAAUGGAGGGCAAAUACCGGCCCAAUUAUUGGCCACAAAGCAAAAUGGACCCCACCAAUUGAGACUGAAACCGGGGCUGUGAAGUCCACUGCCCACUCCCUACUCGCCUACGCGUUGUACGCGCUAGGCUUUCUCAAAAUUUUGUACCAACCCACGUGGGGUUGUUCCCCAUUGUCACACCACCAACACUACCACCGCAUUCUCUCUCCAUCACCCACACCACCAUGACCACCAUCACCGUCAAUCCUUCACCAUCGUCACCACCAAUGCCACCACCUCCCACCACCAUUAUCGCCACAACCACAUCCUCCACUACCAUCACAGUUGGGACCAAGGCCACCACCACCUCCAC
rnacentral:lncRNA from 1 species